rnacentral:lncRNA from 1 species
UUUUUGUUUUUUGUUUUUCAUCAAAAUUCGGUAACGUAUCCAUUUGGUCAUAACUCAUAAGUCUAGAUACUUAUUUGCAGAUCUCUUCAGAUGUUAUUGGAUCAUAUUCUUGACAUUGAAUAUGCUUUCUUAUAUUGGUUAUUCAAUAUAUCUCUUUUCUUUUCUUGUAUGCUAAAGUGUAGAAGCUCCUUUGAUCAUUAGAAAAAGCAAAGUCCUGCUCCCAACUUCUUCAAACAUAAUUUAUGUAAGUGGUUUUUAAUGUCCAGGGAAAGGAUAAAACGGCUGGGGAGAGAAGGAUUGCCAUUUGCGUUUUUGAUGAUGUUGCAGAGCAUUGCCAAGGAACAGCUCUCAAGUAUAUCUUUUUCUGUGUAUUUUUACUAAUAUUUGGGUAUCUUUUAGUCCGAUUUCCUCUUUAACAUAUUUAAUUUUUUUUAAUGACAGAUACUAUGAAACCUAUCUUCCUUUCCUACUAGAAGCCUGCAAUGAUGAAGAUGCAGAUGUUAGACAGGUUCACAUCCAUUCUCUGUCCAUCCUCGACCUUACCUAAAACAGAUGCAGAAUUUCAAUAUGAACAUGCGUAAUUGCAUUAUUGCAUAUUCACGAAUUUGUCAGUUUUGAAUACUAUGACUAAUUUAAUUUCAGGCUGCUGUUUAUGGAGUUGGUGUUUGUUCUGAAUUUGGUGGUUCUGUAUUUGGCCCACUUGUUGGAGGUAUAUCAUAUUUAAUUGUAUGAAUGACAUUUCUGCCGUUCUUUUUCCUCAUGUCAAUUAUUAUUUUGUAUGACAUCUCACUUCUGUUUUUCAGAGGCUCUCUCAAAGUUAAAUAAUGUGGUUAGACAUCCUGAUGCUCUGCAGUCAGAUAACAUAAUGGCAUAUGACAAUGCUGUUUCAGCUUUAGGCAAAAUAUGUCAAUUCCAUCGAGACAGUAUCGAUGCAGCUCAGGUAGUUGACAUUUCUUUCUCUUUUAUUAUACUCUCUCCCUCUCUGUCUCUCACGUGCUAAUGUAAGUGAAAUAAUUGUUACACAUAUAGACGUUAAUUUGACAAUGGUGUUAGAUGUACCUCUUGCUGGUGGUUGUCUUGUCAAUUAUGGUUUAUAUUUUCGAUCAGAACCUGACGGCUGAUUUUUUGUUGCUUUCAAUUCAUUGGAAAGCCUGUGUUCAAACAUGAUAGGAAUUUGUUACGUAGGUGAGUGCUCACUUAGAGAUGCCAGGAAAGGCAGGGAAAGUCUAAAGAAGAUCUGGUUGUAAACAAUAGUAUCAUCAUUUGGAUUAUCUACUUAAAUUACCCUCAGCAUGAUUCACAUAGCUGAUGUAAAGUAGUGGGUAAUUGCUUCUCACAGAGGGGAUUCUUUGUCUUGAUUCAAGAGCCCAUUUCCUGAAGGAUGAAUGUCCAUUAUUAUAGAUAUUACUAUUGUUAUUUCCUUUCCAUUAUUAUAGGUCUUCCAUUACAGCAUAUGUUACUGAUGAUAGAGGUUUGAUAAGUCCUUUCAACCUCUGGAGCAUCACUUGCUCUAUGCUUCGAAAGCAGUUUGUUUGCUGUGCUUAUAUUGUUGAUUUAUUUUUCAAAGUAUUGAACCCAGCAGAUAUUUGACAGGUUUUACCUGCUUGGUUAAGCUGCUUGCCCGUGAGAGGUGAUUUAAUUGAAGCCAAAAUUGUACAUGAUCAGCUUUGCUCCAUGCUUGAAAAGUAAUUCAAAUCUUGAUUUUUGUGCCUUUAUAUAUAUUUUUUUUGUUUGGAUAAAUUAAAAAUUUUGAACCAUGUGCUCACAGGUCAGAUAGGGAACUUUUAGGCCCGAAUAAUCAGCAUCUUCCAAAAAUAAUUACAGUGUUGGCUGAGGUAAUUGUUUAACUCAUCUCUGUAAUAUGUGUCUUAUCUUAUUUGAAUGUUUUCAGAAUGAAUCUCUAGUUUGGCAAAGCCUAGUUGACCAAGUUGACCAUGGAGCUGUUUUUUUUUUUCUUCGUUCCAGGUUUUAUGUGCAGGCAAUGAUCUUGCUACAGAACACACUGUUAUCAGAAUGAUCAAUCUUUUGAGGCAAUUGCAACAGACGAUUCCACCAUCCGUUCUUGCCUCAACUUGGUCUACUUUGCAGCCUCAGCAGCAGCUUGCACUGCAAUCCAUGUUGUCCUCAUAGUUUUACAUUUUCCUUUUUUUUUUCCAUCUGUUGGUGUCAUUCUGAAACCCCUCUGCUUUUGUGAUUGGUUUGUCUUCUAGAAAUAACUUUUAUUACCAUUAUUUUGUGUAUUUAUUUGAGUUGGGUAAUGAAUCAGUGUGUCGUCGAGUGAGGUUGUUUUCACCAAUAGGAAUUUGCAAUUUUGGUUCAAAGUGCAUAAAUUCAACAGUGAUGCAUAUUUGUCAUGUACACUUGUGAUUGGUUACAAUAACAUGACAAUUCAUGAGGAUGAAGCAUACUCUAAUGAACAUAUGCCUAAUAGACUUGUAUUUAAUGCUACUCGAUUACAUUAUGAUCCAUGUUGAAGUUGGUACAGAUAUUUGUAACCGUAAAUUGGACUUGCGUCAAUAAAGUAUGAAACGCCACCAACAUUUAAUGUCGAUAGCUAUGUGGGACGAGAUUAGAUGUCACCUUUCAAUAGUCCCUUUGGGUUCGGAGAGGACGGCAAGUAUCCGAUUUAGAUUGGGAGUUCCGAAUGCCAUUCGUCGGUGCGUUCCACCAACGAAGCCACAUGGCACGGUGGGAUUAGUCUCCGGUGUAACUCAUCACACAAAUGGUAGCCUAAGAAUUAAUUGCCUUCAAGGAAUGACUUGACUUCUUUUUCAUGUGCUAUAGCGAGACGAUGCGUCUGCCCCAAGUACGUCGGUGAUGAGGUCAUUCGUUGUCAACAAGCAGCAAAUCUUGCACGAUGAGCAACACAAAACGGGCGUGUCGUUGCCCCUCUCUGUCUCGGGUCCACUUCAAUCCUUACGCCUUACGCCAAUUCUGGUUCAUCGAUGCUCGACGCCCGAACCCGAUUCGAGUCGAAUCGAAUCAUCACUCGGCAAUCAAGUCACGUAAAGGUCACGGCACGGAUGGUGCAAUCAUCGUCCGUCCAAAUCCAACGGUUCUUCUUGCCUUGCUGUCUCUAAGGAGCGAGGGGGGCAUUACGGGCAUGUGGGACGUCGGGUAUUACUGAACGCUUUCUAUAAGUGCUGCGCCACCGCGGGCGAGAGGAGAGAGGAAAGAUAAUUCGAGCCCGGUCUCCCUUCCCUACCGACUCAUCUUCUCUUCUGCUGCUGCUGCUGCUGCUUCGGCCAUGGCGAUGUCCGACAUCUUGGUGCUGCUCGUGGUCGCCGCCGCUGGGGUGGGGCUGUCACAGGCCGUCGUUUACAAGGUCGGAGAUGCGGUGGGGUGGACCACCAUGGGGAGUCCCAACUACACCGCCUGGGCCAUCUCCAAGACGUUCCACAAGGGAGACACCGUAGGCGAGUUUCUUCCGUGACCUCUCCAUUCUUUGACGUGCUUUGUCUUCUCCAAGAGAUUAAAAUUGCUGCAGGGAUUAGAUGAUGGUUUUCGUUUCUUUUUCUUUUUCUUUUCUUCUCCAAAGCCAACACUUCUCUUGAAUGGUUUCAGAAGAGGAUGUGUCGCUGUUUUCGACUCAUUUAAUGUUACGAAAAACCGAUCAAUGUCGGAAUUGAUUGCGGUCAAAGAUUUAUGACUCGGACGGUUGACCAAGAUUAAGGUCAUGGCGUUUCUGAUGUUAGCUUGAAUGCAUGGCUGCCACUUGUCCGGACGGCGAACUCGAAGCUUUCUGGUGGCAGCGAUCACGUUUCAUCCGUGGAUGUUGUUGAUGCAUAUCCUAAUCUUAAUGCGUGCGUUGGCUUUUGCAUUGGCAGUGUUCGAGUACAACAACACCUACCACAAUGUGCUGGAGGUGAGGAGGGAGGACUACAAGGCGUGCAAGGCGGCGUCGCCCAUCGCCACCUACACCUCCGGCAACGACUCCAUCAAGCUGAAGCGCCACGGCCACCACUUCUUCAUAUGCGGCAAGCCCGGCCACUGCGAAGCCGGCCAGAAGGUGGACAUCAGGAUCCCCAAGCCCACGUCUUCUGCUGCCCCUUCCGGCUCUCCCGCCGGAUCCCCUCGUCCCGCCACUGGCGGCAAGGGGGACGUCUCCAGUCCCGUGGCCUCCCCUGGGCCCAGUGGCGUUGCUACAGCUGCGCCCGGGGGCCUUGCUUUUGCUCUGACGCUGCUUCACCUUGCUGCUCUCGCUGGUGGCCUCCUUCCGCAGUAGUUAUCGCAGGGGGGCAGUGCCUUUGAGAUGAUGUUUCUGAACAUGAUCUCAAUUGUUCUCUUGCGGUUGUAGUCGAUGAACAUUCAUGCUCCAUUUUGGGUGGCUUUGAUAUUGAAUAAAAGGAUACUUUUUUGUUAUAAUUUAUCAGGUAAUUGUUUUUUUUUUUAUCAUAUUCUAUUUUAAAAAAUAUAUCAAUUUGAUCGAUCCAAUUUUUCUCUUUUUUUUUCAAUCAGAUCAAUAUCAUUUUUUUUUUUUUGACUGAGCUCAAGAGACAAAAAAAAAAAAAGGUUCAGAACGAAAGAAAAAAAAAGAAUGGAAGUCGAAUUGAUUUUUUUGAAAUAUAUAUAUAUAUAUAUAUAUAUAUAUAUAUAUAUUAUACAAUAUUUAAGGUGUCUAAUAUAUUGAAAGUAUGUAUAAUUUAUUUCUAGAGUCUAUCAAAAUCCAAUUGGUUUUGUUUUAUUGUUCUACCAAUCUAAGGGCUCAGGAUUGGUAAGCCUAUCCAUGCAUUCAUCUCUUUAUUUUAUUAUAUAUGUUCCAUACAAUCGUCAGAUGAUUAAUGCUUGUAUCAUAUCAUAUCUAAUUCGAGUUACAAACAAGAGUAGGAAUAUUUGAUGCAGUCUGAAGUGAUAUUUUUAAUUAGAUGGAACUGGAGAUUUUACUUAGGUUAAUUAGAACAUUAAUCCAAAAAUAAACAUAUUUAAAUUGAUAUUAAUAUGAUCUAAACUCAUCAGCUUGUUAUUACCAUAUAAAAUAGCAUUAAAAAAUCUCUCAUUCAAUCUUUCCAAAGAAGACCCAUUAAGAUUAAUGUUAGGAUAUAAUACUAUAUAUGAUUUUACAAAGAUAAUAAAUAACAAUUAAUUUUUUUAAAAUUUAUUAAUAAAUAUAUCAUGGUCAAUAAUCAUAAAUAUAAGCAAAUGAGCAUGCUAUCAAAUACAAGGUAUAAGCAUUUUCUUUUAAGAUAUCAAUUUUGUAGCAUUACUUAUUCUAUAUUUUUAUAUUUUUAUUAAAAAAAAUUAAUUUGAUCCGAGGAGGACGAUGUGGAUGAUCGACGGGUGAAAGAUGAUGAUCGAUGAAGGUAGGAUGAUUAUUUUAAAAUAAUAAUUUUUUUAAAAAUUAUAAUACUCUAAAAAAAAAUUAAAUCUGUGUUUUCUUUUUUAAGAAUUCGCCCAAAUACUAAAUCGCUAUUUUUUUCCCAAUAAAUCGCCUUAUUUGUUACGCACAACAACAAAGAACGACUAUAAAAGAGGUUUCCAAACAAACACGGCAAAGGUGUGAAACAGGUUGUCGGUCUCGGCCAAAUCCGCAGGCUGUCCCUUUCUCCUCUGCGUCAACACCAGACGAUCCCCAGAAAGGCCCUUAAUACCAAUUGAAGUGGAAAACCUCCCCAAGUUAUCGACCAAACCACCCUUCCUUCCCUCUUCCAACUUCCCCCACCUUCCCCUUUCCCCAUCUAAUCCAACACCAUGACCGUCUUGUCUUCCUCCUCCUCCUCCCCUUCUUCUGUUCAACUUCUUCUCCUCUUGUUUUCUCUUCUCCUCGCAUCCCUCACCGCCCAAUCCCCCGGCUCCCCGCCCACCGGCACUACCAUCUACGACCUCCUCCCCGAGUACGGCCUCCCGUCGGGCCUCCUCCCCGACACUGUCAAGUCCUUCUCCCUCGCGGAGAACGGGAGCUUCGCCGUGGAGCUCUCCGGCCCCUGCUACAUCGACUUCGAAUACCUCGUCUACUACGAGCCCAAGAUCUCCGGCGUCGUCAAGUACGGCGGCAUCGAGGACCUCAAGGGCGUCAAGGUGCGCCGCUUCCUCAUCUGGUUCGAUGUGGAUGCCAUCAAGGUCGACCUGCCUCCAUCCGAGUACAUCUACUUCCAGGUGGGGUGGAUUACCCGCAAGCUCCACGUCGAUCAGUUCCAGACGGUGCAUUCGUGCAAGGCGAAUCAGGGGUUCCUGGAAAGCGCCGAGGAGGUUUUCGAUUGGUCGAUAUAGGUUUGAGCUUUUCGUUCCUUUUUAUCUCUAUUUUUUGGUCUAAUUGUGGUGAGAUUUGGGAAUCAUUUCUUGUGCUAAUCAUAAUGCGGACUUUAAUCGUGCCCUCGUUUGACUUAGUUGUACUUCGCCAUGCUUUUGCAUUGUUGACUAGUUAUUUUUUUGCUUUGUGCUCUUUAUAUGAAAUACUUCGGGGACGAAAUUUUAUGUGGAGCAUGAAUUUGCACUCUUUCUGUUCGCAUAUGCAGAAAAUUAGAAAAAUCUUAUAUGAAAAUUUUGAACUACGUAAUUUGAAGUUUGUAAGUUGAUCGAGAAUUAAUCUUCGCUAAUCUUGGUUUGUGAUGUCUCUGCUCCAGCGCAGAUAUAAUCUUCUAAGGCACUAAACGAGAGAAAAUACAAGUAAUAGAACUGAGAUCCAAGGUGGUUCUUUCUCUAGGUCACCCUUAAAAGAUUGAUCUACCACUGACAGAAAAAAAAAUAAAUAAAUAAAUAAAGAAAGAAAGACAUAGGACAAAGCCAUCCAAUGUCAUCUGUUUCUUUUUGCUCUAUUUGAGCAACCUUUUACUGGGCUAAACAGAGAUGCCCCUUAUCGGAUAAGCCUGGAUGAUGCUUAUUUCAAGUGGCAGCGCCCUUCCCAAGUAGGAGACUGUCUUAAUUUCAUGUCCCAGGACAUUGAGGAUCAAUGUUCCACAAGUUUAGGGGUCACUGCUUCAAAAUAGGCAAGUUUCUAGCCUCCUCUCUUCCAAGCUGUAGGAUACAUUUUUAGUCUAGCUAACUAGCUGCAAAUUCAUUUAAUAUCAGCCUCUUGUUUUGAUGAUCAUCGAACAGAGUUGUCACCAUGUGCUUCCAUCAUUCAUUCCUGGAACUAAAGGGGCUUGAUCCAUCAAUUUCCAGAGCCAGCCAACCUGCUUGACCUUCUGAUUUGCAAACCAACUUUACAGGUGUCCAACCUGGUGCAUUAAGGGGUUAGCUGCCUUUGCUUGGUGCCUUCGGUCUUUGGUUAAGUCAUUAUCCUAGUUAUCACUUUUAUUUAUCUCAUAUUGUUGAUUUUUAUGUUUUAUGUUUCUUUCAAUAGUCCCACAUUGUUAGUUAGGUAGGUUUGACAGCCUAGAACUAGUAUAAAUAAAGACCUCCUCCAAGUCUAUGAAAUUAUCAAAAGACAAUAUCUUCAGGUAUUGUAAAGGUUUUCUCCACCAUAAAGAGUUGAUUUAUUUUGUCCUCUCUUAUCAGGUCAGUUUAUUAGAAUCUUUUCUAGUAGUAAUUUCCUAUUUUUAUUUCCGUUAUGCGUCAUUUUGUCCCUCCACUACUUAUGACAUUCUUCUGGUACAUUCCUUCCUGUGAGAGCGACACCAUGAUUAUCUCAUGAGAAUAGUGCCACCAUUAUCCAUACGGCAGUAAUGUUUAUGAGACGGUUACGAUAGUAGUGUUGAAUAGGAAGACCUUCAAGAGAAGGUUUUGGAAGAGUCAUUGAAGAGUAUGCAAUGAUGAAAAUCAGUGAUAUGAUAGAAAUUGAAGUAUGCAUUGAAUGUCAUGUGAAGCAUGUUGCAAGGGGCUCAUCACUUGAUGAGAUUUAAGAGAAAUCAGCAGAUGAGCCGCAGUUGAUCUUAUAUUAUAUGUCUUAGUUUGUAUGAAUGGUUAGAUUGAACUGAACUGAACUGAAUCUGGUCUGGGUCAAAAAGGCUCAUUUGUGCUUAGUUGAGCUGGCUCAAUUAAAGCCCAGAAGCCCACAUGGCUCCAUCCUGACCUGUGCUUAGUUGAGCUGGCCCAAGCCAGUUCAGGCCCAUUUUUAACUCCAACUGAGGCAAACAAGUUGUAUUUUUCUGUGCCCUUUUUAAUUGUGUAGGUGUCUCAGCUGACACUACAUAGUUUUAGCUUGCAUCAACCAAAACCAUUGUUUUAGCUGCUCACUAGUUAAAAUGACACAUUUUUUUCUAUUGUAUCUUUUAAAGGUUUUUUUUUUUCCUUUCUUCUUUAUCAGCCAAGGAUCACUUAUAAUUAGGAUGAUCUUAAUUUUGAGGGUUUUCUUGUAGUUUUAGAAACUUCUAUAUAUAUUUGGCUGAGUUAAAAUGACUCAUGCAAUUCAACAUAUUGUUAAAAAAUACAGAAAAAUUGGUCCAACUUUGGAUUUUUGUGCAACCUUGAGUUUGAUGAAUUUGACUCUCAAUGUCCAGCUAGUACAUGGGUAACUCAACUGAGUUACUGAAUUUGCUUGCCACGUUUUCUAAAACUGGACCCAACUUGCCUAUGUUGACAAGAACUUUUUGCUUUGACUAUAUCAGGUACUCCGACACUUUUCUUCUUCAAAAUUUUUUAAAAGGAAGUCUAAAGUGAAGGAAACUGAUAUUUCCAAACUUUGUGCUUCUUUUUUGUUUGAUGAACUCCAUUCCAUGUGCAGAGGAAUGAACCUCCUUGAUUCAUUUCAGUCUCUGAUUCCCAGAAUUUUUAUUCCUGGUUUGUCCUGGUUUUCUUUUGAUGACAUGCAUUAGGCAUUCAUUUCAGUCUCUGAUUUCGUCUACACUUUUGUCUGUCUCCUCAACUAAACAUCCAGCUUAUUGUUGAUCAGAGGAUUUACUAGUAGUGGCAUGUCAUUAAGCUGCCUCACUGAUCAUAUGAAUGUGCUCCUGUAACUGUUCCUCUUACAUUGAAGUAAUACAUCAUUUCUGUUCUUUUCACUGGUGCAGUUUUGAUCCUAAAGUAAGAGUAGCAAACUCACUUGAAAUGUACGACUUUGGUCCAUAGACUAAGCAUGGAGAAAUUUGUCGGAUUAGUGAUCCUGAGAGUUAACAUCGGACAUGUUCAGGAUGACCCAUGCUGAAUACAGAUAUUGAGUCAUAGAGGGAUGGUUGAUCCCACUAGUAAGCAUUUUUUGCUAGUUGCUCGUACGUCAUUUGACAAUAAAUUUCUGUAACUUUUACCUAAUGCCAUGAUUUGUUUUGUUGCUCUUCCUAUUAUUUUUUUCAAUGUCUUCUGGAUGGGGGGAACCAAAGGAAACAUCCAAAGGUGUGCAGACACAAAGCACCAGGACAUGCAUUCUUUGAUGUAGAUUUAAUGCACCCAUAUCAGUAUCAUGUGUCAAGUUAUGCCUACAUUUGGAAUGUUCUUUCAUGUAUAAUAGAAUAAUCUAUUUUGCUGGAAUAUUAGUGUAAGCAAUAGACUAUCUUUAAGCCUGAUGUCUUCAAUUAAUUCUUUCUUUCGCAAUUUUGCAGCUCUGUGAUAUCUCCCAGCCAAUGCCAUAGAUCAAGCUGGAGACCAUUGGAAGAUACAGUUAGGCAAUUCAAGGCAGCCUAGCUAGCGAUGUAACUGUCAUUUGGCAUCUCUACAACCGUAUGAACCUUUGGCAUGAAGAUAUCCUUCCUUAUGUCACUUACCUAAGCUUCGUAAGUGGUGGUUCAAUCCAUCUAAAUAACAUUACUCUUUCUUUCUUUCUUUCUUUGUAGUAAAAUGAUUCUAAUCAUGCUCUCCUCAAUUCAAAACAGAGGAUUUAACAAGAACUGCGCCUGCUAACUCAGCAGCAGUAGAAUAUUAUGGCAUUUAAUUCUUCUUAUGAAGCAUUAGUCAGUUAGAAAAAUAUGAAUGGCUACAGAAACAUAAAACAAUUAAGCUCGUAUAAGAUUGACAAGGAAUCUAUCUGAUGCAAUCAUAUCUUCGUAAAAGCACUUUCAAAAGUUAGGGACACAAUCUCAUAAUAAUUUGUUUGAAAUAUCAUUCUCCUCUCAUCUCUCUUGCAAACAAAAAGACUUACUAAUCUGCUAUCACAACGCUCAAAUUCUAUGUGCACCUCACUGACUAAGGAUAGAUCGAGAAUAAGCCACUAUAAUGGACGAAUGGCCUACAUGUCACAUACCAUACAACUCUUGCGACAAUUCCCAGCAGUCUCAUUGUUUCCGAUCAUGUAGAGGGGAUUCUUUUCGCACUCUCCUGCAGCAGCCCAUCGAGGACAAAACUCGCUUGCAUCCGAGCAAUCCCCUCUUGUGCUUGUCCUCUGUGGAUCCUCAAAGGACCUGACAUGGAUCCAUUUUGGUGCUGACCACUUCUCGCCUUCUAUGACAGGGCAGCUUCCAUGUAAACUGGCUGGAUCUGUUGUGCCAUCGAUGUGAAGACUGAAGAAGAGUACAGCAUCACCCUUGUGAGGUUUCACUGCAAGCAUACAAACCACAAGGUAAAGACACAUUAUAAACGUAUCAUCAGAACAUCGAGCUGAUCAUAAACAUUUCAAUCAGCAUUCUUAUUAAAGUACCUGCAAGGCCAUUUCUUGCACACUCGGACCAGGUUUCAUCUUUAUGCUGAGAUGAAGCACCCUGAAACAGUCGCAUAUAACUACGAUGUAGAAAAUAAAAUAAAACAAAAAUUGCAAGCUUAAGUUUCUUCACCUCUGCAUUUGGAAAAACAGUCUCCCCACCCUUUUUCACAGUAGAAAGAUACAUUAGCACUGUAGCAUAUCGAUGUCCUCCUCGUGCUUGAUUCUUUGGAUCACGAAAAUAGUCAUAAUGAGGUUCAUACUUUUGACCAUCCUGGUAGCGCAGUACUUGAAUGGAUUCACCGUUCUCUGCUUUACCGACAGAGUUGCUGAUUACAUAUAGAAAGGAUAAAAAGAAAAUUUACAUCGAGCAAUAUACAAAUUCCAUAUGGAAUUACCCUCUGGAAGAAAGGUCCAUGCCGCAAUUCUGCUCUCGAUUCUUGCGAUUACCUCAUCCUUGGUCCCAAGAGAAAGAUUAUGUUAGACUCCCUAUCUUAUUCGAAUGCAAGCAGCAAACUUUGUGUCACUCGAGCAACAGUAGGUAUCAGCAUUUCUUCAAGUCUAGUGAUCCAAUCAAAAGAAAGAGACGGCCAUAUCUUAAAGGAGUCAAAUUGAAGGAGGAUAGCUUCUGUUUUACUUAAGCUUGGAUCAUCCACACUAAAUAAUCUAAUAAAAUGUAGUAAAAAUCUGAUUUUUAUGAGCCAUGGUAAUUCUAAGCUUUUAAUCGAUUGAAAUAUUCCAUGAGCGAGAAGGAAGAUGACCAAGAGAGGGAACAAAAGUACCUGGUGCUUCUGGAGGAACAUGCCGGAGCUCGUCCGCACGUUGCUCUUGACGCUGUUGCCGGAGCCGUUGUCCGCCACCAUCGAUCUCGCCAUCUUGCUCCUCGCCUGCUCGAAUUUGACAUGAAAAUGAGUAGACAUGAACGCAAACUUAGAGCCAUGAAGAGGCAAAGACAGGAGGAUCUCCCUACCAAUUUGAUGAUGUGAUCACAUUCCUCGUCAGAAAGAAACCCCUUGUACAGGAAGAUCCUGUUCGAGAGCCAACUCUAUUUGAGCUCCAACAACAAAUUACUACAUGCAUCUACACGUAUAAUCGAUCUUAAAUGGGCACCUGGGACGCCAAGAGAUCUGGGUGACACGUUUGGGGUCGUAGAAGUCGGGCUGGGCGAUGCCGAUAGGGACGAGGCCGGGGAAGGAAGCGAGGAAGAGAACGGCAGAGGAGAAGAAGAAAGCAAGAGGAGAGGCGUAUCCCAUCGCGGAUGCGGUGGAGGAAGUGUUUGUUCCUUGUUCAUCGCUGCGUUAUAAAAAGCAAGCGACGUUGGAAGGAGAGUUCGAAGGUUUCAUAGGCGCCCACCGUGUGCUUUUUGGUUUUGCGUUUCCUGCGGCUGGAGCUACGGAGACAUCUCUCUCUCUCUCUCUCUCUUGUUUUUGACCUUCUCUGUACUGCGUGCGAAGGAGAUGAAAGCUUCAAAUGCUGCGCCCACAGGAUUGAGAGUGAGCUGAGGAGUACUCUUCGGAACUACUCGACGUCCUACCUGCCAUAUGAUUGGAGGACGUCGGGAGACGCUCACCGCAUUGUGAUGCGACGACCGGCAGGUGAGACACGUAAGCUAUUAGCCUUUAGAGUCAACUCCAUCGUCAUCGUUUCAAAGGUGUAACCUGGGGUGCCACGGUCCGGUCCGGUCCGACCGGCUUCGUUUGGCCGCGGAACGGCUCUUGGUCGACUCGGAUUCCGUUUCGACCGAAUCAAUCGUACUGGCUUAGAAAUUUUAUGCCGGCAGCCCACGAUGUCUUGGUCGUCGUGGGCUUAACAUUAGGUUAAUUAUAGAUUAUCUUCGUAUUGGAUUGCACAGUUAUACUUUUUAGUAUUUCUAUUUUUAGACUUAAAAAAUUUAAAUUAAAAUCUCUAUGGUUUUGAAAAUAAAAUAUCUUAUUUAAUUUCUCCUAAUGUCAUCGGUUUUAUUGGCGGAAGUAUGAAAGCGAUAUGCAAAAAGAUAAUUUCAAUAUUACAAUUACGUUUUCAAUGGUGAUAAACGACGACACCGUUAGGGGUUGUGACAAUUGUGUCGACAUCAACAUAAAUGUAAAGCAGCAUCGAUGCAGAUAUAGAGCGACGAAAGGACCACUCGACAUCUGCAUCGGUACCAACAUAGAUGUAGAGAGACGAAAGAGCGACGAUCUAUUGCGAGACAGAUGCGACCUUCCUUUGUUGGGCCUGCAACGCGUUUGUCCACCGCACUAACUUCCUCGUGGCUUUGCCACGUCCACUAGAUCACUUAUGCCUCUUGCCACUCCCUCGACACUAACGGUCGUAACUUUGGAGUACACCUCUAGUUGUCGGAGCGUCGCCCAACUACCCCUUUCCGCUCUCGCAUCCUGCUCUUGGAGGUUGAUGGCGAAUCGCAACAUGGCCAUGAGGGCCACUUGUAGUGGUAGGGUCAUGAUUGUUUCUUGGUGUAGUAGGUCAACCACGUGAGCCACUGCUUCCAUGCACCAUCAUCCGCUCCGUAACCCCAUCUUUCGUCUCCAACCUUAGAUGACGAUCGCCACCCUCUCCUUAAUCACCUUGUGUGGUCGCUUCAUGGUCAUUUGUCAAGGAUCUGUGGGCUUCUUCGCCUGAGGUAUUAUUGUGGACUCGAACGUGGAAAGACAAGAGUUAGAGGAUGAGGAGGCCAUGUAGUACGAAGAGGAGGAUACAAGAUCGAGAUCGUGGGAAGUGCAGAGGGGGUGGACCUAUGCCGGAGAUGCAACAACCAACAUUGAGGGAGUGGUAAGUGGCAUAGGUGACUUGAUAGACGUGAUGAGCCAUGAGGAAGUUAGCUCCAUGGACGAACGCGUUGUAGGCUCUACAAAGGAAGGCUGUGUUUGGCUCAUAGUAGACCAUCGCUCUGCAUUUACGUCGGCAUUACUCGACAACUACGUUGGCGUCGAGACAAGGGCCGCUUAGCAUCUAUAUCAACGUUCAUAUAGUUGUCACAAUCCCUCGCAAUUGCCAUCUGUCCGAAAAUAUAAUUCAGAUGUUGAAAUUAUUUUUUUGUCAAUUGUUUUUGUGCUUUUAUUUAGGACAAAUGGAGAUAGAUAUUUUGAUUUCAUAAUUAUAAAAAUUUUAAUAUAAAAUUUUUAAGUCUAGAAGCUUAGUUUAAAAAAAAAAGGAUUCUAUGGAGAGAUAGAACAACGCAGUUAAGUCUUAAACAAAAAAAAAGAGGGAUUCGAUGGAGAGAUAGAACAACGCAGUCAUACCGUCAAUCACCAAUCACGUCUUUGGUUGUAAUGGAGCGGCUCGGUAGACUCGAAUUGGAUUCCGUUUCGAUCGAGUCAAUCGUGCUGGGUUGGAAAUUUCAUACCGACGGCCCGCCCAUGUUGUCUUGGUCGUAAUAAAGGGCUAAAAACUUGGCCCACUACUUGACAAAAUGGAUUCAAUGGACGAAGAGAUGGAACAAAGCAAUCGAACCUUCCGGUCACCAUCGUGUCUUGGCUCGUGCAAGACUCGACUCGGAUUCCAUUUCGAUCGAAUCAAUCAUGCUGACUUGGAAACUUCAUACCACUCGGCCAAUAUGUCUUGGUCAUAAUUUAAAACUUGACCCACUAUUUGACGAGCUUCUUAUUAUUUAAAGUCCUCUUUUUAUCAUCGUAUAUUUUUUUAUAAAAAUUAAUAAAAAAUAAUUUACUGAUUGUCGAUCUUUCAUUGAUGUGAUCGUCAUCAGCUCUGUUGGCUACGGAAGAGGAGGAAGGCGCUAUACCGAUUAUCGAUCCAAUCUAUCUGUUUGGAGUCGAUCUUCUGUCGGCUCUGUUACCUCCGAAAAGGAAAAAGAAAGUUAGAAGAAGAAAAAGAUGAAAUGGAGAAGGAAGAAAGAAAAUAAACAAGAGGAGAAGUAAAAAAAAAAAUAUUUUGAUACAUUUGCAAAGGAGUAUUUUAGAUAUAUUAAAAAUAAAAUGAAUUAAAAAAAUAAACUACAUCUGAUGACACUGUUUCCAAAAGAGAUGUUGAUUUUGAAUGGUGUUUCAAUUGAUUUUCUAGUUAGAAUAAGAUUUAUUUUAUUAUUAUUAUUAUUAUUUUAUAGUAAUUUUAUGUUUUUAGCAUUAUUUUAUCUUGACUAACUUUGAGCUUCGAUAUCCCAGAAGAUUAAAUAUAAUCGAUAGCCACAGCUGUGCAGGUGUUAGAACAUCCUGGUUGGAGAUGGUGGUGACAUGAUUGAGAUCUGAUCCGUGAAACAGGUCUGCUGCUUGGGACACUGUCUUUGCUCCCCGGUCUCUUCAAAGAUGGUGCAAGAAAAGAACCAAUAAAGAGAGAAGCAAAAGGGAAAGCUACUUUGGUAGUUGAAUUGCCAUUCUGGAUAUACGGUCUCUCUCCUCCUGCUUUGUGUCAUUCCAUAGCUAAGUCGAUUGAUACGAGACUAGAUGAAUUGUCAUGCAUAUUUAAGCUAUUUUCUCGAUGACCUUACACUGCUCAUUUCUCACCGCCAGUAAACCACAUCAAUAUCCUCACACAUACACAUGCACAUGCAGUGAGAGGAGAGAGAGAGAGAGAGAGAGAGAGAGAGAGAUUAAACUCUCUUCGAUUUGCUCAUCUUUCCAUGGCAAGCCAUGGUAGUAUAGUUGCUAGUAGGAUUGUUCUUUUGUGAUCGAUCUUAGUGUAUUAGAUUUACUUUCCUUCUAAAUCAGUAAAGAGGAUGACAAAUCUUUUCACAUCAAGAUUUCUAGAAUGAACUGCUUGUUUCAACAACAGUCGGCAAAGCAAGGAUGUCAUGCGUGGCUAAUGUUUCAGGAGUCAUUGAAGGUGGCGCAUUUCAUGGCGACAUGCAAGCUGAGACCCACACUCUGCAAUCCUUCUUGCGAACAGAAGCCUCCAUUCUUUUGCGCACCACUAUGCUUCGACCGGAGGUUGUCGAAGUCUCCCCAAUCUCCUGAGAAGCACACCCAUAGACACGAUGCAGUAUCAGCUUCAUCGAUCCCAACAGUCACAAAGUCUUACCUUAGAUAUGCUACGCAUCGAUUUCAUAAUGAGACGAGAACGAGCAGGAAGAAAUCAAUCGCAAGUUGUGCAAACAAGCACCAGGAAAAGAACCUAUAGAGCUCGGUAGAUCUCAAAAAGCUUAAGCGAAAACAUCGUGAGCUGUAUUGUGUACCUGUUGUGAAUGGGAUCAGGCCCCUUGGGCACUCUCCUCUUGCAGGCAUUGAGCGGGUCCAAGCUCCUGUUCAUGGUGAGCAUGUCUCUUGCUGAAGCCACGACUGCAACAGGCACCGGCGGUGGUGUUCCUCCGCUAAUCGUGGAUGCAGAGAGAAGGAGCUCGAUACACAAGCAGCAUACUAGGCCAGUAACCAAGGCCCUCGUGGACCUACCACCGCACAUUCUUCCCCUUCUCCUAAAUCCUCUUCCCUUGGAACAGCAGGUUGCCGUCGGAGUCGGAAGAGCAAAGCCAGGGAGAGAGGUGUGGGAUGCUGUUGUCUUGUGGAGGGGAUUGGUGUGUGUGUCUUUCUCUUUACGUAUCUUCAAGAGAUGGGAGGCAUUUUUUGGUGCAGUUUCGUACAAUCUAAAAGUAAAUGCAAAAAAGGAAUACGAUAAGAAGAAUCCCAUGCUUGGGACCAAAAAUGGCCCCACGAACUGCUUUAUAUGCUUGGCUUUGUGUUGGAGCUCAAAACUGCUCGUGCUCAGCUCAACCAAGCGUGUUCUGAUCCACCUUUCUUGCCCAAUAGAUUAAAGUUGGAUGUGAGUGAGGGACUCCGUGGUUUGCAACUGAGAGAGAGAGAGAGAGAGAGAGAGGCAAUGUGUAGAAGCAGAUGGUCCCAGUAAACUACAGAGAGGGACAAAUGGACCAUCAAAAUAAAACAAGAACAAGGAGAAAAAGGGCUACAUUGCCAUUGGGAAACACCGAAUACAGUUCAUGACAGAAGAAGAUGUGUACUGGAUGGGAACAAAAAGUGAUGAGAUGACAAAGACAUCAAAUGCUUCAAGAUUUGGAUUCAGUCAUACUGAGGCUUAAUUCUCCUGACAAUUGAGGGAAUUCAAUUUUUAGAUUUGUGUGUAACCAACCUGACAUCUUGGUUGGAGAUUUAAGCCACCUUCUGAGUAAGCAAUUUGGCUGAUCCCGUGCAAACAUCUCAGCUAAUGAUUACAAUUUUUACAAUGGCUGCUUCAGUGUCAAAGGAAAUCAUCCAAUUCCAAAUGAUGACAUCUCUGCUAAAUUAUUACGGGUGUGACUUCUUAUUCUGCUCCAGUGCAAACAGCAAACAAUGGAUCGUCCAUGACAUGCAGUGAAACUAUAAAUUUUGAACUUUACAUCAGAGUUUCAACUCAUAUAACAAGAAAGAACAUACAAAGUCAAUCCAAGAUUCUGGGUGAUUAAAGUGAAGCUGUAAAAUCCUCAUUUAUUAUAGAAUAUGCUAAACCAUGUAAAGCAACAAUAUGUGUAAGUUGUAAAUGAUAUAUUCAUAUAGAAAGGAGAGGCGGCAGUGGGCACUCAGAAGCACUGGAAGCCAUGGCAAAUAGACAAAAAUAUGAGGAGAAUUAGUGCGAUAAUGAUGCCAAAGACAAUCAGCUUUAUCUUCAUAUUCUCUAUCCACAGUUUCCUCUUCAUCUUUGUACCCUGUUGCCUGAAAUCUUGUGCCUGAAAUUCCAUACGUCGGAGAUCCAUUAGAACUAUGAACAUGAAAAAUCAAGAUCAACAUGCUAGAAAUGAGUAGAAAAAGACCACAAAUUCUCCUAUCCAAAACAACUAACAAAUAUACUACUACCUACUACAUCCAUACUUAUGUAUGACAAAAUGCAUUUUGUACCUGGGAGCGAAGGUUUUCUGUUUUGUCAACAAGCAGCUCAAUUUUCUCCCCACGAUCAAGAACCUAAAAACAGCAGAAAUGGGAAUAAUAACUUACUUUUUGUAUCGGCAAGAAAACAAGUUGGGAUAAAUAAACUUCACACAUAACUGGAGGAUUAAACAGAAAAAAACAUCACCUUCUCAAUAUUUUCCAUCAUGACUCCUUUUACUUCAGAAACCUGAGCUUUCACUUUGGCCAGUUUGUUUAUCUCCUCAGGGUGCUCCACGCAAUAUUUCAUGUGCUCCUUAAGCUUAGACCUGAUACGUCAGCGAUAACUUCAUAAUCUAAUAUGCUAAAACAAACCUACAACAACUAGGUUGGAGGAGAAAAAAAGGUACUUGAACUCUCGGUUUAGGCUUUUGGCUGUAGCCGUUGAAGCUUUUCCUCCUCCAUAUCUUUUAUUGAAGUCCUCCUUAACCCUCUCUAGAAAGGCUAUGGGAAUUUGCCUGCCAGCCGACUCAACAGCAACCACACAAUAAGCUGCAACAUUGAUAUCUCAAUUAAGCUCCGAUAAGUAAAACCAAUACAAGAAGCAUCUAUUAGAAUGUCUGGAAUGUAAACAACCAUUAACCUAUUACAAGAAACCUAGUAACCUGCCCGUUGCUAUUUGGACAAAGUAAUGGGACUUGGAGAAAUAUGUCAAAAGGCAUGUGUGAGACCAAAACACAUUGAGAAAAAUAUCACCCUGGUUUGUGAACCUAUGUUGUUCUUAUUGACAACACUUUUGUUAGAAUCCAAAGUGUGGUUUAGUGGAAAUUCCAACAAGUGCUUCUUGUGAGCAAAAAGAAAAUGCUACAAGUUGCAAUUGCACGUGUAGCUGUUUGGAUGCCGGCAGUAUAGUUACUAAUUAUAGUUGCAACUAAAAUAGCAGUGGUGGCUAGUGCUCAGAGAGGAAGGAACUUUAUCAACAUCCUCCAAGAAACAAGCUAUAUAAAUGUGACAUGUAUAAUCUUCUAGCUUCGUAUGUCCUGUAUACUACUAUACUACUAUGAGUCAUUUCAUUCGUAUUAUGCGCAGAAAAAAAUGGUUGAGCAUCUAGUUAAACACCAAUUAAAGAAAAUACAUCAAUAACCACUUGAUUCCAUCGUGUUAGCCUAAUAGCUAACUAUAUACCUGUUAAUAAGGAAAAACAUUUGUUUCUAGGGUUUACUUGAAGGAACUAAAAUUAUUUAUGGCUAGUUAUUGACAGCAUCCAUGUGCAAUUUGCUAGUUCAUCAUUAACUAUAUCUACCAAAACCCCUUGCAUCCCUAAGAGAGGUAUCCUAUGGAGCUUCUCAAAAACUUUAGCUGUUUUAUAUUUUAUAAACAUUUCAUAUAACUUGACAGGUAAACUUUUAGUUGUAAAGAUUCUAAAUCUAGUCAAGGGAUUUCUCAAUCUUCAAAAAAUUAAAUUGGUCUAAUGGACCAAAUUUAGAAAAGGCUAGAGAAGAUGAGAAUAUUCUAGACCUAAUGUGAUUAACCAAGCUUCUAACUGUUCUUUCCACCUAACAAAUUUUGAGCAAUUGUUCUAUUAUUGAGCAAUUGUCUUUGUUGAUGCACUAGUGUUUUAUUGUCUUGAUCAUUGUUGUUGUGCUAGUGUAUAAUUGCAAAAGUGAUAGAUUUUAUGUUCAAGUCCACAUAACAAUAUUAUGCACUAUCUAAUGUAAUAAAAAACUUUUCAAAAAUAUUUGUAUAAAAAAUAAAUUUGAGAAAUUGAACCACAACUUGAGAUUGAAGAUUAAUCUAGGGUCACUAGGCAAAUUCUAAAUUUUUCGUAAGCAAAAAGAUAAAUCAAGAAGUGCUAUAUCAUGCAAAUGUCUUGAUCAUUGUUGUCGUCGUUUAUUCAUUGAGCAAAAAUGCAAUUGAUAAUUUCUAUAUUAUUCAUUUUUUUAAUUUGUUAUGAUAUUUGUUUCAAGCAAAUAAUUAUAAGAUACCUAUUUGUAAGAACUUUUAUUUCCCUUUAAUUCAAAAUUAUAAUUUAAAAUAAUUAACGAUAGUUAUGAAAUUUAAAUCCUGAUAUUUAGAUCUAAUUUUCAUAAUUUUAAAGUAUUACAACACAGAAUAGUUGAAUAAGUCAAGGAAAAGAUGUAAAUUUUGAAACAUUCUAGACAAAAUUUAAAACUACUUAGAAUGAAAGACCAGGAGUUUCAUUUCGAAAUAAAAAAAAUAAGUGACUAUUUAUUCCGGAAAAGGGGAUGUAAAAAUAUUUGCAAGCUGGUCCAAAUAAGUAUUAUUUUUAACAAUGAAUAAAAUACUGUUUUAAAUUAAAUAUCAUAUAGAAAUAAAACAGCUAAUAAAACUCUUUUAUCAAAUAGAAAACUAAUUUGACAGGUAAAAAUAAAAACUGUCUUUUAAAGAUAGAAAUGUUCAGUUUUCUAAAUUUGUGUUUUCUGAAUCAGUAACAUUUUUUGCUGAACAGACUUCUUUUAUAAGAAACAAAAUCUGUUGAUAUUUCUAAAAUAAUUAUUUUUGAACAAUUAUAAUUUUAUUUGAAAAAAAAAUAUUUUUAUAAAUGAAUCUGAGAUAUUUAAUUUAGAACUCUAAUUUAAUAACUCUUUUUAUAAAUUUAGCAUAAAUACUUGUUUCAAGUAAAGAAGAUACAUUAAAAAUAGAAAUAUGUUUUUCCAAAAAAUAAAAUAAUUUUCUGUAAACAAAAAAACAAAAGAAAAUUCAUAUCUAAGAUAUUAAUUUAAAAAUAUAAAAUAUCCAAUAAAUUUUCAGAAGUAAGGUCUCUAAAUUAGUUUCAUUCCAACUUGAAUAAAGUCCUUCCAAUAUUUUCUUGCUUUAUUAGAUGACAUGCUAAUUGUUGAUGACAAUAUUAAGAACAAUACAUAUUUGAAAAAGAAAUCUGUCUGAAAGAGACUAACAAUGUGUAAAUAAAGAAAUCGUUAUCAUAACUUGCAAAGAAAAUAAAAGAAAGAAACAAAAGAGAAUGUUUGAGGGAGAAAGCAUAAUAUUCUAUCAGAGAAGUAGAAACCUUUAUUGAUUAGAUGGCUGAUUUAUGUUGACUUUCAUGAUUUUCAGCACUCAUUCUUUUUAAUUUCAUUAGAAUUAACAUUAAGCUCGAUGAUUGGUAUUGAUUUAUGAAAAACUUACUCCUACUCUGUUAUUUAACAUCUCUAUUGAUAAGAUAUUAGCUUUCUCCAUGGUGUAUUUGUAAAGCGCAUCUAGGUGAUUAUAUUAUGGACCAAAAGUUAUUCUUGUGGAUAGUUGAUCUAAAGAGGACUUUAGAAAUUGUAACAAUUUUAAUUUAUCUUGCCUUGCAUGUGAUUGUAUUCUUUAUUGUUCCAUUCCUUUUUUGAUUGGCUUAAGUAUUGUUAUUUAUUAGAGCUUAAUAUAUUAUUUUUGACCUACACGAAGAGGAAAAAGACAAUCUUUAAAUGUUGCACAUUCAUGCAUCUAUUCCCAACGUUCAAAAACAUAACACGUGGUCCAAGAACACCAGAAACCACGGAAGCAACCGAAUCAAUCGCACAAAACCUUACACGAUCCAUCCAAAACUACGCCACGGAGCUAACAUUCUCCCCACCGAUCAACCGCAAGAUAGAAACGCGACAAAAAUCGACCAAAUCGCAAGACAGGGGAUUCGGGGACUCACUGUAACCAUCUUGGACGAGGUAAUUGAAGGUGUGGCCGUCGCAAUUGUAGGUAAACUUGUUGCUGGUGGCGGGGAGCUUUUGGAGGCAUUGGGAGGCGACGGUGGUGAAGUUGCCGGUGAACUCGGUGUAUUCCGCCAAGAUCACCGUCCCUCGGGCGACGAAACUAUAGAUCAGAGAUUGCUGCCCCAUCUCCCCGCCACCAGAAGGAGAAACCGUAACCCUAGAUCUGCAGAAGCUCUAAGGGAGGAGGAGCGUGAGGAGAUCGAGCAAUGACGACGUAAAAAGGGGCUGUUCUGUUUUUAUUAUUCGCAUUUGGAAGCUCGGGGAAAUGAUGCCAAGAAUAAAUGUUUAUGCAUCCCACGGGUUCUAUUUUUGGGAGGGAUCCGUUCCGUUUCAGGGAGAAGCGUGUUUUGCCCUUACCCUCUUCGAUGUUAAGGGAUGACAGCAGUUGUUGAGGUUGGUUUUGGUAUUGUCCAAGUUUUUGAUGCAUUUAUGAAUUAAAAAUAAUGUUUAUCUUUAUUUACACCUUUUUUUUUUAGAAAAUUCAUUUAAUGGUCAUCGCUUAACAGUUAAUUUUAGAUGGUAUGAGAUCCAAUGUGUAGGGACGAAAUCCAAAUGACAAUUUUUGUUUUUGAAUUUUACUAUUUGUUUGUCGGACAUUAUCGGAUUAUAAAGAAUGUGAGUAUCAUGAUUAUAAAUUUUUUAUUAUUUAAUUUUUACAAAUUAAAAAAAAUAUUAUUUUAUUAAAUGAAGAUAGGGUUAUUCAUAUAUUAUCUUUAUUUUUAACUUUUUUAUUUACAAAUAAUAAAUUAUAUUUGAUCCCAAAAUCUUGUCAUUGUUAAUCAAAUUAUUUAUAAUUUAAUAUAUAAAAAUUUAUGAGUGAACUUUUGAAAAAAUAAAUCUCUACUUUUUGAAAUUGUCCCAAUAAGCCUUUACUUUUAAAAAAUUUCAAAAGAGCGCCCCCUACCCAUGUGAAAAGAUCAUUUUGUCAUUUCUUACGCUAGACUCAACCUAUGAGAGGCGCCUUCACUAACCUCAUCGACCCAACUAUUACAUGCCUCGCCCACAACUCUCAUGACGACAAAGGUGUGUGCCCCUCUCCUUCUUUCUCCUUUACAAUCAAUAGCGAGGGCACAUGGAUCACCCCAUCUCCUUCUUCAUAUAUGGUUAACGACGCAAGGGGGGCUUGCAGGCGAUGAGAAGGGCUAUGAGUGAGUAGAGAGGGUGGGUCUACAAGCAACAAUAGUAAUGGCUAUGGACGAUUGUUUGAGGUGAAAGCAUGACCACAGGAGGUAAAGGGCAAUGGCCAAUAGGUGUAAAUGGGUCAUUUUAAAAGAAAAAUAAAUUGUUUCAAAAAUUUUUAAAGUAGAGAUAUCUCAAUGAAAUAUUUUGAAGCAUGAACUUAUUUUGAAAAUUGACUCAAAAUUUAUUUGAUAAGGUCUUAACCUCUCAAUCUUUGUUAAAUAGACCUAAUACACCAUUAUGAGUCUAAUAUUUUAAUAAAAAAUAUUAGAUAAAAUUUUUAAUCAUCAACCUUCAAUAAGUAUGUUCUAAUAUUUUAUGUAUGCUUUAUGUAUAAAAAUCAUCGAGUAUUUGGAAUCAUUAUUCUUUGAUAAGUAAAUAUAUUAUUACUAGAUAAAUAUUUUAAUAUAUGAAAAAUUUAUUGAAUGAGGUAUUAAUUGAUGGAUAUGGUAUACCAUCACAUUAAGUGUAAAAAUUUAUCAAAUAAAAUUUAAAAUAAAUAUAUUUUUGAUGAUUAGAUAUUAUUAAAAAAAAAAUCUUGAUGUCUUAGUCAACUCGACGUGGUCCAAACCUGUGUAUGUAGGAAUGUCCAAAGUAUCUCGAAGUAUUGCACUCCCGAUGUGAAAGUAUUGCGCUAUUGAAGUAGAUGUAUUCACACUCCCGAGUUAAAAGUUUUAUACUCCUAAGGUGGAGGUAUUGUAUUCCCGAUGUACCACCUACAUGAAGAUUAAGAUCAAGGGAGGUUUCUAAACCUAAUUUUUUUAAUGCUCAAAUUAAUAAUAUGAGGCCCCUAAAUAUAUGCUCAAAUAGUUCAGGAAAGGAGAGAGCUCUCCUUUUCCUUGUUUAGAAUAUAUUUUUAUAAGUAGAGGAACGAAGCUUGUGAUGACCUUAUCAUGAAGGAAGAGAAAAAUUUAAGAUUAUUUUUCUUAUCAUAAAGGGAGAGAAGGAAGCUUAUGAUUGUCUUCCUUGUCAUUAUCGUAAUGAAGAAGGAAACUUAUAUUUUUCUUCGAAGCGGAUGACUUGAAUCUCAUAUGGCAACCAUGUGCCAGACGAUAUAUUUCCUAUCACGUAUGAGAUAGAUUUAUAUUAGUGUUUCUUACUUAAAAAAUAUUUUCUUUUUUAGUUCAACUACCUAUCACAUAUGAGAUAGAUUUAUAUUAGUGUUUCUUACUUAAAAAAUAUUUUCUUUUUUACUUCAACUAUUUUAGUACUAGAUUGUUCUGUUUCUUAAAUAAAGCUCAGGAACUCAUUACCUGUAACAACCCUUUACUUAUUAUUUCUCCAUGUUUUUGUGAGGCUUAUACAAAGAAAAUUAAUGGAACUUCCAUCGCUACUUAGAUCUUUAUUUUGCCAUCGAAGCAUUAUCUUCGUCAUCCUUAUUUACUCAGGUAGACAGAUGAAUGAUGAUGGUAGUUUUGAAUAAAUUCUCAAUCAAAGCCUAUAUAAAUAUUAAGAAUAAGCCCUUUGGACAAUUAGCCGCACUUAAGAGUUGAAUUAUAAUCAAUAAUAAUCUAUUUUAUAAUUUUAUAGAAAGGAUAGAAGACAUGAAUAAUCAUCCUAUUAUCAAUAUUACCUUUUAGACAUUUUUAACAUUCUGAUCCUUAGAUUUUAAAAUAAUUAUAUUAAAAUUUUUAUAGUUAUAAAAGUGCAACGUUUAAUUUUACCGACGGAAGUUAUAACAAAUGGCAUCAUAUGCAUAAAUAACACGAAAACGAUAGACAAAAGGGUAAUUUUAAUAUCCCAAUUACGUUUUCGAUGGUGGUGGACGGUGACGUCGCUAGAGGUUGCAAAUGGUUGUGAUCAGCAAGAAUGAUGCAGUUUUCAACAAGAACACUAGGAACUUCUUAUGGGGGGAGGAGGAGAAUGAGGAGGGAGAGUGGUGGUUGAGAGGUGAGGUAAAGGGAGAGGAAGAAGAUGAUGAUGCAGAUGUCGACGCUUUGCAUCUGCAUCGAUGUCGAUGCAAAUGCCACUCUAUAUCUAUAUCAGCACCGACAAUGAUGCGGGGAAGGAUGGUGCUCAUCCUUCUUCCCCCUCUUCCCUUAUCUCUCAUCAUUUUCCCCUUUUGUUGCUUGGCAUGUACAAGGGGUGGGAAGAAGGAUGAGCGAUGCUCGGCAUCCCCACAUCGCUCAUCCUUCUUCCCACCCAUUGUGCAUGCCAAGCAACAAAAGGGGAAAAGGAUGAGAGAUUAGGGAAGAGGGGAAGAAGGAUGAGCACCAUCCUUCCUCGCAUCACUAUUAGUGUCGACGCAGAUAUGGAGUGACACUUCUGUUGCUCCACAUUUGCAUCGACACUGACAUAGUUAUCGUGUGGCAUCGACGUAGAUAUAGAGUGUCGGCAUCUGCGUUGUUCUCUUUCUCCUCUCUCUUUAUCUCACCUCUCACAUUCGCUCUCCUUCUUUAUCCUUCUCCUCCCUCGUAAAAAGUCCAUAGCGUUCUCACUAAUCACCAACCACCCAUGGCCUCAUUACCAUCGAAAAUAUAAUUGAGAUUUUAAAAUUAUCUUUUUUAUAGAUUAUUAAAAUUAUAUUUUUAUCAAUUAUUUUUGUAUUAUUUCUUUAUAUGCUGUUAUAUCUUUUGUCGAUGGUAUUGAAAUAAAUGAAGUUAAAUAUUUUACUUACAUAUUAUAAUAUAAUUUUUUAAGUUUAAAGAUCGGGAUAGUUUUUAAUUAGCCCUCUUUACUGUACAUCUACAAUAUGACGCUAAUCUUACAGGUAUUUGUGAUUAAGGACUGAUUUGAUGCUAAUCUAACUUUUGGUAUUUCCAAUCUUUAUUUUGCCCAUACUAGUGAGAAAAGGGUCUCUCCGACUCAGAGCUCGAUUUCUCUCUUGAACGACCGACUUCCAUUUUUAGCGCUGCCCUUUCUAUUUCUCUCGUUGCCACCACAGUGCACAGACAACACCGAUGGCUCCUCCCCGAGAAGAGGAAGGCUCGAGAGCAACCGAGGAAAAGGAAAGCGAAAAUUAUGUUGAAGAAGAAGCAGGAGGAGACGACGAGGACGAAGCACAAGAAGAUGCUCCUUCCCACCUUCCCCUCGCCCCUUGCUCGGAGGUAGCCUAAUAUUGAAAGACCAAAUAGUUUUUCUUGUCCCUCUUUGCUUCUACUCGUAAAAAACUUGAUGAUUGUCUGAUUAGGUCGAGUCGUAAACCUGCUUGUUGACACUAUUUCUCGGCAACCUGGUGUCUAAUGUGGACUUUCGCUUCCUGGAGCAUCUGCUGAAAAACCAAUGCUCUCUUUCACACAUAAACUCGAACAUUUAUGCUUCUUUUAAUAUAUUUUUUUUCUUUUUAUGUUUCAAGUACUUUUGAUACAUCUCUCGGUAAGUGGCAAAUACUGGUGUUGCAUGGAACAACACUUGUCGUGAUUAAAGGAUGGUUGUUGCAAUCAUGAAUAUUUUCCAAGUAACGAGUCUUAAAAAUUAGUAACCGAAUAAAUGUUUAAGCUGUAUGUAUAUUUGUGCGGUAUGAGUAUUAUUCUUAAAAUGUCUGAGAUUAAUAAUGAGAUUUACAUUUCAGAGCAACUCAUGUAGCAACCGGAAAAAGAUUAAGUAGAAGCUAUAGAUCAUUCGGAGCUAAGAAAACAGAGCAGGGAGAUAUCAGAAGAGUAAAAUUGGAGAAGUAAUGUCAAUGAAGAAUAAAAUAAAGAGAGAAUGCCAACCAAGCUAUUAGAAAGCAAAUAUUUGGGGAUAAUAAUAGAGGGGUGAGAAUAAGAAUCGAGGAAGAAGCUUACCAUCGCAACUCAUUGUCCCCUCACAGUCUCUCAGUUUGUCCAACUUUUACACUGAUUUAUACAUUUUCGAAUAGAAUCCUUUGAUAAUUCAUAUUGUUAUCAUUUUUGUUGUUUUGGAUGGGAUGCAGAAAGGGGUUGUUAAGGCCUUAUUGAUUAGAUAUUGGCCAAAUAGUUGUUAGAAUAAUUAGGAUUUGUUGAAAGGGUGGCAUGUGAAGUUCAACUUGAAGCGCGUACUCAAAGGUUUAAAAUCUUGGUUUGGUGUUGAUCCGGUUGGCGACUGAACUAGUAUGUUUCUGAUGUAGCGACACUUGUUGUUUCGGUUUGGUAAUGUUUGGACUAGAGAGAAAGGAGGAGGAAGAAGAGCAGGGGGGAGAUAGAGAUUGGGCAGUAAGCUCAGUCCCAACCAGUUAUGGGCGUGACUAAUGAUCUGCAUACCAAUUCAUGGUCGGACAGAUAAUUGCCAACCUGUACCAAUGCUAUCCUUGGUUUUCAAUACCUUGGGUAUAAGUAUGAAAUAUAAAUAACUCUACUUGGUUGUCAAAUAAGAUUAGAUGCAAUUGGCUUGCUCUAAUUAAUAAAGGAAUCUUUGGUUCGAAGGGUGAUGCAUCCAUGACUUGUACAAUGAAAAUGAUCUUCUUCGUGAAGUUUUGCUCCUCGUCCUACUUUAUUUUUGAGCUUUGUGCUUCCUUAAUAUCCCCAGCUACGCUUCCAAUCCUGUUGACUUUCUAGAAUUCAUAUUUUUACAUGAUUUGUGAUCUUACGACAUGGACAUCAUGCAGAUAUUUGUGCAGAGUCUGAAUACCGAUUCAAUAGUCAGCUGUUAUUCUAUGCAUUACCUUUUUUCUCUUUUAGGUAUAACCUCUUUUAACUUAUAGUUAGCCUCCUUAAAUACUACAGAUUAGUACUUAAUGACAAGUCUUGUUAAUGAAUCAUGGAUGCCAGUACAGAUAGUUUUGAUUUUGUUGAAGCUUUAUGUUGAGAAGUCUAAAUUGACUUUAUUAAGAUUUUUUGUUGUAUCACUUGUAUGCAGCCUCCAUUUUCUAGGUACAGAAUCUAACAUACUUGAAGUAGUACUAUCUGAAGUUGUAAUUGCUAGAGAGUUUUCAUCAUUUUCAUUUAAGAGCUCCCUCUGUAUAAAAGAGUAUGAUGAUGAUGUUUAUUGUCAAUAGUGAUCUAAAAGCUCAGAUUUUCUGAUGGUUUUUUUAUUUAUGUAGAUACUAGAUAUACCAACAACUGUUGACCCCAGCUAUAUCAUCUCUCUUAUACGGAGACUUCUGCCACAUAAUUCGAGGGAAGGGACUCAAUCUCAAGUGACAGGUAAUCAACUAAAGAAUAAGUAUGCUUUCUGGAACAGAAAUGUGUGAAUCUAAUUGUCUUCAUUAAUAAAAAAACUGUGGUGCAUAAUUACUUUUAAAAAGAUCUUUUACAUGGCUUUUCACAACAAAAAGAACCAUAGUUUUGAAAGAAUGUUGAUGAUUAUAGUAUUUAACAGAAAAUUCUGCUACAUCUGUGAUGGGUUGUGAGAUGAAGCGGGAACUCAGAAAUGAAGAAAGAAGUGUUGUUUUAGAUGAUAGACAAUCAUUAACCGAAGACACAAAAGAUCCUUGGGAAGACUGUGGUUGUGUACUUUGGGAUCUCGCCGCUAGCAAAUCUAAUGCUGAACUAAUGGUAUAUUCUAAGACUUAAUAUUUCAUUAUUUCUUUUCUAACUCAAACUACUGGUUACAGUUAAAAGUUCAAACAUAAAUAAAGAAGUCACCGGGCUUAGUUCCUGUUCUUACGCUUAAAUGUUCAUUAUAAAGAACUUUCUGUCCUUUGUAUGGAAGGCUUAUAAUUUUAUCUAUGCUAUUAACAUGUGAAAUAUGGAUGAUUUUUUUAUUAUUAUUCAAGUAUUCAACUUUUGAUAUUGAUACCUGAUGGUUCUGCCAAUCAUUUUGUCAGUUACACCAAAUGCUUGGAAUUGAAUACAAUUUUUUUGGUUUGUUGAUGACAAUUGGUGGUUAGGAUCCUACUAGUAUAAACAGUUAGGGUGUUCUACUUUGGCUGACUUAAAUUAGUUUAGUUGAUACAAUUUGCUCAAACAGGUCUGUUUGUUGGGAGUCCACCAAAAACUAAGGCUGGUUUAGUUUUGAGACACAUGGCAAAAUUGUGUUUGGUUCUUGUGAGAUUGAGGAUGUAUAUACCAAUCCAACAUUGGUUUCUAUAGCAGACUGGUGUGGUAUCAGUAUAACAAGAUGUACUGCCAAUUCUCACUCGAAAAUAAAUUAAAAAUGAAUAUGCAAGGAUUAAGUUUUCAGUUAUACUGGUUGAUAUGGGCCAGUUCGUAUUAGUCCAACCAAGGACCAAUACUGGUUGAUAUAGAUUGGUAUAUUAUCUGGUAUACCAGUCUUGUACCAGUUUAACUGAUUAACAAAAUUUAUAUUGAAUGAGAUUUAAAUUUUUGUCAAGCAGUGCCCAAGUAUAUGUAUUAUUACUAGUUCCUUAUCAAAAUGGUAAAUACCAAUAAUACAUAUUGAUCCAUCUGGUUUUUAAACCAUGGUUGCUACAUUCAAGUUUUCGAAGUUUGUUUGUUUUUUUGGUCAUCUCAAGCGUAUUAAGAUACUGGUUGGAUUGAAAUGUAUAGAUUAGUACCGACUGGUCUAGCCAAGCAUUAGAAUAGGGUCAUACAACUCAUUAUCGUUUGGUAUGCCAUUAAUUUUCCUUUUCUUAUUAUUGUUUCUAGAAACAGUAAUGGUACAAGUUGGAAUACUGUUUGAUGCCUAUGGUUGCAAUCCUAUAGGCUGUUGAAAAUUGAAACUAGUGUAGGAGCAGCUUUUAAAACAUUAAUUUGGUAUAAAAUAUUUGCAUUCACAUAGAAAGUGUUGGCAAAAUGUUUGAUCCUUGUAAAAUAUGUACAAGAAGAGAGUACUAGUAAAUAGUAAUAUAUUGGAAUCUAUGGUAUGUUUACACAAAUACAGAGCAUUUGCAAACAGGAUGCAAACACGUCGACGUAUCAAGUUAUAAACAUGGUUUGCAUUAUCGGUCUGUACCAAUGUAUCGAGCUAUACCAAGUGUAUUUACACAUGGUACAGUAGGGUAUAUCGAUGUACUACCUAUAUCAAUCCUCUGUCAUAUUGAUACGUACCACCCGUACCAAGUAGUAUGCUUCGAUACGUCAAACCUUGGUUAUAAAGUCAAAAAUGACUACACAAACAUGACAAUAAUACAUUUUGUAUUUUCUGUGAAUUGUUAUAAUUCAUAUGUAGUAUAAUACAGAUAGCUACAAGCAUCGUGUAUGUAUAAUUCAUAUGCGCAUAAAGACCGUUCUGAUAAAUUAGAAACAUUAAUAAUAAUCCAAAUAUGAAAUAAAAUUUUGAGGAUUAAACUAAAUGUCCUACUUAGAUUCAUAUUUUCAAGAUUCAACUUUUCUUCAAGCCUUAUUUCUCUAAUUAGCUAUAUGUAUUGAGAGUUAUUGAAUGAUAGUCAGUGUCUGACACAAAAAGGGCUAGUAUUUUUAAGUGUCUAUGCUUCAUAAAUUGGCAUGCUAUGUAUGUCCCAAAAGACAUGAAUCAACAUGGUUUCAUGGACUCUAGUCUACUCUAAACCUGUGUAACAUGCAUCUUUGUCAUGCUUGUCCUUUGGAUCAAUAACUUUCCAGCAUGAAUCAACACAGACUAAUACUUAAAUCUAUGGUUAUUUACUUGUUUAGGCCCUUAUUGUGCAAUUGUAAAUUGUUUAGCUUUAUUUUGUUCCUUUUGAGAACUUAAAGUCAAGUAUUUUAAUUUAUUAGUUAGUCAUGGUACUUUAUACACUAUCCCAUAUCCAUGCCCAAAAAGGAACAAAAUCUCAUAAACCCAAUAUUUUGAAAAUCCAUGACAAAGAUUUUUCGUGCAUUUUGCUAAUGUAGAUAGUUGAUAUCUGUAUGUUUGAGAAACAAAACAAAGUGAAGUAACUUUUUUGUGAUGUUUUUGAUAGGAUAUGACAUUACUAUUAGGCCUUUCUGUAAUUUUAGCAGUAAAGGUCUUCAAAGGAAGAACAAGGUAGAAGAGAGAUUUGUUGAUGAAUAAACUCUUACUAAACUAAUUGCAUAAAAGAAAUAAUGUCUUCAAGCAUGGCUUUUAGUCUUUGUGAGCUCUCAAUAUAAAUAUAUAGAAAAAAGUAAAUCCUGUCAUCCCAAGCAUUCCUACUAAAAUUAGAGCCUAGAACUCUCAAAGUAUAAGUCCUGAUAAUAACUUAUUUGACCUACACAAGAUGCAUAUUGGAACUCCUUGAAACCAUAAAAUUAGAAGAGGACACCAAGGACUUCGUAAAAUAACUACUGAACUAAUGGACAAAAUCUAUCUGAAAAUGAUAGAAUAAUGAAAAAAUCUAUCAUAUCACUACUAAAAUUUGAUGAGGAGGUUCGUUCAAUCCUCACCUUUCCUAACUUAAUUAGGACUCUUGAGGAAGGAUAGCUUCCCUCCUAUUUCAACUAGGUUUUAGCUGUCGACUCUCUUUUGAAGUUAGAGAGGCAGCCUGCAAAUUGCUAUAUGAGCUGGAAAAUAUUCAUAUUGUGCUAAUUUUGGCCCUUUUGCAUAUAAUUUUGCUGGAUUCAUGUGUCGAAGGGCUGCACCAAGCUGUCUUGAGCUGAAUUGGUCUAGAAGACUAAUUUACAGAUGAUAGGCCAUGGCCCUGCCUCAAGUUGAUGGGAGUGGGUUGUUGGCCGCAUGGUAACUCUUUAAAAAUUUGUCUCUCAUUCGAUUAUUAACAAUCCAUAAGCCACUUUUAAGUCCACUGAUUAACAAGUGGACAUAGAUGUGGAUUUUCCAAUGUCCAAACUUUUCUUACCCCUAUUAUAGAUGCUUGGUUGAGGUGAUGAACAUAACCUUGGAAAUAGAUUUCUAGGAUGAGCCUGAACAUGGAUGUUGGAUGGAUCACGUGAGGAAAAGCAUUUUUCAUCUUUAUUUGAUUGAGGAGCCCGCAAUGAAUUGGAAGGAUGCCUUAAGCACAUAAAAACAAGGAUUUUAAUUUCGAAUGAUAUCGCCCGUAUCGGGUGGUACAUACCGCUCCACCAACAGACCGGUACGUGGACCGCCCGCUACCGAGCAGUACCGUCGAUUGGGGCUGUUUCCGCCUCGUUACCAUUCGAAAUCGGUCAGUGAUAGUCAAUUUCGAUUGUUGCCGCCCACUACCGGGCGGUAUUAGCCGAGGGAGAAGAAAAGGGAGAGCCUGGAGAUCCGGCGUCGUUGUCCCUCGACGAUCCCAAUCCAUCGCCACCCUCCCUCACCGGAGCAUAUGAGAUGUCGCCUCCUCCUCGUCUGAGGUGAUGAGGCAUCGGCGUCGUCGACGACUUCUCCUGAUCCGCGCGGGGAGAAGAAAUUGAGUAGAAGAAACGAGGCAACGUCGCCCCCUUUUUUAUUUUUUAACUUUUUAUUAUAUAUAUAUAUAUAUAUAUAUAUAUAUAUAUAUAUAUAUAUAUAUAUAUAUAUAUNNNNNNNNNNNNNNNNNNNNAUACUCCGAUAUGGUACAAAUUUACGAACCUUGCAUAAAAGUAGGUUCUUUGUGAUUAAGUUCACAAGCAUGCAUUUAUAUCGUUGAUAUAUCUUUUUGAGGUUUUUUAUAGACAUCACUUCUAAUUUAACUGAUUCGUUAGAUGCAUUCUAUUUCUAGUGAAAAUUAUAAGUUGUCUCUGACUCUGUUGAUUGAUUGUUUUUUAAACUUUUCUUAGUUCUUUUUUACGUUUGAAGGAAAUAUAUUGUGGUUCUUGUUGGUUUUAGGUUUAGUAACUUUAGUUAACUAUUUUAAAUGAAUAAGGUUAUUCAUGUGUUAUAAUUUGUAAUUAACAAAAUGCAGGUGAACAAUUUAAUACUUGAAGUGCUACUCACCAAUCUUCAUGUAACUGAUUCUUUCCGGGUGGUGGUAAGAUGCUGAAGUUAUUGAAGAUGUUUGUUAUAUACAUAAAUUAUGGGAAUAUAUAAAUAGUUGUUGCAUCGGAUGGUUCUGAAGCAUGAGUUGAAGCACCAUGUACUAUGUUUACUGCACUGUAUAAUUCUAUGUUAGUGAACAUGGGGCAUGAUACAGAGGUGCAUAUCUCUUUAUCAUGCAUUCCAAAUUGCUGUAUAUAACAUGGACUGGUAACCACAAUUGCACAAGCAUCGACCUAUCUUCUAACAAUGUGCCAUUCCAUGUGCCAUCAGCACUUAAAAAGAGAUGAAAGCGUAGAUCUUGUCUUAAAAAUUACUCUUUUUUUAGUACAUGGAUAAUCAGAUUGUCUAAAUGGCUGUUCUUAAUUAGAUAAUCUUGGACAUAUCUGGUUACCUACAAACUUUUCAAUAUAUGCCACUUAGGAUCUAGCAUCGAGCAUCAUAUGGUGUAUUUGAGAUUUAAAAAAUCUUCCUUAGAGAUUGCAGUAUAAGCUUCUGCAACUCGUACAACUUUCUAAUUUUCUCCUAUGGAAAUAGGAGAUGGUAGAAGUGGUGAGGAGAAAUUUGCACCUAACAGAGUUGAUUCUUGUUUAUUUUAAAAUUGAAUUACAUAUCACAAGAUUUAAAUUUCCCCAUAAAUCUUUUGUAUGAUCGCUUUGUAGAGCAUUGAAUAUGUAAUUAUCUGCAGGAAAUUUGCCUGGGAAUCAUUGGAAACUUAGCCUGCCAUGAAAACCUAAGCAAUGCAAUAGUUUCUACAAAUGGUUUGGUUGAAACAAUUGUUGACCAGUUGUUUCGAGAUGAUUCUGCCUGCCUUUCUGAAGCAUUCAGGUAUUGGAUUAUAAUUAUACCAGUAAAAUUUCUACAAAUGAGAAGAAUUACUUUUAGAAUAUAUGGUAUCAGGCGUUGAAACAAAAUUUCCUGAUUGAUAUGUUGGGAAAGCAAAACUAGGUGAAGAAAAGGUGCCACGACUAUUAAUUUUAGAAUGUAUCACAGUAAUUUUCUUCAUUUUGAAGAACUUUUACUCUAUGCAGGUAUUUGCCUUUCUCCUGACAGUAUGUUUGGGAUUUUCAAGUUCAUUUCUCUUUUGACAUUUAUAUCUACGUUACCUUAUUUAUCAUUACUGACAUUUUAUUUGCUUAAUGGUGAUUCUCUCUUGUAACAAUGCUGAACUGCUGUCUAGUAUAAAACCUGGAGCAUUUCUUUUGCCUUUUUUUUUGUAUGUAUGAACUGUUAAAACAUGAAAUAACCGAUAUAAUUAGCUCUAAAUCCAUGAUGCACUGAAGGCAUUAAACAUAUCUAAUGUUAGUGUCUAUUACAGGUUGUUAGCAGUGAGUCUCCAGACUAGCAAUUUUAUCUCUUUCGCUGAAGCCUUGCAACCUGAACAAAUUCUUUCACGUAUACUCUGGAUAAUUGGGAACACACUGAAUUCUACCUUGCUAGAAAAGGUACUGAUGUAUUUGAUUAAGCUCUAUAGAUAUUAAGAUUAAUGCCAUGAAAUUCAUCUUAUUGUUGACAACCUUGGACUUUGGUAAUUGUUUUUAUAAUUUCUGUCAUAAUACUAAAUUUCUUGGACUUUCUAGGGCGUCAUUUCACUUUUUUUACUUUGGUGUCUAAAACUACAAAUCCAUUUGUACAGGCUAUUGCAUGUGAAUACUAUUCUUAUUUGUAUUAUAUUCACAUGCAACUCGAUGCUGAGGCUCUAGAGUUCAUCAUAUCAUUUUACUUACUGUCCAAUAUACUAUAACAGAAUUUGUGGUUUAUGUUUGUGUGCUUGAUAUUAAGGAAAUAUUUUGAGAAAUAUCUAUUCUAGAGGCAAACUAGGCAACAGUGAGAAUGAAUACUAGUUUUUUCUUCCAUUAACUUAGUGACUCUCUUGGGGUGGGAGGCUGUAUGUUAGAAUGGGGGACACCAUGCUCUAGUAGUAAGGACCUUGGGCUAUAUAAGCUUGCUUCUCCAAUAACCUUGUUCUCCUUCAUGUGUGUGUUGUCUAUGCAUAUUUGUUUUAUAUAAAAUUGAUAAGCAGUAGGAUCUAGAUCAACCAUAUCAGGAACUCUCCAACUUCUAAAUCAUUUGAUAAAUACCCCUAGCCCAGACUGCCUCAUGCUUACGGUCAUUCCAACAGAGAAGGGUUAGCCAAUUACCUCAUGCUAGAACUCCUAUCCAAGCCUUGUGCAUCAGUGGAAGCGGUCCGCACUCAUAAUCAAUAAUCGACUGAAUUCAGUUGGCCACUGCCACUACGGUUGCCCCUGUCAUACUCAUACCAUAAGUUGCUCUGUCUAUGUCUCAUCACUUCAUUUUAAAUGUGCCGAUGCUCCAUGGGACCAUGUAUGCUGGCUGCAAGAUCAGGAUUGACAUCAUCAUCGCGACCCUUGUACUCAUCGUAUGUAUGUGACUCUAAAACAUGCCUAUCAAAUUCCUUCCAAUGUUCAUUCUUCUGCAUUCAUAGUGUUCGCCGAUAUCAAAUUUUGCUAUGAAGGCCCUUCUGAUAUCUUGAGGUAUCUUUUUGCAAAUUUGUAUGAUGUAGACACAAUGAAUACUUGUCAGUGAUGGUGGUACUUGUCCAUGCGACAGGUUUUCUGCCAUGCUAAAUCAUUACUUUACUAUGUUGAGGACAUUUUCCUACAAAAGAGUUAUCAACAUAUAAUCAAGUCCGUAAGUUCUUGGUGGCACCAAAAUUAAUGCUAGAUUCGUUUGGAUCAAGGCAUUCAAAUAUAGGCUAGAUCCAGCCAUCUAGGAAUAUCAAGGCUACAUCCGCAAAGAUUGAUCAUCGAUUUGAAUGGAUGAAGCCUGCAUAGUUUUAAGUUAAAUGUUUGCGUACUGAGGCUAGAUUUUCGUGGAUCUAGCCUUGAUCCAUUCAGAUCUAGCCUUUUAAAACAACUAUGGUUUGAGGAGCUUAAGAAUUAUUAAAAUGGUUAAUUGAAGGUAUCAUUUGGAGAGUUCAAGAAUUCUUAAAUAUAGUCAUGGCCUUUGCAUCGAGAUAUCUUGUGUUCACCCGAGUAUUUGUGGUCUAUUGCAAGUUGAUGCAUUUAUUGCACUGCUACUAAGGACAAUAAGGUGCCAUCAAGCAUGAACUACAGGCUUGGUUACUAUUAGGUUUGAGGUAGCAAGAAACUGCAGAUGACAUAUUUGCCUCCAGAACUUCUUGUGCCUGGUGUAAACAUUUGCACUUAAGAAUACCUGGUGUUGAUAACACUAUUUUGCUAUCAACAACACCUUCCAAAAUUUGGCCACUGGGAGGUUCAAGGUGGUAUACCACCUCUUUAUGAAGGCCAGGAAUCAUCCCUCACUAGAUGUUGACAAGCAAAUCUUUCUCAGACCAGCACAAGGGCAGGUUCAAAAGGUGCUCAAAGUGUGGCUAGAUUCUUGAUCCAUCUUGUUCUCCAGCAAACUAGUUCUAAUAAAUGAUCCUCAACUAUUUGAAUUCAUCGCCUGGAGGCACCCUGGUAUAAAGAAAUAUCUCCAUUCGAUAUCAUACUUUAUCUAGAGUUCUAUAUGAGUUAUUUGAGCUGUUCAUUUGAAGCAGAUUUGUCUACAUUAUUGAGAUAUUCUUGGAUUUCUAGUUUCUAUAAACUCCUAAGUCAUCAACCUUCUACUACUCCAUUUAAGAGAGCUUAACAUUUACUUUGCUAGCUAAUAUGACGUCCAAAAUAAUGAAAUGAAAGCCAAAGAUCAUUGUGUAUCAUACUCAUUUGGUGUUAUCUCCAUUAAAGUAUUCUGUUGUAUCAUAGUUAUCCAUGCUAAGUAGUUUGAUAAUGCAUUCUUAGGACCACAUGUUGUUCCUUGUUAAAAUUUAAAUGAAAUAAAUUGGAGAUUAAGUAAAUUGGAUAAAAAAAUAGUAGAGAUUAAAAGGAAAUAGAAUAGCAGUUUUAAGAACGUGGUUCGCAUUACUGUCCGUUCCAGUGUAUCUACCAACUAUCGGUACGGUACGUACCAAGCUAUAUCGAGCGUACCGAUACAUGGUACACUGGGAUGUAUUGAUAUACCGCCCAUACCUGUCCUCUAUCGGACCGGUAUGUACCACCCGUAUUGAGCGGUAUGAUUUGGUACGUCAAACCUUGGUUAAGAAGUCUAUGUUAUUACAUAAUUUUAAACUGAAACAGUUGUCUUGUUUCAUCUUUCAUUUUCUAACAUUUAGUUAGAAAUACAAGACAUGCAUUUUCUAUGAAUUUACUUGGUGCUACGUGUUCUUCUAGUACAGAUUCAUGACAUAUCCUUUAACUCCCUGAUGUCUUUUACUAAUGACAGAGCAUUGAUUUUUUGUUGGCUAUAAUUUAUAAUCAAGAAGUGAGAGUUAUUCUUCUUCAGCCUUUGGUGAAGCUGGGUUUGCCAAAUCUUAUUGUGAGUCUGUUGGCAUCUGAAACCAACAAAUCAACGGAAGUGAACCAACCAGAAAGGUUCCACUAAAUUACCUCAACUUUUAUUUGUUCAGUCUUGUCGCCAAAUCCCUUGAUUAAAAGUGUGCAGUCUUUUUCAUUUCUGUUUCAUGUUUGGAACUGUUAUUUUUUGUUGCUUCAAUUUUCUAUAUCAUAUUUGGUAUCUCUACUAUUUACCUCUUGUAUUUGUGUUUUGUCAUUUUCUUGAUCUUUUCCAGAAAUCAAAUACAUAAAAUAAGCACCAUUUAGCCUGAUUUCUUGCAAGUAUGUCUAAUGGCUUUUCUUUGGGAUUGCAGAAAAAUUAGAAUGUAUGCAUAAUUUAUAAUUUAUAGUAAAUAUGUGGAAGACACUUUAUGACAAACCAAGAUUAAUGUGUAUGCAUGUUUGUUCUGUGAUAUUAGAGAUUUAGAGGGAAAUAUUAGCUACCAAGUUAGGGCAUUAAACAUGCAUUCUGGUUCAGGAACAUGUAGCAUUACUUAAAUACGUUUAGAGGUAGACACUUUACAAAAUAUAGAUGAGCUUCGAUGCCAAUAGGUACAGGAUUCUAGGUUCUAGUGGUGUUCAGCUUACUCUCAGUUACAUCUUGAACAAGGCCAAGGAGCAACAAACAAUAAAGUGUAAACUUUGGCAUUUGGGUGAAGAAAUAAACCUGCUGGCCAGAGUGGGUUUUAAACUAGUCAAUUUUUGGAGAAAUUCUAAAACAUGUUUGGUUAUGAAUAUCAUUUUUUCAAGGAAAGGGUUUGCAAUACCUGUCAUAUUGGUCGGUACUGACCGAUGUUACUGGUAAUAUCUUGUGUUAACCCAUAUAAAUAUAUAAAUUGUUAUUAGGCUCUUAGCUCUUAGUUAUUUUGAGGAAAAGAAUAACGUUUCUUUUUCUCUGAUCCCAAAUUCUCAUCCUCUUCUCAUCUUGUUCGACAUCAGUUAGUUCCUUCAGGAAAGAAGACAAUGCCAUAUUAGUUCAUGAGGGACUAGAAGAUUUAGGUAUAGAUAAAGGGACAGAAAAUUUAAGUGGAUCAAACAAAAAGAAGGCAAGGCUUGUGGGGCUCCAUCAUGGUCUUCGUUUGGUUAAAUGUAGGUACAGAAGAUAUGAAUAAUUUCAUGUCAGAACCCCAUCUAAAUGAGACAUACCAGCCAGUACAGUUUGGCAUGCUUAGUAAGUGUCAUCCAUGUUUUCUAAGGAGUAAUGCUUAUGAUUUUUUUUGGAUAUGAUUCAGUAGCUAGAAAAAUCAUGAGAUGACUGUGCCAAGGCUCGUCAUACCACAGCAUACCGCCUGGUACAGGUGGUACAAAUCGAUCCGAUAGAGGACUGGCAUGGGUGAUACAUAUUAGUCUGUCGGUAUGUCCCAUGUAUCAUAUGUCAGUAUGUCGAUAUGUACCAUACCAAUAGCUGGUCGGUAUGCCAGUACGGAUUGAUAAGGUGAACCAUGGACUGUACUAUGUUUUUUAUUGCACCAAUCUACUUUUAUUGGAGCUGAUUCAUUUCAUGUAGUAAGAUGCUACAAUAGCAUAUAUUUGUUGGCUUUGGUAAGGUCCAAUAUUGCAUUCAUAAUCAGAUCAUUUAAGGGGUUCUAAUUUUACUUAAUGUACAAUUUGAACACAUAUAACUUGUCAGCCUACAAAGUUACUGAACAUAACAUAGGGGCUGUUUCUUUUUUAUCAGACAGGUUCCUCCAUGUGCAAACUGUGUAUUGCGCUUUUGAUACUGAACCCUGUACCACUCGUUGGUUAGAUUUUUAUGAUAUGCCAUAGGCAUCCUUUAUACUGGUAGUCACCAGUUGGUACUGGUUAAGAAAAAUUAUGCCAGACUUAUCUUUCACUUGCAGUUGAAGCUGUGAGUGUUAGCCCUUAUUGGGCAUUAGUAGGAAAGGUGGCUGGAGAGAACCCAUGGCCAGCCAGAUUCCAUGGGCAAUGGUGGCAGUAGGGAGGUGGCAGUGGAAAGGGAAAGAGUUAAGGUUUCAAAAGGCAAAGUUCAUAUUUUGUCAGAUAAGUAGCUUUUUGACUGUUCUGAUUGAAACAGGUGAUAUCUAAGCUUUUUUGGUGUGUUUACUAUCUAUAGCCCUAAACUGGGUGGUUUUCAUUAUGGUCUCCUAGCUGAAUGUUACAUACUGCUUGAUAUGAGUGGUAUACUGUGAUUUUGCAAUCCCUCAUUCAUACAUAUUAAAGGAAAAUAAUCCAGUGGUGCAGGAUAAUGAUUAGCAGAAAUGUAGUCAAGCUGAUCAGAUAAAGGGCUAAUUACAGAUUAUCCUUUGUAAUUAAUUAUCCUUAGCAUAUCGGUUCUUAUACUUUUAAAAAUUAUAUUAAGAUCGCUAUACUUAUGAAAGUGAAAUAUUUAGCCUUGUUACUCCAACAAAAUCUUUUUUUUUAACCCUAUGAAAUUACCUUUAUAACCCUGUAUAGGGAUCUUAAUAUUUCACUUUUGUAAGUAUAGAAAUCCCAAUAUAACUUUUGAAAAUGUAGGGAUCGGAAUGUUAAGGAUAGCUAAUUAUAUGAGAUAAUCUGUAAUUAGCUCUCAGAUAAAAGAUGCUAUUGAAACAGAGAGGAAGAAAACUUUUGAAGAAGCUAAUGUAACAUGCUGACACUGUAUGAUAAGUAUGACGAGAAGGAGGUUAAUAGAGUAUAUUUAGGAGAAACAAAUUGAAGUUAAGAAUUUCUUGCCUGUGUGGGAGUAGGUGCAUCUAAAAAUACAUGCACAGCUAUAAAAAAAAAUAUAAGUUAUCUUAUGAUCCUCAUCUGAUGCUGCAUUUCUGAUCCUGAUAACCUUGUUCAGUGCUAAGUCGGAUUUCUUUUCUUUGUGUUCUUUUUAGACAGUGUUCAUAUCACCAUAUUUUAUUAGCUUUCAGUUAGUAGUAUAUUCUAUCAUGACAAUAUAGAACUAAUAUUUGGUACACAUGGAAACACUUAUUUGUUGUGAUCAUCACAGGUUCUUUAUUGUUGAUCUAAUUCUUCGAUUAGUUGAAGCACUUUCUACAGCAGAUAAUUAUUCAGAUGUGAUAUCUUCAAAUGGUGACCUUUUUCGUCUUGUUUGUGAAGUGGUUAAGCUGCCUGAUAAGUUUGAGGUUUGCAUGUUGCUUGACGAUUAUAUAUCAUUGGAUUUUGGACUACUGAAACAAUGCAUUCUCAUACAUUGCACCAAUUACAAUGAUCAACAUCCACUGCAUUAAAAGGUUAUGUACAUGUUGCUCUUAUACUCAUAACAUCUCUCCUACUGUAGGCAUACUUUCUGUGCAAUGCUGCAUUGUACUGCUAAUGCAAAAGAGCCACAGCAAAUUUAUAUAAUUGAUUCUUGCUAUUUUCUGAAACUAAGGGUCGAUUUUACCUUAUGAGUUUACACGAAAAUUCAACCAACUUAAAAGCUCAUCAUUUUGUUUUUAUCUUCUUAUUCAGAGUAGAAAUAGUAUAGUAACCAGACCAAGACAACAAAAUGCCUUUUGGCAGUAUACUUUCAUGCAUGAUGAAGGCAUCUGUUGAGUCAUGCCACUUUAGCUUGUACUUAAUCUCUUUUAUCAUGAUCAAUUUAUUAUUUAUCAAAUAAAGAAGUACAAGAUGUUAAAUAAAAAUCAACAACUAACAUGCAUUAUCGUAAACUGGUAAAAUGACCAGCAGUCUUUGGAUGACCAUCUCAAACUACAAGAUGUCGCUUGUAUAUUUUGUUCUCUUGAAUAUUUUAUUCUAUUGUGUCGAAUGUAGAAGUUGUAGGCAAUAAGCAUGAAAAUCUUGACAACUUAAUAUCGGUAGUUAUUGUACAAAAUCAAAUUGACAAUUUCGAAAUAUAUCUCUUUUUUUAUAUAAGACAGAUUAGUUAUAGUCUUAGUUGAGUCUAAUUUGGACUUGUAAAGUUAGAUCAUCAUUUUUAAUUUUUUUUAUUGGUUAUCACUUGUUAAAGCAGAAUUUGGUUGUCCGACAUGUGGCGGAGAUUUAAAGCCAACCUUGGUUUGAGUCCGAGCCUAUCACAAUCUUGAGUCUCUCCUACAAAAUUUGCAUUGGGAGUGUGCUCGAGAAAGGCCCUUCCGAUGCAAAGGAUUCGAUCAAAUGUUGAAUCUAUAAGACAUAACUAGUCUUUAGAAAGCCUUGGAGGAAUACCUGGGAGCUCUUUUAUAGUGUUAUAUGCUAUCGUUGGUUGAGGUCAACAGUUAUGUGCACUGUUCAGAUACGAAGCAAAGACUACACAACUCAGCUUUCCGUUGAUGUUAUGUGGCUAACCACAUAGAGUUUAGUCAAUCGCCUUGCUAGCACCACACUGUCUGUAUCAUAGAUUCUGGCCCUAUGUAAUACGUAGGCCGAAUGGGGUUGGCAUGUCAGCUAGGUGGAGAUGAUGUGUCGACAUGGUUUCAGUUACGUGGAGCUGACGACUAUAGUCCACGAGUCAUAUUACUCAAAACUUUGGAUUGGGUUGACAUGUGAAUUAAAAUUAAAGUGCAAGACGUUACAAAUUAAAAAGGAAUGGAUAAUUUAACAAAUACCUAUUUGAUGAAGAUGCAUUAAAGGAAAUAGAUACAUAGUUCGAACUCAUAACAUGCUUUGCAAUCAUGAUAGAAUUUUUUAUUAGGUUACAACUAAUUCCAAAAGCUUAAGCUGUUAGGAAAAGGUUUAGUUUUUUUUAUCUAUACUUGCCACUCUAAUGACAUUUAGAUCUAGGUUUAGGUUUUUUUUUAUUGUUUGGAUUUUUGUCCAGAUUUUCAUCAUUAUUUUUCUUGGUUAUUUAAGAGUCUUAUUUUGAGUGAGACUGAUGUUGGAGUCAUAACAUGAGUAUAUUAUUGUUUAGUACAGGUGUUCAUUCAAAUAAGUUUUUUUUUUCCAUGAGUCUUCUUAAUUUACUUGGAGUUAAGUGAAGUCUACAAAAUGAGCCUAAUUAAAGAGGUGUUAUAUGAUGAGAAUCAUGAGAUGAUCAUCAAAGUUGUGUUUUUGUUUAGGCCUGUUUGCCAUGAUUGCAUCUUCUUCUUGCCUAUCUUGCAUCUCUCUCUUCCUAAACAUCUAAGCACACUUUCUUUCUGUUAUGAUAAAAUAGAAAUAUUGCAAUCAUGAUAAAAGAAACAGCUAAAUGUUGAUAUCUUGAGAAAAAAAUUUAUGCUAAUUACCAUUUCUUACAACAGGUUGCUAGCUUGUGCGUUUCUGCUGUUAUCAUAAUUGCAAAUACCUUAGCAGAUGAGCAGCAUUUGAUAUUGGGCAUUCUGAAUGGUAUGUGAUUCUUCCACUGUAAAGCCUGUUUGGAAUACUGUUAUGGCAUCAGAACAACUUAUACAAUGUUUUUCCUGCUAGAUUUUCAAUUUUUGCAGGGCCUAUUUGAUGUUUUACCUUUUGUUUCCGAUGAUUCACAAGCUCGAAAUGCAUUCUGGUGCAUCCUAGCUAGGUUGUUCCAACAAGUUGAUGAGAAUGUUAGCACCACAUCGAAUCUGCACCAAUUUGUAUUGCUUUUGUUGGACAAAUCUUUCCUUAUUGAAGAAGACCUUGAUAGCCAUCUGGUGGACAAUCCAGGAGAUAAUUCGGGUUCCUGUGUUGUGGAGGGAAAAUUGUAUGCAGUGACUACCUGCGUAUCCUUUACAGCAACGUAAAAAUUUGGUACUACAAAGCAUAGGACAUUGCAGCGAACUUUUUUUUUUUUAUCAAUUAAAUCAUUUGAACAAUAACAAGUUUCUAUUUAAACUGGCAAAUUUAAUAUAUAUGCUUGAUUUAUUUGGCUGGCUCUGAAAUUUCCUGUUAACCUUGACCCUCAUCACAGCUUAAGAGAAUUGCCCGUAUUCUUGAGAAAUGGAACAAAGAUGGAGCUGCUAAUUUGGAGAAAGAUGAUUCUUGGGAUGGAAACCAUGGUGGUAAAGCUCGGAAGUUGCUUAGUUACUGUCUCAAAUACUCUUCGUAGGCGCUACCUCUAAUGUCAGAUCAACUUGAGAUGAUUAGCUCCUUUUAUUUUGUGGAUUUUCUGCCUUAAAUUUUCUUGAUGGGAAAUUGAUAGAUAUUUUUUCUUAAUUAUUUGAGUUUCGUGUAGGUGAUCUUUUUACCUUAUAUGAAAAAUUCCUUUUUAUGCUUAUGUACGGUGCCAUUAUUUAAUGUUCUGUGCUAAGUACCGCAGAAUGGAUAAGUAUUUUGUAAUGUAUUAACUCUUGGAUUGCAAUGGUCUACAGGAUGAUGUUUUUUCUUGAUGACUAACCUAACCUCAUAAUGAUGAAAAGUGAAAGUGAAAAGAAUUCAAAUAUAUUUAGGUUUACUAGAGAGAGGAGUUCACCUUACAAUUUGCUUUCUAGUUGGAAGUCGAUUUAUCUUUUUCAUCAACGUAAUUGGGCAUAAAUUCUCCAAUACGACAUAAAUGUAUUAUAUUAUGUAAGUUACUUUCAAUCGGGAUCAGUAGCAAAAUUUGUAGCUAAAAAAUUAUAUCGAUUUGAUUUUGAAGAAUUAAAUUAUUAUGGAUUUGAUUUUAUUUUUUUCAACGUUACUUUUUCUGUGCAUCAAACAGAUUAUUUUCGACUUGUAUUUGUGAGCCAUAAUUCGUGGGCCAUUGAUGGGUGCCUACGAUUCCUCGUGAUCAUCCCCUCCAUCAUCGAGUUGGACGGUCGACAUUGGCAGCGCUUCACCAAUUUGCGGUCCCCACAUCGGGGAAGGGCCCCUACGGCCGAAGUGCCAUCAUCAUCAUCAUCCGCAGCAGCAGCAUCAUCAUCAUCACCACCAUCACGCGUCUCCCGUGUCCUGCAAUUCAUCAGCCCAAAUCAGCGGCCGCGAUCAUCGCUGCUCCUCCCCAUCCCCUUCCAAACCCACAUCUAGGGCUCUAGUUAGGGUUUCAUCCGCUUGCCGUACUUCGCCGGCCGCCGCCGCCGCGGUUACCCUCGGCCGCCCACCUUCUCCAGUCGCGAUGUCGUCGAACGCGAACCCUGAGGACCUCGGCAUGUACGGCCACGACGACGCGGCCGUCGACGCCAGCGGCGGCCAAGGAGCCAUAGAGGGCGCCACCGGUGGGGAGAAAAUGGGCGUGUCCCUUAUCCCGACGUCGGAUCAGGAUCAUCUCGCGGAGGCUAUGGAUGCAGCGGCGCCGCUGAUGAGUGUAACCUCGAACCAGCUCACGCUGUUGUUCCAGGGCGAAGUGUACGUCUUCGACUCUGUCUCGCCCGAGAAGGUUUGUUCCAAUUACUCCAUUUUUGUCACUUUGGAGGAAUCUGUGCUAAAUUUGGUUAAAGGUGGCCUUUUCACAUUUUAGUGGAAUUGCAUAUAAACGCGUCUGGUUGCACCAUUUUAAGUCACAUCUGUUUGACGCCUAUGAUUCAUUCACGAGAAUGGUCGAAAUCCGACAUUUUUUUUUAAAUUGAAACGCGCAUUUGUUUCUUUUUUGGGUUCUAACAAAUUGGUGAUAUAUCAAGUCAGUGAUUUAAUUGAUGGAUGACUUGUGCUGAACAUUCUUUAAUAUGUUGGACUUUCCAUUUGAUAAUGCUGACUUUUCGAUGUCAUUUGUGGCUACGUUGUGGCUAAUCAAACGACUCCUGAUGUUUGUUAAGGUAGGAUGCACCUUUUAUUGAUGAUGGUAGUGUUUAUUAAAUUGAUCAGAUUUUUAUUUCGCCUACUAGCAGGUUUAUUUUGGGAAUAGCAGUAUUCUUGAUUUUGAGAAAGGGUGCUAUUUUCAAAUUCAUUGAAUAUUUGAAUAAUCUGCCAGUGUGUUUUCACUGAUCAUGAUGAAGCAUUUACAAUGUUUGUGAGAAUUGACAUUAUUGUGGGAAAAAAAUGUUUUUGUAUGUUAGACAUUGUUUUCCGUCGACCAUAAUUUUCAUGGAAAUUCCUAGAUGGGAAAUUCCAUCUAGGACAUUAGGUUCUUGUAGACUGAAAUAAGAUUAAUUUCUACUAUAAUUAUUUGUGUAUGAUAUCUGAUCUCAGUGGUAUGACCUGGAUUUCUCUCUUUGAUGUUUUUUCUGUGGGUCUAAUUCUGUGGAAUAUAAACAAACUUAUAAUAUGGAGUUUUGCUGUGGGAUUUCUGUCCCAAUAUGUUAAUUUCUAAUCUAGGGUUGUUCUGUUUGUAAUUCAUAACUUGUCAAUCAUAUAUACUAAUUAUGUCAUCCAUGUGUAAUACCAUUUGCUAAUCAAAUUAUUUUACAUUUUCAUUUAACAUAAUAAGAAUCUGAGCUUUCCUGAUUGGAUGCUAAUGUUGCAGGUGCAAGCUGUGCUGUUACUGCUGGGAGGAUGUGAAGUACCUACUGGCGCAGCUGGCAUGACAUUAUCCGGUCAGCAGGAUGAUAGGGUAGUCCUGCAUCUUUCCUCUAGUCUAGAUCAUCUUGAAGGCAAUUCUGUUUCUGUACACUGGUUUCUAACUGCAUAUUUAAACAGGGUUAUGAUGAUUUACUUCAUCGAACAAAUAUUCCUGCAAAAAGGAUUGCUUCGUUGAUAAGGUUUCGCGAGAAGCGUAAAGAAAGGAAUUUUGAUAAGAAAAUCCGGUAUAAUGUCCGCAAAGAGGUUGCCCUCAGGUAUUGAGGUCCGGUUGUGAUUUUAAUAUGAAUUCUUUUUUUUUUCUGUUAGCUAUCAAAUAUAAUGAGUUGCAAAUGUCAUCCAGUUUUUUUGGUUCAGUUUUAUUCUGUUUGUCAGAUCAAGUCACAUUGAUCUCUGUUAGUGUUUUCUUUGUUGUAAAGCAGUGAAUAUUGUUUUAUACUUUGAUAUCCUCUCUUUUGUUUGCAUCAUCCUAUUUCUUAUGUUGAGGACAACAAGAAAGGAGGAUUUUAUGAAGCAAGACAAUAAUUUUUUAAAAGUUAACUUCUCUUUGUGGUGGGUGUUUAUGAAGAAAGACACAACUGUUGAUCAGACCUCACGCUGGUCCGAUCAAUAGUUGUACCUUUAGUGUGAACUCUAGCACUGAGGUUCUAUCAGAAGAGCUCUUUAGGGAGGUAGGGCUGGAUUCUGGGAAACCAAUGAUGUCUUGACCAUCUGAAUUGCUGUACCAUCAAGUAUGGUUCAAUGCUUCUCUUUGGAAAUGUUCUCAAAAUUAUCUUAUAUUUCAUUUUUGUUCAAGCUGUAUCCUAUUGUUGAUUUCAGUGCGUUUAUUACUCCAACAAUUUGGAACAAAUGUGGUGCCAUCAUCCUUUGCAUUCUGAUCUCAUAGUCAUUGCUGGACAUGCAUAUUGUUGUCCUUUGCUGUUCUUUUGCUAUCUGCACAUAUUAAAGUUUAUCCUUUCUAGGGCGCUGUUAGCAUAAUCUAGGUCUUUUCACAGAUUUGAUAUCAGUUUUUCAUAAGGUGCUAUCUACAGGCAUGAAUUAAUUCCAUAAGUAAGAGUUUAAAGGAUAUUGAAGAACACACAUAUGACUGUUUGACUUGAACUGCAGACUGAAUUUCGAUGAGGUCAUUAUUUUUAAGAAAAUACCUAUAAAGCAUUUAAAAAAAUAAUAAAAAAAUCUCUGGAAAAGUAUGAUAGAACCAGUAUAAUUUUGUUUUUAUUUGGUUUUGGCAUAUUGCUAUUUUAUUGCUCUUAGAUUUACCAAGGAAUUUGAUUUCUCACGUACUGUUGUAUUCCCAAUUUCUGCAUGAAUGGCUUUUUCAUUAGAGUUGGAGUAUGAUUUCAUCAACAUUAUUCAAUUAAAAUCUUAAUUUGCUUAAUAUGCAUGUUUGAAUGAAAUAUGUGUAUUUUAUAAUGUAUCAAACUGAUAUAGCCAUACCAAAUAUAGUAGUUUAGCAUGAUAUGUAUACAUAUUACAGAACAUUGACAAGUUAAAACUUUCAUAAUCUGUAAAAUACUAGCCCUCUGGAAUGCUCAGGAGUCUUUUUCUAUCAAUUGGCAUUGUGAUCAUAUUUGUGACUGAAAGGUGUAUUUGUUCGUGAUACACGUAUUUUCAACAGAACCUGUUUAUUUUUAUGAUCGUGGACAUUCUGGCCAUGCCUCUGUUUGAUUAUUCCUUAAUUGUUUUCUUAACACUGCUUGAAGUCUUUCUAAAUGCAUAAUGGCUUGACAGGAUGCAGCGCCGAAAAGGGCAGUUUGCAGGGAAGGCUAUUACCCAGGAAGGAGCAUUGGCCUCUUCAAGCGGUGAUCCUCUUCAAAGCUCAAUCCAAGAAGAUCCUCCUAGGGAAUCAAAGUGAGUUGCAUAUCACUUUUAUCUGUUAUCAUGAUUUUGCAGAAUUCUCUCCUCUUAAAUACUAAAAAUAAUCAAUGUGCCACUGUGUCAUUUCAAUUGCUCUAAACUUUUAAGUUGUCUUUUCAGAUGUCAAAAUUGUGGAAUUAGUGAAAAAAUGACACCAGCAAUGCGGCGUGGACCUGCUGGACCAAGGUCACUUUGCAAUGCUUGCGGACUAAUGUGGGCAAACAAGGUCUAGUUAAAAGCUAAUUUGAUCUAUUUAUUGAUAUUUUUGUAGUCUUCAUCUUAUAAAAGUAAUAUCUCUCUAAGAUUUCUUUAAAUCACUAUUCUGCCCGCACAUGUGCUGGAUGUGCUUUUUUUCAUAAAAAUAUGGAUAUAUAAAUGUGCUUGUGUAUUACUCUUAAAAAGCAUGUCGCAUUACAAGGGAAUGUUUUAUACUAUGAGUCACCAAAAGUUUAUAGGGAACUAUUGUUUCAUGUAUAUAGAUAUUACUUUAUUUGGUUGAGUUUUGGGAAAAGAAGGAUUCCUUUAUUGUGUACUAUUGCCUAAGCAUUGGAUCGAAGUAGUAUGCCAACGCAAGCAGUCUACCGGGCUGUGUUUACCAGGGGAAGAGAAGGAAAAAAUAAGAGAGAUAAGGAAGAGGUGGUGGGGUUGGUACGGUGGACAUAGGUAUUGGCAGUAAGCCGAAAACCAAUGGUGUAGUAAGCUUAUACCGGGCAUAAGCCUGGCUUUAGAUUGGGCCAACUGAAUUUGCUUGGUCAGCAUACCGAUCAGCUGUUAGACUGGGAAAACUAGACUGUACCAAUUGGUAUGGUUGAGAUUUUAAUCCAUGCUGCUCUGUAUCAGUAGUCUCUGAUCCCAACCUCCUAGUCUCUUAUCCAACUAGUAUGCACUGCUGUCAGUAUUUGUUUGGUUCGUCCUUGUUGAGAACUAUUUGUAUCAUACCUUAUUGCUAACAUGCAGUUAAAUAACAAAAUAUCAUGCCCUAAUGUUUCUCUAGUUUUGUAUUAACCAUAUCUAUACUUUAUUAUCUGGUAUAUAGUAAUCCAACUAGGCUCCAGUAUUGUUACCAGGUCAUAAUUUUAAACCUCAAUUGACACUCCAUCAAAGUUCAAAAUGAUAUUGCAUGACAAUACUAAUAAUUAUGUGGAAUUUCUUCAAAUAUGUAAAUGAUGUUGCAUGUGCCUUUUUGAGGGAUAGGACAUCUAAAGGUUACCCAAGUUCAUUACAUUUAAAAGAGUGUGACUGUGUGAGAAACUUUUUAGUACCGCGUAGAUGUCCUUUGAUGGACUGACUCAGUGAUGCCUAUGUGGACAGUCCAGUGGCUGGCACUGACUAAGGAAAAAGAUGCGAUCGAAUACAAUAUGAAAUCUGAGAAUUACCAGAAAUAUAAUCACAGAAAGAUGAGUAAGAUCACUGUGUGCAUUUUUUUUUCGAAUCAUCUUCUGUUGUGUAUCAGAUCCAUUGUGAACCUUUGGUGGACUGAGUUGGUGAUGCCUAUUUGGGUGGGUCUAGUGGCUGGUACCAACUAGGACAAAGAAGUGAAUGAAUACAUUAAGAACUCAGAGAAUAACAAGAACAUGGAAAUAUGAAUGAGGUCACUGUGUACAUUCUUUCUCCAUCAUCUUCUUCUGCUCCACCCAGAGUUCUUGCUUCCUUGUGUGUUCAUCUUUGCCUCUUUCAGUUGUGGAAGUUGGGAGUCUUGAUUGCUGUGAAAGAUAGGAUUGAGAUGACGAAUCUUUAGCUUGAAGGGUUUGAAGUCCUAAACCGUGGACUAGUUCUAGCGUUGAAUCUAUCCAAUGCAUCUAAACAGAUUUUGGAUGAAAGUUGCCCGAGGCUUGGUUUUAUAUUAAUUUUUUGAAGGGUUUUAAGGUCUAUAGUAUGAAAGAAAGAAUACUGCUCGAUUUGGACAAUUUGCAUCUUGGUCCCCUCUUGACCUAUAUGUACUGCUUGGAUGAAGCUGCAGGGAUUGGUUCUUAUGUGUGUGUUAAGAAUGUAUGUAUCAUUCUUUAUUUGCAUGCAUAUUGAAGCUCAGAACCAUAAUUUUCAAGUAAAUGGAAAGUUCUGAAAUCUGUAUAACUUAAUCUGCUCCUUUAUUCCACUGAGCUACCACAUAAGGUGAAAUUUAGAAUGUCUUUAACUCUUUAUUCACGUGUCCAUGAUUUCCAUCCAUAAUCUUUCUCUAUGAUCAAAUGAAGCAAAGGCACCUCAAAGUGUUCCAGUGUUGGUGUCAGAUGACAGCACUUGUUGGAUGCUUUGUGACGCAUGUUGGUCACUAAAAAAAACAUGUCAACGUACGUGUGCAUCGUUAAACAUGAUAUUUGUUUAGGUAAUGUCAUCCUUCCCAUAAGACCUUUGAACAUACCCAUUAGUGGAAACAUAUAUUUUUGGGAUUUGACUUACUAUGACAUCUUUUUAUUAAUUUUGAAUGCAUUACCUAAUUUAUAGAUCUGCCGUUCAUAAAUCAUCUAGGGCAACCUGGUGUACAAGGCUCUUGCCAAUGCAGGUUAUAGACAGGGCCAACUUAUGUAGCAUUACCUUUAUAAACAAAGAAUUUAUUUCCAUGACUCAAACCUUAAUCAUAAGUUGUCUGGCUUGUUUUAAUAUCUUUGUAUAUAAAACUGUUGCAACUCAACUUGGUAAUAUUACCCUUGCAUUUAAAUAAGCUAUUUAUGGUUCAAAUGUUUCAUCAUAAAUUGUCUGGGUUGUUCAAAAUAUUUUUGCAUAUAAAGCUGUAGCAAGGUUGAUAGUGAAGAAAAUAAUGCAACACGGUAUCCCAAAUCUAUUCUCUAAUAGGUUUUAUUGUAUGCCGGGCAGAAAAUAUGUAAAACAAACUAACAAAAGAUACAAAGAUUAGAUGGAAAUGCAUGAAGCUAAAAGACCAUGGAUGGCAGUAUUAAAUUGGCUAGAGAAAAGGCGAUUAUGUAGUUAAUCAAUUUCGUGUUGUAUCUGUUGGACAUAUAUGUACCAUGUUUACUAUGCUAUUAUUACCAUAAUGCAAAUAUCAAGUAAUUUUGAACAUGGAUUUACUACAUUUAAGAUGACUUUUGGGUUCAAAGCUAUGAGUAAUUUUUUUUUCAUAAUAUUGAGUCCACUUCAUUUUGUAUUUGCAGGGUACUCUAAGAAGUCCUUCAAGGGCCAAAAUAGGUACUCCUAGCACUGCCAACCCAAGUGAGCAUGUAUGAUCUUGUUAGAAUUGUGCAGCUAAAACAUGAAGCUGCUUAAUGGUAAAUUAUAGAUUAUCUGUCGGCCUUUUCCUAUCUCUAUAGGGUCAAGCAAUUGACUCGGAAUUGAUUAGCGACAACAAAUUACAUGUCCAUACACCCAGCAAUCAUGAUGCUGUUGUGUCCAACUCUGAGAUGUGAGUUUGGAGUAAUGUUGUGGUAGCCGCUAGAUAACGAACAUCAACUGACUUUUGCUUCUGUUUAUCCUGUCCAGAGUCGGGGACGGUACGACGGCAGAUGUACAGCAGGCAGACACAGUAGGACUGAAGACUGAAUUGCGAGAAGUAUAAAUGUGUUGAAUAACAAAAUUGACGGCCUACUCUGCGAGUCUGUAGGUAUGUUUUGACCUUAUAAUCGAUGAUAUAGGAGGCUGCGCAUGCAUGCAGAUUAGUAGUGCACGUGGGAUGUAUUACCUGUCACCGGUGAGUCUGUUUUGGAAGGUCCGGCAGUUUAACGGCAUCCAUAUCGUGCAUUGUUCGAUUGUUCCAUAUGAACUCCAAUCUUGAUGUGUGUAGUUAAGAGUUUUUCGAAUCUAGAAGUUCUUCAUGCCAUAGAGAUGAGCUGGAAACACUUUCCCUUUAUAAUAUUGCUCUGAUUACUUGUGGUGAAUGCAGGAUGUUGGUCGAUUGAUCUCUCAGCUCUUCGUAUCCAGAUUCAUAAAGUAUGCGAAUUAUCAAACUUAUAUUAUGAAUCAAGAUAAAAUAUAAGAUUAAUUAAUUGAAUAUCGAUCCUCCGUUGACUAACAUCUAUGACUAAAAUUAUUUAUAAAUUAAUCAAUAUUCUUAUCAAUUAAAUUAAUCGACAUCUUUAAAAUUUUAUCGAAAUAAGGGAAUCUAAUAUAAAAGUUUUUAAGAUAAAUUUUAGAACUAUAAAGUAUUUUAAUUUCGUUUUCGUCAUUUUUUUUUGAAAAAAAUAAUAAUAUAAUAGGAUCAUAAAGUAUGCAACCAAACAAAUCGAGGGUGGGUUCCCUCCCCUGAACUUGCCCCGAACAAUCCUAGACAGCUUUUAUGUUGCUGCAUGUACGGAAUUAUGUCUUUUGACACGCAUAUGGCAUAUAUAUAUCAGACUGUCCAACUGUUUGGUUUCUUUUGGUCGCUUCGCUGGUGCGUGGUCGUAUCCCUGCUUGGCUUUCAAGAAAGAACGUGGAAGCAGCAGUGUUGACUCCAAAGUCGAAGUCUCGCGGGGUGGGACACACCGGCCCCACCCAAGAACCGUGCACUCGUGGUGGGCCCGCGAAAGAAGGACAGUCGUCUGUUCCACGGCCGCAUGGGAUCGGAUUCGUUUGCUGCGGAAUUGAAUUGCAUCUUCUCCCGACCAAACUACUCGUCGUAAUCGAUCGGUGAACCACGCCGUCUCGUUUGCUUCGUCUUCUCCGCUUCGAGGAUCGGGCUCCGCCCGCACGGCAACAUCAACGCUGCGGCAUUGAAUUGCAUCUUCUCCCGACCAAACUACUCGUAAUCGAUCUGUGAACCACGCCGUCUCGUUUGCUUCGUCUUCCCCGCUUCGAGGAUCGUGCUCCGCCCGCACGGCAACAUCAACGCUGCGGCCCGAAACAUUAUCCAUCGUUUUUUUCCCACCCGAACGGUACGUUGACCGAUGCGUGACGCAUUUGGCCUUUUGUUCGCGUUCGUCGUUAGCGUAACAACGAAGGCAAAACACUAUACCUUUCUUACAUCCGAAGCAACCGACAUGGUGGCAUUCCCGGAGAUUAUGGUCAUCGGUGUGGGGUAUUAUAGUCAUUAUGGUGAGGUAGACUUGAAAAGCCGCCACGUUACGAGGUGGGCUCGAUGGGCGUUGUCGCCCGUCCGUUCUGCGGGGCCCACGGGUGCCUUCGGACGAGAGUGCGUGGGUUGACGUUUUGGUGACGCACGCGACACAGUUAGUGCUUGGGGUUUGGGAGCGUACGACGUCACCUUUUGUUCGCGUUCGUCGUCAGCAUAACGACGAAGGCAAAAAUACCCUCUUACACCCGAAGCAACUGACAUGGAGGCAUUCCCGGAGAUUUAUGAUCAUUAGUCGGCGUAGUGUAGUCAUUCUGAUGAGGUAGACUGUAUGAGCGGUGGGCAAAGCCGCCACCGUACGAGGUGGCCUCGAUGGGCGCCAAAAGGGGAGUGGGUGGGUCGACGUUUCGGUGACGUUGUCUUCUCCUUCACACUCGUCGAGUCAAUUGGAUUUAGAGAGCGUACUCUGACACAGUGAGUGGUUGGGGCGUGGGAGCCUUAAAGUUAUUCGCAUUGUUACGUCCUAUAUAAGGCCUUACCUCGCCUCGACUCUUCUACUUUUACUUUUGUUUGUACGCGAUCGGGGUUUCUUUGAUCUGAUGUCGAAGCGUGGAGGCGGCGGUCGGCGAGGCGGCCGAGGCGAUUACCCCAGGGAGCAGCAUCCCAGCGUCGCUCCGGCGUACCCCACCGGCGGCGGGGGGCGGGGAGGUAGAGGUGGCCCGGGAGGCAACGGAAGGGGACGUGGCGCCGGCCGCGGUGGCGGUGGCGGUGGUGGUGGAGGGGCGCCGUCUGCGCCGCCUGCCAUGAUGAGCCAGCGCGCUCCUCCGCCCACCACGUCUUACUAUUCCCCUCCGGCUGAUGUCCCGUCAUCAUCGGCAGCUGCUGCCGCUGGGACUUCCUCGACGUCGCUGAGCCAGGAGCUGGAGCAACGGCUGACGAUUAGGGAUCCUGAACCUGCGGCUGCGGAGCCAGAGGCUACCCUGACUCAGUCGACGCCGGCGUCGAGCAAGGCGUUGAGGCCUCCGGCUCGGCCCGGAUUCGGGAAGGCGGGGGUGACGUGCAUCGUGAGGGCGAACCAUUUCCUCGUCGAGGUUGCAGAUAAGAGUAUCUGCCACUACGAUGUGAGAUCACUCGGGUCUUGUUCUUGUUUGUUUUUGUUACGACUGCUACAGACUGUGAUGGCCUUUUGAACAUGUUCUCUCUGCUCUCCACCAGAAAAGUCCCAUUUAUCCUUGGUUUGUGAUCCAGUUUUGGCAUACUAAGCUUAUUAGUUUGUGUUUCUUUUGGUAUGUUUAGGAUCAUUUUUAUUUUUGAUUUUUCGAGGGCAUCUUGGAUUUCCGGCUUAACUGUUCAGCUUUCUCUUUGAAAUCUAUGCAGUAUUUUCUUAAAUUUGUACGUUUUCGGAGCGAUAUAUGAACUUUAGAUUUUGCUUAUUGUCACAUAAAAGUGGUUUGCUUGAAGGUUUUUUCUCUUCAAAAGCUUUUGUUCUUUACCUUCUGAUUGAGGAACUUUUGGUUUUCUUCAGAGUUCUUUGAAAUUUUUUGCGUAACGAGUUCCGAUUCUUCGCUUCUCCUAAAAGAUGUCUUGAUUUCCAUCUACUGCAUUGAUUUAUAUUAUAAAAAGUGAAUAUGUAUCUGUCCUAGCAUUUUGUUAACAGUUAUGCGAUUCGUCUAUUUGAUCACUCAUCACUAUAAGUUGUAUUGAUUAGGAAUACUGUGGUUACAAUUACAAUGAAGUCAGCAAUGCUUGCUUAAAAGAGUUUGAGUGCCUACUUUGGAAGUAGCAUAUAAUAAUUCAGUUUUGACUUGUUUUAAUGAUUAGGUAGCAAUAUCACCCGAAUGUACAUCCAGGAUUACCAACAGAAGAAUAAUCACUGAGCUUGUUAGGAUGCAUAAGAAUGGAGUUUUAGGAAAUCGAUUGCCGGUUUACGAUGGACGGAAGAGCUUGUAUACUGCUGGACCUCUGCCUUUCACAGAUAAAGCUUUUGUGAUCAAAUUAGCUGAUGAAGAAAAGACGGACAAAACCAGGUUUACCUGCCUGAGAAAGGAACUUCUAUAGUUUAUUAUGCCCGUAAUGAGUUAUCAUUUGAUUCAACUGCUCUUCAAUUCAUCAGGGAAAAGGAAUUCAAAGUGACAAUUAAGCUUGCUGGGCAAGCAGAUCUCGAUCAUCUGAGAAACUUUUUACAGGGCAGACAAAUGGAUGCUCCACAAGAGACUAUCCAAGCUCUUGAUAUUGUGCUCAGGGAGUCACCUUCAGCAAAGUAAACUGUCUUUAAUUCCUUCUCAGUAACGUUUUGUAAAAUAGUUAAAGUUUUCCAAUUAAGUUGUGGUGCUUUUCAGCUACUCUAAUAUCAUUGUUUACAGUUAUGUCACCUCUUCGCGGUCAUUCUUUUCUCCCAUGUUUGGGCAUAAGUGUGAUAUAGGUGAGGGUUUGGAAUGCUGGAGGGGGUAUUUCCAGAGUCUUCGUCCAACGCAGAUGGGAUUAUCUUUGAACACAGGUAUUAUGGCUUAUGUACAGAUUUGUCUGUUUGCUUGUUGAACUAUAUCUUUGUCUUGCAUACAAUUUCUAAGAAAUGUGAUAGUUAGAAGAGGUGAUAUGAUUAUUAUCAGUAAUAUGAGAAUAGGUAGAGGGAGAUUAAAAAAUUCUUGAUAGAAAUUAUAAAUAAAGAUUUAAAAAUACUCAUAACUAAAGAUAUAACUCUUUAUAGAUCUUAAUAAUAGCUAAAGAUCCAUGUAGUCGACCCCAAAUAGUUAAGAGUUAAGACUUUAUGAUUUUGUUGUUGUUGUUAGAUAUAAAGUGAUGUCAACUAGUUGUGUACUUAUGCAUACCAUCCUUUGUCUUUCGUCAUCUCAAUUUAUCCAUUAUUCAUUAUGAGGACACAGGUUCUAUAUUGUGUACUUGUGCAUACUGUCCAGACAACUUGUUGAUUGAUGCCUUUGGUGCUGCACAUUGCUGACAAUGGAUAUAUAAAACUUGGGGACAACAUUGAAAUAAAUACUCCAAUUGUCUUAAAUGUAUUAUGAUCUGCCUCAGUUGUCUUGUUAUCAAUGUUGAUAAUGGAUUUGAGCAAGUCUUUUACAUCCCAUGUUUGUUUCCAGAUAUCUCUGCGACCUCAUUCUAUAAGCCCGUGACUGUUGUGGAAUUUGUAGCAGAGUAUCUUAACAUCUAUGAUAUCAUGAGACCCUUGUCUGACCCAGAUCGUAUUAAGGUUAAUAUCCUUGAAACCUUUAGCCAUUUAAAUUAUUAUGUUUGGAUACUGAUAAUUGCUUAAUGAUUCAACAAUACAUUUCUUUUGUUUUUUCAUUCUCAUAUUCUCUCUUUCCACUUCUGUCUUUUGACUUUGGUAGAUAAAGAAAGCUCUAAGAGGAAUAAAAGUUGAGGCCAUGCACAAUAGAAAUUGCCGCAGACGUUACAAAAUUACGGGGAUAACCUCAAUGCCCAUGAGUGAAAUAAUGUCCUUUGUCUUUCCCCCUCUUAGUUUAUCCCUUUUUUUUAUAAUUUUGUUAGAUAAAAAGUGAAUUAUGUCCCUUUUGUUCAGGUUUCCAGUUGAUGAAUCGGGAACAAAGUUAUCUGUGGUGCAAUAUUUUCGAGAUCGGUAUCAAUGUUCUCUGAAGCAUGUUUCAUGGCCUUGUCUACAAGCUGGCAGUGACGCCAGACCUACAUACUUGCCAAUGGAGGUCUAUUAUUUUAUGAACAUAUAAUAGUUUGUUGUCUUACUCUUUGUUUCACAAUUUUGGUGCUUAAAUUUGAUUUUUUCUAAUAAUGAUCUAUAUGAAUUGAUGAUUAGGUCUGUAGAAUUAUAGAAGGACAAAGGUUUACAAAGAAGCUUAAUGAUCGACAGGUGACUAGCAUAUUGAAAGCAACAUGUCAACGGCCUCGAGAUCGGGAGAGGAGCAUCCUGGAGGUAUAUAGUGAACUGAAUUAUAAAUCAAAUAUACUCUUUCUUAAAAACUGAAAGAAGCUAUGCAAGUAUAUUUACUUAGAGCUUUAAGGUACAUUAUUCCGGUUGAAAGUUUUGCUAAUAUGGUUAUUUCUGGGAAUCUACAUUUUUGUUGUGUGUUUGUACAAGGCUUUGACAAUGGUCGAAUUUAAUUCAAUUUCUAGGUGUUGAUACUUUAUCAUUUUCUCCUGGUGACCGACUUUAGUUAUAACUAAAUGUUGCUGCAGAUGGUCAGACUGAAUAAGUUCAAUGAUGACAAAUUUGUGAAGGAGUUUGGCAUUAGGAUUAAGAAUGAAUUUACUCCUGUUGAAGCUCGUGUGCUGCCACCACCUAGGGUAAUGUGGUUCAAUUAGAAUUGUCUUCUGUUAAUUAUCUGUAUGCAUCUACUUGUGAAGUGUUCAUCUAUCUACUUUGCAUGCUUAUGUCCAUGUCUUGAUACAUUACUUUUUUCAUCAUAAUUCCGUAAUGUGAAGCUGAUCAAUUCUGAAUAUUUCAGCUGAAAUAUCAUGAGUCAGGGAGAGAGAAAUUGUGCAGUCCUAAUGUUGGUCAGUGGAACAUGAUCAAUAAGGUAAGCAUAGCAGGUCAUUUUGUUGCUACUCUUACAACAUGAUCAAUAAGGUCAAAAUAAUUGGUAACUUUCUGCUACUUCUAAGAAAAAUACUCUGCUUUUUCCCUUUCUCCAAAAGACUAUGUUUAGGUGCCCAACUAAACACAUGCCUGCUACCACUUGAUGUGGUGCUUGUCUGUCUGCAGUUCUUGUGUGUAUUUUAUGACCUUCAUUAAUUGGAUUUCUGUAAAAGCUAUGAUAUUUUGAUUUUAUGUUUUUUAGCAUUUUUAUUUCUGACAAAUUUUCAUUAUUGUUUUUUCUUUUUAAACUACAUAUAGUUUAAACUAGGUAAUGAUAAUGGAUAUACAACUCCUUAAAUACAGACUUAAAUGAAUGUGCAAGUUAUGCAUAUUUGAACUAAUCCUCCCUGGUGGAUCCACAGAGAAUGGUCAAUGGUGGCAAUGUAGAACACUGGACUUGCUUAAGUUUUUCACGUCUUCGUGGUGAUGAGAUCGACCGAUUCUGCGGUGGUCUUGUUAACAUGUGUAAUAACAUUGGCAUGGUACUAGUACAUAAAUUCUUGUUGUUGUCCCAAACAUAACUGUUCUUCCAUUUGGUUUACUAACCUUUUUAUAAAAUCUGAAGGUUUUUAAUCCGAGACCUUUUGUUGACAUCUGGGCCGUUCACCCUGAUAGCAUGGAAACAGCUUUAAGAAAAGUUCACAGUCAGUCCUUAAAUUGCUUGGGAAAGAGUGGAAGACAUAUUCAAUUGUUAAUUAUUGUCUUGCCAGAAAAGAGUGGUCACUAUGGUAUGCACAUUUUCUUUUGUAUAAGCUUGAGAUACAUUUGUCUCUAUGUUACAUUUCCAUUUUGCUCCACAGGGAGAAUCAAGAGAAUAUGUGAAACUGAUCUUGGGAUUGUUUCACAAUGUUGUUUGCCAAAACAUGUGGCAAAAUGUAACAAUCAGUACUUGGAAAAUGUUGCUUUGAAAAUCAAUGUGAAGGUACUUUAGUUCUGUUCCGUCAGUUUUGCUAAUACAUAUUAAUUGUGUGAUAAUGACUUUCACACAUUCUCUAAACAGGUUGGAGGACGUAACACAGUGCUUGAGGAUGCCCUCCACUAUCGAAUUCCCUUUGUAACAGAUAAGCCAACAAUCAUAUUUGGGGCUGAUGUCACACAUCCAGCCCCAGGAGAAGAUGCCUCCUCAAUUGCUGCGGUUUGUUUUUCCUUCUCUUAGCCAGUAUUGCAUUUUAUGUGUUUCACACUUAUAGAUUCGUGAAAGUGGAAACUGAAAGUGACAACUGCCUCAGAUAAAAGAAGAAAUCUGAUUAUGGUACCUUAAACUUUUAUGGUGCUUUGUUCUGUAUAAUUUCUUCCUCGUGUUUGUAGGUUGUAGCAUCGAUAGAUUGGCCUGAAGUUACCAAGUAUAAAGGUUUAGUCUCUGCCCAACAAAACCGGGAAGAGAUGAUACAGGAUUUGUUUAAAGUUACACAGGAUCCACAGAAGGGCACCAUCUAUGGAGGCAUGAUUAGGUACAGGCACAAGAAAUAACUACUAGGCUUUGGGUAUGAAUUUGAAUUGUUGUUUCAUUGUUAUGCAGGGAACUACUGCUUUCUUUCUUUAGAGCUACUAAACAGAAGCCUCAUAGAAUCAUAUUCUACAGGUAACCAUUGCUACUUCAAAUAUCAAAUGUGGUUUCUUGCUGCACAACCUGAAUUUAGCAAACUUGUGAUAUAUGCAGGGAUGGAGUGAGUGAAGGACAAUUUAGCCAGGUCCUGCUUCAUGAAAUGACUGCUAUCAGAAAGGUACCUAAUGCUUCUUGCUCAGCAGAGUGCAAGGGUUGCUUUCACUUUUAUUUGUUUUAUUUCGUUUGUCGCUGUUGCUAAUUUGCAUGACCUACCUUAGUGAUGACUAGAUUAUGUUCAUGCCAGGCAUGUGCCUCUUUGGAAGAGGGUUACCUGCCCCCUACUACAUUUGUGGUAGUUCAAAAAAGGCACCACACACGGCUGUUUCCUGAAGUCCAUGGAAGCCGGGAUUUGACUGAUAGAAGUGGGAAUAUCUUACCAGGUUAGUCAAGUUUACUGUCAAUUGCUGUACCAUGAUUAAGAAUUAACAUAUGUUGGCUGUGUUUAGGAACUGUGGUUGACAAAAUGAUCUGUCACCCCACGGAGUUUGAUUUCUUUCUCUGUAGCCAUGCUGGCAUACAGGUCCAUUUUGUCUACACCUCUUCAGCAAUAAAUUUUCUGCUACCAAAUCCUUUUCUUGCUUUCAAAGCCUAAAAUUUAUCUUCUUCAUUUUGCAGGGAACUAGCCGACCAACACACUAUCAUGUUCUUUUUGAUGAGAAUCAUUUUUCUGCUGACGAUCUACAGAGAUUAACCAACAAUCUGUGUUAUACGUAAGCUUUAAACUCAUUUUAUCAUUUUAAUGGCCUGGUCACGUCUUAGUUCAGGUUGAAAUCCUAAUUUUCUGGGAGUAUUGUGCUUCAAAUUCACUAGUGUCAUUUUGUCGAUAUGCUCAUGUUUUCUUGCUUGUGAAAUACAGUUAUGCUCGGUGCACUCGUUCUGUUUCGAUUGGUAAGUUGCACAUCUGUUCGUGUGGUUUCUGCCUACGUAUUCUUGAACCCUCAGCAGUCUCAAUUUUCCUUUCUUUUUCUUCUUUUAUUCAACAGUUCCUCCCGCGUAUUAUGCACAUCUAGCAGCAUUUCGUGCACGCUAUUAUAUGGAGGGUGAGCUGUCCGAUGGAGGAUCAACGUCUGCUGGUGGGAGGAGUAGGAGCAAGAACACGUCAACUGAAGUGCGGCAACUUCCUUUAAUCAAGCAUAAUGUGCAGGAAGUCAUGUUCUAUUGUUGAUAGCUUCGUUUGGAUGGAUUUUGGUAUUGUCUAUGGGUUCUGUCAAUACUUAGAAUAGUACCAAGUUUGAUGUUUUGCCAUUUUGGGUAGAAAUGGGAUCAUGAAUAUGAUCAUUUUUAACCACAUCUACAUGGGUAUGAAGAUGACAUGCUUUUAGGCUUCCUCUCAGAUAUGGAAGUUUACGUCCGUAGUAGGCCAAUACUUGUAUGUACACUUCCACAUUUUAGAGGCUUUUGCUGCCUGUUGAUUUAUAUUCUCACUGGUAAUUGCUUUAACAGCCAAUUUGAUGUUCCGUUUGUUUUUAUAUGGACUACGUUCAUAGAAGUGAAAUGGAAGUGUGCAUGUGGAUGACUUUAUUUGUUUGUUGUUUGCUCAUUCUCUGUUCCACAUUGAACUUAUCGUAUGUAUCAGAUGGCUCCAAUAUUCUCAUUAGCUGUGAUUGAAACUUCAACUCGUAUAACUAAUGUGAUAGCUCCGAAAUGUCAUGUUGUAGCUGAGGUUGCUCAAGGCAAGUGGCUCCUAAGCGAUAUUUGUCAGGGAGGAUCGGAUCUAAGGUUAGAUGAAUGUGCAGAUAAUAUAUUGUCAUUGCGCAUGAAAAGUAUAAGAUAAUUGGGAUUGUAAGCAAUACAAAGCAAUUAAUUUUCUUUCUAAACGAGUUGAACGAUCUCACAUGAAGAGGUUCCGAAGGCAAGUGCAGACCUAAUAUUCACCAAACAUUUUCAUCAAAUGGAAAGUGGGUAACAUUUUCGUCAAAUAGAAAGUGGGUAUAUUGCAUUGCCUCUCAAAUAUAUAACAAAGGCUCCAUUCGGUCUAAUUCCACCCAAGAGAUUCCAAGAUAUCGAGACAGUUGACAAUUCUCAUUCUCACCGUAAGACCAUUAGCAGAUGGCACACGAGAACAGAGCUAUUUUGAUUAUUUUCUCGUUUGUAUAACGUUGUACGAUCGGAAACAUAAGACAAAAAUAUAAAAAAAAAAUCCUUUAAAGCAAAAUAAGGUUGACGAUGGUAUUUUCUAUCAUGUAUAUGUUAUCUAUGAGAAAACACUCGAAAACAUAAAAAACAACAUAAAGACAAGAAUUAGCAUCAUGGACAUGUGUCCGACACUUAGCCAACUUCCUCAACAGAACCAUCUCAACGACAAAAGAAUAAGUGUCGGACACAUGUCCAUGAUGCUAAUUCUUCCUUUAAAGCAAAAUGAAACUGAAGAUAAUUCUUUCUGUCACGUACAUGCUAACUAAAACAAAAUACUCAAAAAUAUCAACAACAAAAAAAAAAAACAUGAACACGGCUCAAACACACAAUCUCAACUUGCAGGUGGUGACUCGUUAUUAAUUAACUCAAAGUGGUUGCUUGUGCCAAUAAAAGGCUUCGUUUGUUGUAUCUUAGACUUCUUUAGGCAAACUCGGGUCAAUAAGUUACAGGUCUGGUUUGACAUCACAUAGACUUGGUUUGGGUCAUUAGUGCUUUGUUGUCCAUGUCAGGCAAGAUGAAUUAUUACUCACAGAAGAUGAGCAAACUUGGAACAGCUAAUUUAGAAGCCUGCUGCAUCUACUGCUCAACCAAUCUAAAAUUUUAUCUGGAAUACCAUGUCAUCAGCAAACGGUAGUGAUUCACAAUUCAUGUCAUUUCAAAAUCACUGGAAACUAAACUUUGCAUUGGACAUAUACAAGCAUUUGGAUGGUCUUCAGAAUAGUGCAGAAGACAACAAACAUGUCACUAAUCUUUCUGAACAUGUUAAUUUAGAAGAUAUUGGGGGCUGUUUCUCACAAAUGCACACAAUCCCUCUUCCAUCCAACCAUAAGCAGCUUUUCUCAACCAAAUACUCAUUAGAGACAACCAAAUGUGAUUCAUAUAUGAUCAUGCUUUUAAUUAUAGGUGGCUGACUGUACAAUAAUUGGCAGCUCAGAAGAUUCUCAGGAGAAAUAUAUCAACCAUGACCACAUAGGCAAAGUUCAUCAAGCACAUAACUGCAGUAACUAGUUAUCCAAAAAGGCCUUCAAUGAAAAUGGUGGAUGCCCAUCCUGUUAAAGUACAAACUUAAAUGUGUAAGGCUUCAGAAACUAAAAAACAUUCAGUAAUACAACAAUAAUAGUUUGCAUUAGAUUGAUUUUUUAAUGGCAAAAGCAUUUGAUGAUUGGGAUGGAAGGACCAACUCCAGAUUCUAUGCCAACCUUCAAAUUCAAGGAUAUGUAGUCUCGAGACUUAAUAUAGCAUUAAGCAGUACAACAAGGCUUAGCAGUAACAUGUGAUGUCUAUUAGUAUACAAAGUCAGCAAAUAGCAAAUAGAAAAGGCAUCAAAUUUGUCAUAUGUUGUAUGAUAGAAAUCACUAAACAGGCAAAUGUCUAGAUUGUCACACAAAACAACUACUAACCUUACCAAGUUCCUGAUGUAGGACAUGUCUAACCACAGCUGCUUGCUGUAUCAACCUCUCCAUGGAAGAAUAGCUUGGCAGAUUAGCACGAUCUAACAUUAAAGAUAACUCCAAGGCUAGUAACUUCAUCGUGAUGAAUAUAAAGCAACAUCAAAAAAAAGUUUAGAUAUAGUAACAUACCCAAGAUAGCUCGAUUCAGACAAUCUGCAAUGUUUUCUCGAUAUUCUGGGCUCAAAAGAUGAAACAUCGGAGAUUUCUCAGGCUCCUCAUAAGCUAAGAGUGUAAUAAAGUCCUGAUGAAUCAGCUAGUAUGAGAAAUGACUACAUAAUUUAUUAUAACAACAAUACUAAAGAAAUAAAAAGAUCGGGUUAGUUUCAGAAUCAUACUUCCAGUUUCCCAACAAACUUGGGCACCUUUCCGAAUGGCGUUAACUUGGUCUGAGCAAAUUCCAAAGCUUCCAUGCUGCCAAUGAAGGAUAAGUUACAUUAGAAGUCUCAUGGUAUCAAACAGAACCUAACAUUUGCCAAAAGAUCAUUUACCAUUUCCGUGAACGUACUAAGUCAAUGAAGUGAAGGCUUAGUAGAUCAAAACACAGGUCUUUGUUAUCUUCCAGUAAGUUGGGCACAAGUUGUUCUGUAAGCUCUAUUGCCUUAAGAGCAUUCCCCUCCAUGGUGAAAUGGAGUAUUGCUGGAGACAGUCGAAUAUAAAAUUAUUAUUUGACUCAACAGUUGGUUCCACUGCCAUGUACAAGCAACCUACACCUAAUCAAAGCAUAACUAACCUUAGACAAAAACCUAAAAGCGUCAUACAAGAAUAUAAAAGUCAUCCAAUGUCAAGGCAUCAAGUAGUUAAAAAUAAGAUGUAACACCGCCUUGGACUACAACCACACACAAACAUGACCCCACAGGGAUUUGCUAAAAUAAUUUAGCUCCUUUAUUAAAUGGAUGGCAUUGUUUAUCAUGGAAACAACCUCUCUUAUUCAUAGUCCCAAUUCUCAUAUUUCUUUGCCAAACAUAAAUGAGUUUGAAUUUGAAGGAAAUUCAAUCCAAGUCUUUCCACCAAGCAAAGAAACUUUUAGUAUUGAUGCUCUUGAUCUUUAGGUUGUAGCAUAUCAACAAUUUCUUCAGAGCGAAAGCAAAAGAUCAAGAACUCACCAAGGUUCACAUUGUCCAACUUCUUUUUCAUUCAUUGGCAAUGCCAACCUAUGACAAGAUUAAAAAAUCAAAAAGCCCGAGAAGACCUUUCUACAAAAAUAUUACACCAAAGAUACCCUUGCAAAGAUACACUGCAGAAACGAAAAGCUCCCAAACUGAAAUGGAAACUUCUCGUCUAUCACAAGAGAUAUGCCCUCAUGACACCAAUGGACAGAAGAGAGAAAGGAAAGGUCAUCAUCAUUCCAGUCUUUCAUCACUACAUUUGACAAAAUUUAUUUAUUUAUAAAGGCUUACAAUAAACUACAGCAUGAUUGCAGUGAAUUCAGAUAUAUAUAUAUAUAUAUAUAUAUAUAUAUAUAUAUAUAUAUAUAUAUAUAUAAACCACUAAACUGUUAAUGAAAGCAUUAACUAAAAGAUAUUUCCAAAUCAUCAUUAAAAGCAAGUACAGUUUGGAGUCUUUGGACAAUGUUGCUAUUGUGAUAGAAUUGUUAGAACCAUUUAAACAUCUAGCUGAGUGUAUUGUGUGUUUUUCUGACCAGCCAGAAGCAUUAAUCAGUAGACCCUGAAGCCUUUGCAGCGCAUGAAUGAUAGGGUGACUUUUUUAUGAUUGUCUACAUUUCCCUAUUUUAAAAUAUCUGAGGACAACAAACAUCAUAUGUAACAAUGAUGGAGACAGCAUGGUGUUUUUCUUAAUGUUAAAAAUAACACAAGUUAAGACAAGUUACAACAAGAAGUAACUUACAUUUCCGUUUCUCCAUGUCCAAAAGAUAAUCAACAGGUUGAUUCAUACCAGUACAAGUAAGAAAUGUCUCUGCUGUCUCUUUGAAACAAUUAUGCACGAGAUAAGAGAGGACAAUGUUACGAAUAUCACUGUCACUGAUUGCCUAUAAAAAAGAAGAAAUCAGCAGACAGAAUUAUCAAUGACAAAUGAUCUAGUCCAGUAACUUACGUGUUUUGACUUAAAAAAUCAACAGUAAUCGGGAGAAAGAAUAAGUUGCAAUUAAAAAGAAGGCAGAAUGGAAAAACCACAAUAAUUAGAUAUGUACAAGAAGCCAAAAGCAUUUAUCUUCUGAAUGUUUUAAAGGCACCUUAAAGAAAUUUGAAGAGAAGAUCAGUAGAAGUAUUAGCAAGAUGCAGAAGCUUGAUAAUACAUUCACCACCAAGAAAGUAUAUAAGGUAUGUUUCUGUAUUACCAGGUAUACAAGCCUUACUACAACACCGUGUCCAACCACAUGAAACAGAAACAUCACCUUAGGUACUGUCAAUGAAGUGGUACUAUGAAAGAGAUAGGUGAGGACAAGAAAGUGAUUGGUGUCUGACAGGUCAUGGUUUGGAGAUGCAUGGAUCAUAUACUUAUUCCUUUUUACUUAGCCAUAGCGACUAAUAAUCAGCAAAGAUUCAGAAAGAAUUUUCCCAAAAUAUUGAUUAUGCAAGUGUGUUCUAUUAAUGUCCAGCAAACACCAACAUUGUAGUUAGCAUCUAAUUUGACAAAGUUUGUCAUGGCCAAAAAAAUUUCACAAUAGAGCAAAGAGACACAGUAUCAUAUUUAGACAAGAUAGAUUUUCUGCUCUUGGGUCCAGCAAAAUACAAGUUCACAUGGUCCCAGUGAUUUAAAAAGCGCUAGGCGCCAAGGUCCAAAAACGCCCGAGGCGCUAGGCGCUCGCCCGAGCGAAGCGAGGCGCUAAAAUAUAAAAAUAUAAAAUAUAAUUAAUAAAUAUAANNNNNNNNNNNNNNNNNNNNNNNNNNNNNNNNNNNNNNNNNNNNNNNNNNNNNNNNNNNNNNNNNNNNNNNNNNNNNNNNNNNNNNNNNNNNNNNNNNNNNNNNNNNNNNNNNNNNNNNNNNNNNNNNNNNNNNNNNNNNNNNNNNNNNNNNNNNNNNNNNNNNNNNNNNNNNNNNNNNNNNNNNNNNNNNNNNNNNNNNNNNNNNNNNNNNNNNNNNNNNNNNNNNNNNNNNNNNNNNNNNNNNNNNNNNNNNNNNNNNNNNNNNNNNNNNNNNNNNNNNNNNNNNNNNNNNNNNNNNNNNNNNNNNNNNNNNNNNNNNNNNNNNNNNNNNNNNNNNNNNNNNNNNNNNNNNNNNNNNNNNNNNNNNNNNNNNNNNNNNNNNNNNNNNNNNNNNNNNNNNNNNNNNNNNNNNNNNNNNNNNNNNNNNNNNNNNNNNNNNNNNNNNNNNNNNNNNNNNNNNNNNNNNNNNNNNNNNNNNNNNNNNNNNNNNNNNNNNNNNNNNNNNNNNNNNNNNNNNNNNNNNNNNNNNNNNNNNNNNNNNNNNNNNNNNNNNNNNNNNNNNNNNNNNNNNNNNNNNNNNNNNNNNNNNNNNNNNNNNNNAAAUAUAUAAUAUAAUUAAUAAAUAUAAUCACAUUAACAGUAUAAACCUGCGGACGGAGAAACGAGGAAGCAGCGGCGAGCAGCGGCAGCGGCGAGCAGCGGCAGCGGCGAGCAGCGGCAGCGGCAGGCCUCGAGGGAGGCGCGAGCGGGAAGGCUCGCGGGAGGGCUCGAAGGAGGCGAGAGGGCUCGCGGGAGGCGCGAGCAGCGGGAGGGCUCGCGGAGGCGCGAGCAGCGGGAGGGCUCGAGGGAGGCGCGAGCAGCGGGAAGGCUCGCGGGAGGGCUCGCAGGAGACGCGAGCAGCGAGAGGGCUCGCGGGAGGCGCGAGCAGCAGGAGGGCUCGCAGGAGGCGCGAGCAGCGAGAGGGCUCGCGGGAGGCGCGAGCAGCGGGAAGGCUCGCGGGAGGCGCGAGCAGCGACAGCGAGCGACGAGAUCGGGAUCGGCAGCGGCAACAGGUUAGUGUUGGGUUAGGGUUAGGGUUGGGGUUAUAUUAGUUUAGUUGGUUCGAUUGAACCAACUAACAACCGAACCAGGACUGAACCAGACCUAAAAUUCUGGUUCGGUUUACCCAGGCGCUCGCCCGAAGCGCCCAGCGCCUGGGCUCGGGCGAGCGCCCAGGCGGCGCCUGAUUGAAGCGCGCCGCCUGGGACAUUAGCGAGGCGCUCGGGCCUCGCCUCGCCUCGCCCGAGCGCCUAGGCGAGCGCCCGAGCGCCGUUUGCAAUCACUGCAUGGUCCUAAAUUUAUGUGCUUGAAAAGUUAUAUAUAACAUCCACCAGGAUCACCACCAAGACAUAAUAUAUAAUUCUGAAAGAAAACUGAUGCAGCUAACCCACCAUAUGGAUACCUCAAUGUAGAUCAGCAGAUCUUACAAUAAACAUGAGAUAGGACCUGCUCAGGUAAAGAAAUAAGAAGCAAACUUUUCGAAUAGAUCUUCUGAUAUUUCAAUUUAACCAUUGGUGUAUCUCAUGAUGUUUGUGAAGAGUUAGUAUAUCAUUGUAAUAUGCCAUGUUCAAGUUCAAAUAAUUCCUGAAAACAAUACAACUAAACUAUUUUCCUUGCACCACUUCAAACAAAUACUAUUAAGCAUGGUAAAGAUCAUAAAGAACUCUUUAAAUCACUGAAAUCUAAGGCUGAUGGCUGCUCAUUGAAUCGCAUGACAUAUACCUAGAAUAUACAGAUCGAAUUAGUAGAAACUACUAAGUGAACUAAGUCAAGCUGAGACGGCAAAUUGCAAUAGCAGGAGGGGAUCGUAUAGGUAUGAAAAUUUACUCUUACUAGUAGUACCAAGACGUAAAGCAUGACGAUAGAGUAAGACAACCUCAAGUAACCGCAGUCAUUAUUCACCCUAUCCAUCAAAGAAGCUUGUCAGACCAUUAGAAAUAUCAAAAUGGCUAUUAUGUAACUUGAAUAAUUCAUAUUUUGAUACCACGAGAAUGAUCAAGGCCGCAUUUGCCCUGUUAUUGCUAAAAACUAGCUAUCUUAACAAUAUUGGAACCCAGUUUUUGGAUGCCUACUGACUUCACACUGAAUCAACUUCAUUAAGUUCUUCACUUAGAAGGAACCCACCAUUAAGGGCACCACUCAUGUUUGACUGCUCAAUGUAACUGUUACUGUCAAUGUCAUAAGCCUUAGCAAUUGCCACAGAGGAGAACAAAAAAUAACAUCAGAAAGAGAGAAGAAUGUGUCUGCAAUCUAUUAUUUAUCAAAGAAAUCUUCAUAGUUCUUAAGUUCUUCAUUUUCUUGAUAGUUCUAGCAACACUAAACCAUGAUAAGAAACAACAAACAAGCCACCGAGGGACUGGGACACCCUGUUUCAUUGACGAAUGGGUCCCUGGUAGUGCAUUCCAUCAAAAUGAGAAAUAAAAACUACUACCAGAAAACAUGAUGCAGUGCAGAAGUCAUAGGAUUUUUCACCUCCUAACAAAGAUAGCCUCCAAAAGAGAUACUAAGAGAAAUGAGAAAAAUAAGGAGAAGGAAGAAGAGAAGCCAAGAAGAAAAAGACGAGAGGAGAGAAAUUUAGAGAGAAACUAGAAAGGUAAUAGAAUACACAACUAUAGUACUGGUCUGAGUUGAUACCUUAAUUGCUUAAAAUAACCUUUGUAUAUAGGAUCUCAUCCAUUGCCUCUCCUAUUUCAAAACAGAGUAGGACUUACCAUGAUACAUUAUCUUGUAUCCCCACAAUAUCUCCUCAUUACAGAACUCUGUAACUCUCCAAAUAUAAUCAUAAAUAGGAGAAUAACUAUGCUAAUCUAUUGUACAUUGUACAUGGGGUUUUGGACUUUAGUUUGAUUCUGAAUAUGACUCUACAGACUUUCCAAAGUACCUCUUGAAAUAAGAACAAUAAUACAAUAUAUUCCUUCUGUCAAAGAAGGUCAAUCCUAAUAAAAGUAGCCAUAGCCCCAAUUAACCUUGACUUGAAUGUGGCCUAGUUCAUUCUCCUUCCGUCUCAAUCAAGAUAUAUCACCCAAAUGAGAAAGGUAAUGUUGUUGUAUCCUAUUAUAAAUAGUAUUGGGACAUAUUGUUAUAUCAAGACUAUAUUGUUAUCAAAUCAGAAGAAUAGUUGGAUAAAGUGAUAAUGAAAAAUCACCAUGUCAUUAGGUGUCGACUGUAUGCUAGAUUCUAAUGGGGCAACGAGACCAUAAAUGGAUCCGCCCUGAUUAUGUCAGGCCUAACAAAGAUCAAAGUCGGGCCAACUUGGUUAUCAGGUCCCAGCUUUUGCAAAAUAUUUUGGGCAAACUUUUGAUAUGGGGAUAAUAUCAUUUAUGCUUAGGAAGGGAUCUUCUGAUUGCCCGAUUCAAAUAUAAAGAUCAAGAUAUCAUCAUAAGUAUAUUUGUGAAGCUCAUAUUACUUGUGUAACACUCCCAAGUCUAGUCUCAUGCCGGACGAAAACUUGAAUUGACUUGUGAUCUAGCAUUUUGAACCAGUGGUUCAAGCUCAACAGAGUUACUAAGUCAGCUAUCACAUUCGGUCAGGUUGCGGCCACUUAUCUAAAUGAUCCCUCAUGGACCUUCAAUAUGAUCCAACCAUGAAGGUUAUAAGCCAAAACAAGAGUUCUAUGACCCCAAAAAUAAUCUUAGAUCAGUAGGGCUUUCAUCAUAAAAAUUUCCCACCCCUCAAAGUCUUUAAGAAAGGAUGAUAUUGAUGACAGGUAGUAUCUAAGUUACAAUUAAUGAUGUAAUACAAAACUUUACUAUCCUUGAACACUAAAGGUCAUCAAGCAAAAAGCACACAGUAAACAGUUAUCUACAAACUGUUGCCAUAACAUACCCAAAUAAUUUUCCUUUUACAACAAAGUAAAAUAAUAGAGAGAAAAAGGUGUAUACUCCUUGUCACUAAUGAAAUUUAGAAUAAUUUAGCCUGCAUGAUUAUUAUGUUAUCAUAAGCUAGUAUAAUUUUGAACAGAUAAGUAAAAAAGUGAAGAAGAUAAAAUUCUUAUCUAAUUCCUUUUAAAAAUAUUUUUUAUUGCAUUAAAUAUCGUACAAGACACUCUCACAUGGACUCAAUGGUGAGACUUAACAAUUGUGCACUAACCAUUAGAAUGUCUCAUCAGAGACUCUUAUCUGAUUCCUUGACAUUAGUACAGAUUAUAAGAAAUUUCAUGGGCAUGUAAACUUGAUAAGGUCGUAUCAAGAAUGAGUAGCAGAUCUACAAACAUGGUAAUGUGGCUAACUGAUGCCCUCGUAGUAUAUUCUAACUUUCUUUCUUUUGGUGCAUUUCUUUCUCCAUAAGAUCCGGAAUUUGACAUCAAGAAGGCCAAUGAAAAAAAAUAGCAGCCUUCAAUCAUGUUACUAAUUAUUCUUUAAUGGGUAUUUUGCCAAGAGUUUAAUAAGUUUAGUUCUUACACAUUCUUUCAAACAAUCAUCAGUUUUCCAAAUUAUAUUUCACACGAUGAAGGAAAAUAAUUCACAAUUAGAUACAAUAAGUAACUUUUUUGUUAAACCUCGAGUGAUAAGAUUUCCCAAGUAUCUUAAACCAAAGCAUUCUAUAUCAAUAUGUCUUCAAACUUAAUAUUUUCAUAUAUACGUUUCCUUCUGCUUAGGGUUUCUUGGGAUGUAGAAAUUCAAGUUUCCUGCUACCAACUAAUUCAUGAUAUGAAGAUAUAUGGACGGAAGAUUGAAAAGAAAAUUUUGUACAGAAUAUUUGACAUGAAGAAACAAAUAAAGAGGCAAAUGGAGAUUUGCUUCCCCAAUAUAUCGAACUGUCAAGUACCAAUGAACGUGACAAGGCCUUCGCACAUCAGGAAUGCAAUCGUGCCACAUUACCGAAACAAAGAAACAGUAUUCGAAUCUCUAACUCAACUUACAACACAGCAACUUCAGAAAAGAACAAUGUUCGCACAUCUGUCUUCAAAACUGAUACCAAAAUCAACGGAUUAACAAGACCUUCAUACUACCAUCCGAAACCUAUUGAAUGAGAAUCAAGCACCCAAGAAAGGCAGGAAGAUAAAAGAGAAUCGAAAGAACAACUGGCUCAUCAAGAGAUCGAAAGCAACCGAUAAAAAAUUUCCGCACGGAGACUUGAAAUCUGUAGGGCAGUAGCAAGGAAGGUCAAGAGGAACAGAAGACUCACGACGUGAUCGUAAAGCCUGGGAUCCAAGUCCAUCACCGCCGCCACCUAUGAGGAGGAAGGAGACGAAAGCGAGGAAGAAGAGGAGGGGGGAGGGGGGGGGAGGAUUAGUUCUUCUCGGCCGUGGAAAUGAGGCGCAAUGUCGCAUCAUCACCUUGUCCCCGCGAUACAAAGGGUUGGGGCGCCGCUCGUGUGGCUCGCUCACACGCUUAGCCCGGCUGUGAAAUCUUUCCAGAUCUUACGUUUCAACUGUAGUUUCACAUAUGGUAAUUAUCUUUUAAUUUUUUUUAUUUAUAUGAUAAAUUAUUUGGAUAAUUUGCCAAAAAAAAUCUUCUCGUAAUCAUUUUUAUGCUCCUCUAUUAAAAAAUUAUUAAAUCAUUUUUUAUAAAUACAUAUACUGAAAAAAAUAGAUAAUUAAGAGAAUUGAUUAAAAAUAUAUAUAAUUAAAUUUUAAAUUUUAAAUUUUAAAAAAAUAAUAUAUUUUUUUAAUAGAAGAGUGCUUUUUAGUAAAAUAAAUGAUUCGAGGAUUUUUUUUAUAAAUUACCAAAUUAUUAUCAAUUUAUUUUUAUUGUAAAAAGAAUGCUACAUUUUUGUUAUUUGUGAUAGCGUGAGGCAUGGUUGAGUUUUUAAUUUCUUACCAGCGUAGAACUUUUCUUUUUUUUUCAUAUAUAUAAAAACAUAUGGAAUAAGAAUUGGAAAAGAAUAUGGAAUUAAAAAUAUGAUAUAACGUAAAAUUUUGACUUUUGGAAAUUUAAGUGCUUGUUUGUUUUGUGUUUCCAUCCUUUCCAAACUAUCCAUUGCCUUUUCUUUUUCUUAGAUUGCUAAAGAUUACUACAGGAUAUGUUUAAGGAGAUUGAUGUCAAUUAUUUGUUAUAAAUUUAUUUAUUAACUUAGUCGUUUUUAAUAUUUUUGUUAAUUAUUUUUUGUCACGUGAUUUACAGAAAAUAUAAAACAAGGUUUAAAUUACACUUUGUCCAGAUAAUAUUGUAUACUAAAAUAAUUAUAACCAAAGUGUGAUACGGAUUAAUUACAUAUUAAAUAAUAUAAUUAAUUAUCCUUAAUAAAUUAUUUGAUUACGAUUGCAUUUACAACCCGAUAUGAAUCGCUUCUUGGAUGACAUGGCAAGAGUUGUCACGCAAAUGUCGUGAAAAGUGAGUGCCACGUUACGAGUCCAUUGGUUCUAUCGACUUGUAUACACGUUGACAAGAUAUAUAAAAGGAAUCCAACUACUUGACUUCAUUUAAUUCACGUAUUUACUCCUCGAUUCAUCGACUUGUUUUUGCCUUCGUCGUCAUUUUCUAACUCCAACUCUACUCAAUUAUUAGAGGGAGGAGAAGUAUCCUUUUCCCUUUCAAUCGUAAUCCAAAUAGUAAACAACUGUGUGCAUGACUCGACGUCCUACAUUAGUCGAAUGAUCCAAGCGAGCUUUCUCAAUUAGCAUUAAGUGGAUACAUCUUUAGAAAUGAGGAAUUAUGAAGUAAUUUUAAUCAAAAACAUUAAAAAAAAAUUGCCUCUAUUGCUUCGUACAAAGAGUGGUUAGAUAAUUCUUUGACUUAAUCUACAAUAUCUUGGCUAAUUAUUUAGUUACCUACAUUUAGUAUUUUAAUCCAUACAUUUUAAAAAAAUAUAUUUGUAUCCCUAAAAUUACUAUUAUAUAAAAGUAAAAUAUCUAUGUUUAUUUACCUUAAGUAGAUUUUUGUAACGAAAACAUAAAAAUAAAAAAUAAAAUUAUAAUUUUAAUGUUGUAAAUGAUGGUGGCGAACAAUUGUAUUGUUAGGGCCACGAGUGACUGUUAUGGAUAAUAAGAGCGACAACGAGAGGUGAGGGCCACUCUACAUCUGCGUUAACAUCGGCAUAAUGAUCGAACAACCCUUUUGUUACUCGGUAUCUAUAUCAGCGUCGACGUGGAUGUAGAGAAAUGAAAGGCUCGUUUGAUAAAUAUAUCAGUGUUGAUGUAAAUGCAGAGCGAUCCUUACUUAUUGUCAUCGCUCUCCUCCUUCACAACAACCACUCACGAUUCUAACAAUGUCAUCGUUCGGUACCACUAAUUAGAAUAUUAAAAUUAUAUUUUUUAUCUUUUAUUUUCGUAUUUUUAUUAGUAAAAUUGAUGACGUUAUGACAAAUAUAUAUGGAUGUUUCACUAUUGAUGUUAAUGUAAAUUUUAAAAUAUAGAAACUAAGAUGCUAAAUGUAGCUAAUUACAUAGGUUAAUAUGUAAUUAGCCCACAAUAUCUUAUGUAUAGCUUUUCUUCGAUAAAAUACCAGUUAACAGAUAGUUGAUAAAAAACAAUUUAUUAGAUAAAAAUAAAAAUAUAUAAUAUAAGAUAUUUUAUCUAACAACAUCACACUUUUUUUUUUGUUUCCUUACUACUUCCAUAAAAAUACCAUCGGUCAAAUCUUUAAAAGUUAUUAUUAUUUAUAAUAUUUUUAUUACAGUUAAGGUCUAUUUUAACUCUUUUUGUUUUCGUGAUAGUCCACUUAAGUCCUUAUGGUUUACUUGUAUUUAAAAUAAUUUAUAUAUUUUAAAAAACAUAGCAUAUAAACCUCUUUCAUUAAGUUUGAGUUAAUAGACGUUAAAGUCUACUUACGUGAUAUGAUGACUUACAAUAAAUCAUUAAUAUAAAGACACGUAUAAUUUAAGUUUAAAAAAUGAUUACGGUCUAUUUUAGCCUUUGUGAUUUUUGUCAUGACUUAAGUCCUUAUGGUUCACUCAUGUUUAAAAUAACCUCUACAUUUAAAAAAAGAUAACAUAUAAGCCUCUUUCGUCAAGUCUGAAUUAAUAGAUAUUAGAAUUUACUUACGUGGUAUACUGACUCACAAUAAACCAUUAAUAUAAUGAUAAAUAUAAUUUAAAUUAAAAAAAAGGUUAAGAUCCAUCUAUUGAGGAAGCGACAGACGAAGACAAAGAGAUAGGGGCAGGAGAGGCUGGAGGCGGAAGUGAGUGAGAGUUGGACCACCACGUUAUAGGGGUGGCGGGUGAGGGUGUAGGAGAGGAUUAGGAGACCAUUGCGUGCACAACGUCAAAUCAGUCGACACACAUCCACCCGAGAUAGGACAGAAAGCUCUUGAGCUCGUUGUUAGCAAUGGAAAGACUACAUGUAUAUGAUACUUUGCUAGGUAGAAAUGGCUCAAUGCUGUGUGGUCGCUUCCAUGACGAUGUCUCAUCUCGUCAUUGAUGGUAAUCUCAAUUAUUUUAAAACUUAAAUUAUAUAUUAUUAUAUUAAAUAAUUUAUUAUGAGCCAACAUGCUACGUAAGUAAACUCUAACAUUUAUUAACUCAGACUUGACGGAAGAGACAUAUAUACUAUGUUUUUUUAAAUAUAUAAAUUAUUUUAAAUAUAAAUAAAUCAUUAGGGUUUAAGUGGUUUAUGAUCAAAAUCAUAAUAGUUAAAAUGAAUCUUUAACUUGUUUUUUUACUUAAAUUAUAUAUAUUAUUAUAUUAAUAAUUUAUUAUGAGUUAUGUUAUGUAAAAAAAAAAGAAAAAAAUAAUUUAGAUAUGAAUAAAUUAUAAAAUAAACCUUUUUAGCCCUAAAAUGUAUUCUUGUUUACCUCGCUUCGAACAUAACUAUUAUGUCAGCGAUUAGUUCCCACAGUCACCUUUUUCAUGGAAUUGACCUAAGAACCUGGAACGAUUGAUUGGCAGCACGGAAAGAGACAAUGGCUUUUGUGGUGCUGAUCAGGCGGCAUCUCUGUAGAUCUUGAGGCCGCGCCGUGAGGGCAGAGAGCUCCUCGUAAAACCCUCGACCGAUUGCCCUCUCGUCUGUUGUGUUCUCUUCGAUCAUUCUUCUUCUGCAUUUUACGGGUGAGUUUCGACGAAGCUUUGACGAAUCGUGCAUAUUCUUGUCUGUGUUCAUGUUGCUGGUUCGGAUUUUUCAUCUAAUGUGGUUGUAUGUCAUGAUCUAAUGUUUGGUCUGUCUUGCUUUCUGUUGUUGUUUGAGUUUGAAGACCACGAUUUGGACAGCUACCCCAAAUGGGGUAAAUGUUCUAAGCACAUUACCUAAUCACUGUGAGAGUCCACUAUUUCUCUCUCUGUUUUGGUUUUCUUUCUGUUGUCAUUUGGACAGCUACCCCAAAUGUGGUAAAUGUUCUGAGCACAUUACCGAAUCACUGCGAGAGACCACGACGAACGACGGCGACGACGUUCUGAGCACAUUACCUGUUCUGUUGUCGGGCGACGACGUCUUCCUCUCCGUCGGCGAACGGCGGCAUCUUCCUUCGGCGAGAGGCUUCCGUGCGAUCUCCGGCGGGCUGUUAUUCGGUAACUCUAUCUCGUUCUCUCUUCUCCUUCGUCAUCGCCCUCCUCCCCCUCCCCCGGACCCCGACGGAACCCCUCUCCUUCCUCCUCCGCCGUAGCCGCGUCCCCCUGAGUUCCCCCUCCUUAGCUGUCCCCCGAGUUGUUUCCGUGGGGAACGUUCUCUUUCCCCAUCUCGGAUAUUUGGUCCCCCACACAACCGGUUCUUUGUCCGCCCUCAGUAAAAUGUUGCAUAUGGAUUCCCACUCUGUGCGAUUCUAUUUUUGUUUUUUAUCCUCUGAUUGCUCGGCUUGCUCCUCCUCCCUGCUCUCGGAUCCUGGCAGCCCCUUCUCCUUCCUCCUCCUCCUCCUCCUCCCUCUUCCCCUCCUAACCGACAGAAACCCCUCCCAUACUCCAACAGCUCCCUCUCCCUCCUCCGCCUUCUACUCCUCCUCCCUGCUUCCCUUCCAACCGACAGCAACCCACCUCUCACAUACCCCGACAGCCCCCUCUCCUCCUCCAACGAGAGCUCCUUCCUUCCCUCCCAACUGACUGCAACCCCCUCUCCCUCCUCCGCCACCUAUGUUCUUUUUUUCUUUUUUGUUAAUAUAGCAUGUGAAUUUUGUAAAUGAUUGAAUUUGUCAUUGGCUCCUUGCUACUUCAUAGUUUUGUCACUUUUGUCAUUAUAUUUGGAUAAUAUAAUUUAUUACUUUAAAUGAAUCUAAUUUGAUGUAUUAUUUUUAUUUUAGUUAUCAUAUUUAUUAAUAAUGAUAUACAAUUUUAAAAUUUUAAUAUCCAGGGCACCUCGGUGCACUUGGGCGAUCGCUAGCAACUCAGGUGUUUUGGCACCUUGGCACCAAUUAGUUCCUAGCAUCUUUGACUACACUUGACUACACUGGUAAUAUUAUGUCUUGACCAUUGAGCUAUAACGGUGCUAAUUCAGAACUGUUCUCAUUACUGAUUUCGUUCUUUUAGAAAUCAUUGUUCAUUAGUGUGAAUUGGACCACCCAUUUAAUAGGAACAGUUUGACAGUAAAAGUGCAUGUUAAUUGUUUGCUUUGUUAGCAAAGUGAAAAACCUUUCUAAAUGGUCAACACUUCCAAUUAUAUUGGAAAAACAGUCUAAGUUUCCAUUCUUUAACUGGUUGUGUCUUUGAUCCUGGUAUUAUCAUUUACUUCAACAAGUUUUAGAUUGUAAAACCUUUUUCCCCUAGUGGUUAGCGUCUAAAAGAACUGGAUCUAUCUUAUCAUCUAUUUAAUCUUGCACUACACAUCAAAAGUUAUACUUGAUCCAUUGGAUAAUUAUUAUGCCUUAGGUCAUGUUUUUAUUCUCAAAUUGGCUCACUAGAGAAUCACAAUGUAGAUUUGUUAAUCUAUAUAAACUUGAUAUGCUGUCUUAUCUAUAUACCAUGGUGCGACUGUAAUAAUAUGUUCCAGAGUAUCUGUAUCCAAUAUAUGGCAUAUCAAAUGAACUAAAUUUAAGAAACUUAGCAAAUUUUAUGCUGUGUGAUUAUGCAAAUUGAAUGCUAUCUAGUAACAGAAAUAUAUAUUGAGAUGUAUGCGAGGGCAAUCAGUGAGAGAAACUAUAGGGGGUGUUGGUAAAUAAUUUGUCAAUGAAACAUAUACCAGCUGCAGCAAUUUAAUUUUCAAAAAUAUAGAAAUCUGCAGAAAUUUUCCUUUUUUUACUUUUCACAAAAUUAUCAAUACAUAUAGACGGAUACAUACUUAUAUGGUCAAGAUAUAUUAAUUUGAAUGUGGCCAGAAUCAAUUUUUUUAGGCAACAUGUAGGACAUGCAUGAAACCACAAUUACAUUUUCAUGUAUAUACCAAUUUGAAUCUAGCCUAGAAUCAUUUUUUCAGACAACAUGUGGGACAUGCAUCAUACCACAAUUGCAGCUUUGUGACAUGCCUUUAGCAAUAGUUCCUCUCUGAUAUUGAUUGUUCUGACUCAACCUGAUAACCUACUAACCCAAGCCACUUUUAUUGUCCUUAUGAUUGUGCCUGUGGUCUCUGGCCAUUCUUUUGAAAUACAUUUGAACUUGAAUAUGAAAUGUUUUCUGAAGCCGGGACUCAGAAUAUGAGAUACUUAUAUUUUUUUUGGAAGUCAAAUGAGUUAAUCAUAUUAUUUUUGGUUUGAACUAAUAUGCUUGUAAUUUUUUAGUUGAGUGACCUUCAGAUUUCUGAAUUAACUGCAUUUCUCACAUAUUUAUGUACACUUAUUUUCUUGUUCUUGGUUACUAAUGGUUAAAAAAAAAAACUUUCUAACAUAUUAAAGCACACUACUUUUUAGAGAUAUGCAUUUUCAAGGACACAAGAGGAGGAAAAUUAACAAUGAGGAUAGCAACGAUAAUUGCAUAUCAAAUUUGAAAACUCCACCUCUUAACUAUGGAAAGAUUGGAGGCUCUUCUAAGGUUAUUGACUACUCAAAUGAUUUUGCUUUAACCAAUCUUCUGGAAAGGUUAGAAGAUGGUAAGUAUGGGAGUGUAACCAAAGAAUAUGAAGCUCUUCAUUCUCAGAGGAUGCAGGUAAUCAAUUUUUUAUCUGCGUUACAGCCAAGUAUAGCAUCUAGAACUUUUCAGGGUGGUGGAAGCACUUCUACUAAUUUAUCAACAAGGCAGAAUCAGAUGAAGUCAGGUCAACAUGGUGAUAACUUAUCUCAUGAUAUAAUCGAUCUGGAAGUUGAUACCAUGGAAGGUGCUGCUAACCCUGUCAGAAUACCUGUAGAACAGACACAGGAUGCUGUUGGGAAUAUCUCACUACAUUCCAGUGAUUUUGAGUCUGUAACGCGGAAGGGAAAGUUAGAUGCUGCACGUGGCCCAUUGAAUACACCCCCAGUAGAUGAAGACAACAAAGAGGAAACCACAGUCAUAAUUGUAGAUUCAGACGAAGAAGAUGCAAGCCAUCAAGGCAAAACAAAAUAUGAUUGCCACCCUGAUCAUGAGGUCUUGGAAUUUGGAGCGUCACUGGCAAGUCAAAUCCAGAAGCACAUAUCACGAGCCAGCAAGUUAGCACAAGAAGUUAACUUGUAUCAACUAGUUCCAUAUGACCAAGGAAUUGGAAGAUCAGUGUGUACUACUAAUUUUAAACCAAACUGGCAGCCUUCUGUUCAUUUUGAAAAGGUGGUCUUACAGACAGUCGAUGAGAAGCAGCGGUUUCAAGAUGUUGUUGUAAGUAUUCGGUGUAUUACCUUGAAGCAAUUACUUCAAUUUGCACAGAUAUGAUGUGCAUGCGUGACCAUCUCUUAACCUUCAUGUCCCUACAAUGUUACCUUUACUUGCCAAAAAUGUACAGUUAUUAUAUUUGGAAAGGACAUAUAGAAAAUUGAAUUCUACAUUAUUUGACCUAAAGAAAGUGGUGACCCAAGUCAGAUCUGGAUGUUUUGAACUAGAUAAUUUGACGGUGCAAGAAAAACUUAUAAAAACUCAUGUGCAUUCUUUGAAGAAGAAAGGUUUUCAUUUGCAUAGAUAUUUUAGCUUGACCCCUUCUUGUUGACAUACUGUUUCUGGUUAAUUCUCAGAAUUAUUCGUGAUAUCGUCUAUCUCAGUUUCAUGAUAUUAAAGAUUGAAACACAAUCUUUGUCAUAUGCCAUAUCUGUGUAGUUAUGCAGUCUGUAGCAGACAUCCACUGAGAAUGCAUGCCAAUUAGCUCUCUAGAAAUGAAAUAUACUAAUAAUUAUGGGUGAAUUUAUACUGAAAGUCCAUCAACUAGGAACCAGCUGGUAUUUUAACUUGGUUGUAUGUGCCCAUAUGUAGUAUUUUCUAAAUGUCUAGAACAAUUCUCUUCAAAUAAAGAAGGAUCAUCGGUUACAUUUCAUAGAAACAAGCUGGAUCUUGCAGCAAAUGGACAGUAAAUCUGCAAAAAGUUGACAGGCUCAAGGAAGCUAGAAAUUGUUGUCUGAACUUCGAAAAGAAGUAUUCAUGAAAUUUGAGUGUAAAAUAACAUGUGAUUAGUAGAUACUCUGGUUCUUUGUCUUUGAAAAUGAGGUUCAUGAUAGUAUCUUAUCUUCUAGUAACUCAGGGGCCAAAGUGAAAUAAUAUGUUAAUGUAAAAUGGGGUAACUCCACAUUGUGUGCUUUGGAAUGGCCAUAGUUCUGUAACUUUUCUUUGUGGUGUUCUCCUAGGAAUGAGAUAGAAACAAAAGCUACUGGAACUUUUGAUUCUUUAGGAAAUAAGGUGUCCUUCAAGAAAGAAAAGGGAGAGAAGAGAGAGACGAAAAGAGAAGAAAGAUAAAGAGGAACUCUAUAACAGCGAGUAUUAUCAAGUUUAGAACUCGAUUUUAUAGUCCUGAGGGCCAUAGAUCAAUUUUAUUUGUGGACUCCUUUUCAUUGUAUCUGAUACCUAUGUCAUACAGGAUUAAUAGGGCCUGGAUGAUCAUCCAAUGUUGACCUUCUGGUGCUGGUCGCAUAGCCUUGGAUGACCAGGCUUAGGUCACCCUUCUUAGUCUCUAACUAGGAGUCCAAAAAGGCUUAAACUCAUUUGAGUUGACCUUCCUGUGUGAUUUAUUGUCAAUUUGACUAACUUUGGUGCAAACUCAAAGUGAAAGAAGGUUGUUUGGACUGCUGUCGUCCUACCUCCAAUAGACUAGGCCUUGUUACCCGGUCAAUCCCUAUACAAUUAUAGUGACCUCUGGAGGUGCCACUUGUGUAGCAUCUCCAUCGUAUAUGCAACACUUCUUAAAUUAGCAUCUAUUACAACUUUCUUUGGUAUUUCUUAAGCUCUGAGACAUGGAAGGGAUCAUGGAUGUAAGCAUUUACUAUCAACUGGAACCUAUAACCUUUUGAUCCUAUAAGUGUACAACCACAUUGAAUGGGCCAUAGAAUCGAAGACAAUUUGUGCUAUGGCUUGUUUUACCCAGAAUGGCUCUAUCUAUGGUAUCUUGGUAGCUUUAAUACAACCCAGCUACCCAUUUAAUAUUCUUUCUCCUUUUGCAACCAAGUUAGGUAAGGAAGGGCAGUAGCCCCAAACAUACUGCUAUGCAACCAAGGGCUUGUCAGCCAGCAGUUUUAUACUCCAAGAAGGAGUUCUAAAAGGCUUAAAUCUUCAUUUCAAUUGUCCAUCUCCCAGUGUCAUUUGGAGUCAAUCUGGUAAGUUUGGUGUCAUUAGGACUUUCCAAUUGAAGAUAAGGCUGUACUAUUUUGUCUCAGUCCUAGUCUUUUGUAGAAAUUUGAACUUUGUUGACUGACCGAUCAGUCAAAUUAUGAUAAUAUGGGACUGCUGCAACUAGAAAUGUCGGACAAGUCAAAACUUGUUUACCCAGAUAAAACAUAAUCAAGUUCUCUGAAUCAUGCUGCACCAGAUAAAGAGCUUACAUUGAAAUCUUGUUGAUGCAACUUUUUCGUGCAAAUAAGAAAGCCUGAUAUUAUAUUCUGAAUAAUUUAAUCAUGCUUGUGGUGAGGCUCUUAUCUUUUGCUUGUUCUUACUUGAGAUGCUUUUGUUACCUAUUCGAGAUUUAGAAAACCACCUCGAUACAUAUAUUUUGUGUUUCCAUAUCACUUCUAUGAGUUUCUAGGUUUAUUUUUAUCAGUGAUUUUUUCAAGAAAUUUGCAUCUAACUUCCUGCUUAAAUCCUGUUCCAAUUUUUUUAGUUGAGGCAGAAGCAAUUGCCAUUUAUGAAGUUAGUUCAGCUAUAUAAUAUUUUUAUUGAUUUUGCAUUGCAAGAUUAUGAUAUUUGAUUUUAUGCUUGUGCAUCAUUUUAGGAUGAAAAGAAUAUGGAAAUGAGAUGUGAGAGACAAGCUGCUGAAGCUCCUAAUGUAGUAAAGACUCUGUAUUCUAAUGCUGAAAUGAAUAAAGAGAAGGAAUGUGAUGGCAAUCCAAAAUUUGUUUCCUCUACGGCAAUCAAAGAUAUCUCAUCAGGCAUGGGAAGCCUUUAUGAAGUUGACAAAGUAUCAUCACAAAGUGAUGGUCUGGAAGAUCUUUGGAAAGACAUGUCAUUAGCAAUGGAAUAUUCAAAGGUUAUUAUGUUGCUAUUUUCUAUUUCCUUUGUUGCAUAUUCUUUCACAAUUAGCUUUGUAUUUGUGGUUUAUUUUGCAAUUUCCAUGUUGCAUCGUUGAACAAAAAUGACUUUCCUUCAGGUAACUACUUUUCUAUAGGAUUAUAUUUGAGUUAAUUAAUAUUUGAAGAACUGUAGGGUGCAGGUGCUUGUAUUGAUGAAAAACUAAUUAAAUGAAUAAUUGAAAGGUCCAGAUUUAGUCAGUUUGUUUACCAUGAUCUAGAGAAUUAUACUCAAGUUUCUUCCUGCAAGAGUCAAUGAACUUAAGUGACAAGGCCUUUUAAUUCGAUGCUAGUCAUGGGCAAGUGCUUGAAGUCAAACCUAUCAUCUUUAACAAGUUAUAUUAUUACAGCAAGUAAUGUAGUGGCUUAUAACCUUUAAGGAGUGAGCUUUCUUAACAUGGUCUAAAAUGCUUCAACGCUUACUGUCUUAACAUAAAGAUCCAUUCUUUCUUUGUUAUCCAGUGGAACAAUAUUGAGGUGCCCAUCAACCAAAUCUUCCCCACUUGUAUCCUUAUGAUGAUCAUCCUUGUUAGGUCCCCAGUCACAUCCUUGAUGACAUCUUCUUUGUCAGGUCAGUAGUAGCUUAGGAUGUUUGUUUGGGCUCCCUUUUUGGGACUUCAGACUUUAGAUUAAGCCCCUGUUAUUGCAUCCACAAGGAAACCUUCACCAUGAUUUAUGUUAUUUGUGCACCAUGGAUGUGUCCUUGCACAAGUUUCAAGUAGUGAAUACAUGGUCGUGUAAUAAUUUAUUCUUUUUUCUUUGUUAUCAAACUAUUAUAUUACGGCAUAUAUCCUCAUUGACAUUUAUAUAAUUACUAGUAAUGGAUUUGUAUUGGGAUUCAAGUUCUCUCACUUUUUCCUUUACCACAUACUUUUAAUAGCAUGAUACAUGUAGAAAUUAUAAACUGUUUGAUACUAGAACUUACAUAACAGAAGCUAAAAGAUUCAAAUUUGUUAAAAGGUAUGAUAUCAGUUUAUUGGGUACUAUAAUGACGUAUACCACCUAAUAUUAUUGAAUUAAUAAUAAAAAACAAAUACGAAUUGGUAGCUAGAUAUAUGUCAUAGCACUGAACUAUAUGGUCAGAUAUCAUCAUUGGUCAGACCGGUAAUACUAGCCGGUAUACUGGUCCGACAUAUACUUGAGAUUAGUCAAGUAUAAAUUGAUCAGCCAAGUAUACUCAGCGUAUGCUAGAACAUGUCUAUUUGAGAUUAGUCAAAGAAGCCAUAGCGUCAAUUCGAUUAUAGAUUUUAUGAGCAUAUCCUGUAUGAUAUAUGUUGAAGUUAAUCCAGAGAGUGCCAUAGGGUUGUAAUGUCUUUUUGUAGGUUCUAUAUAAUUCUCAUCAACAUACAUCAAACUCAAUGCUUUUCCUUUAGUCUUAUUGAUUAUCUUUUCUUUUGUAUCUAGAUUGAUACAUCAGAUGAUCAAGCACUUGUGCAACAAGAAGAAGAAUGUAACCAUUCGUACUUGCUCCAAGAUGACUUUGGCCUUGUUUGUCGUAUUUGUGGAGUUAUUCAGAAGAGGAUAGAUACAAUAUUUGAUUUCCAGUGGACGAAGGUAUGUGCACCAAUAAUACAUACAUUACUUCUUGUAGAGAGAUUUUUUCUGCGUACAUGUUUGGAUACUUAUAUUCAGCAAAAUUUUAUUCAAUCAAUAACAUCUCUCCUAUACUUUCUAUAAUUAGGCCUUGAAGAGUGUAUCAUCUGUAAUUGUAAAUGCAUUCUUAAGCAAUCGUGCCAUUUGACAUCUUGUAGUGUUUGUCUCUAUCAGGGAUCACGACAUGAUACAAUUGGUUUAGAGGUAGAAUAGCCUUAUAGAAUAGGUUCUACUUUCAAGUUAACUUAUUGCCAUUGUUGUCCUUUACAUUAUACCACACUAUUGACAAAUUUGCUUUGAACACAUAGGGGCUAAAUUAUAGGUGUGAACAUCAAUACCACCUUGUGCUAGUCCACUGAUGCCAAAUUUGGUGAGUGCCUACUAUCUAUUAAAGCUAAUGGUGCAUAAUGUUAAUGCAUCUUGCUAACCUUAAUCAGCUAUGGGAUUUCUUGUAUAAUGGUCCUAACGGGGACGUUACCAUUUGAAUGAGGGAGAUUGUGAUGCUCUGAUAAUUGCAAACUGAUACAAGAGAAAACAAAAAGUUUUAAAGAGGCAUAUGGUUGGCAACCUAGGUUAAUAAUGUUUGGUUCAUUUCAGUAGGCCUACCCCAUGUAAGGUAUUUAGAUAGUAGGCUGUUUAGGUUUGUUAUACAUGUUAUGCAAGUGGUAGAUAUGGGGCUUGUAGUGCCUGAAAUUUCCUUUUACUAGAGUUUAAAUUAUGGGCAUUGUGAUCUAAUCUACAUGGGCAAAGGAGUAUAGUGUGAUACCCUAACAAUCCAUCAUCAGAGAUGCAAAAGAGAGGGAUUUGUGCAACUCAAGUUUACCACAACUAGAAAAUUGUAUCAGAAUUUUGCGGCACAUAGUGGCAGCUCGAAAUUGUUAUAUGUUAUUGACAAUUUAGGAUAGUAGUUGAUUGUAUUGAUCCCUUUGUGUGAUAUCUCAACUAAGAGGAGCUUACAAAGAUGCACCGACACAUCUCCAACUAACUAGCUUGUCUAGAGGAGCUACCUAAAAGAACCUCAAGUCCAAUUAAAUAGUAGUUCAUUAUACUAGUUGAAAAUUGUAAGCUGAAAUCCUUUCUAUAUUUCUUGUUCCUCCAGUCAUGUUGCCUUUUCCUGAUAAGAUCAUUUUCUUGGGUUUCCAUUUCCUUAUGUAUCAUUUUGUUUCAUCAUCUUUUUUUUUUCUUUCUAUUUCAUACCAUGUUCCUUAAAUCUGAAGUUCUAUUUGGGAAUAGACAAAUUGUCCAAUUGUGUUGCUUUUGCUAGUUGAACCAUAUCAUGUUAAAACAAUCAUAUUAGAGCAGCUGCUGAUUGUCAUUGUUUAAUGCAUGGAAAUAUUAUGGUUGUGAAUAAUGAUUUCAAUAAAUUCUAGCUUCUCAUGUAAAAUGUUUUAGCAAUUUUUGUUCAUGAAAUGUGUAUUAUCAGUUGUCUUGCUGUUUCCUUCUCAGGGCUCACGUGCAACAAGGACAUACUUGACUGGACCAGGGAACUCCAAGGAUCUAGUGGCUCACUACUCUGGCCUUGAAGUUUCAGAGGAUGAUUUUAUUGCUGCCGAAUUAUCUAUUCAUCCAAGGCAUCUGAAGCAAAUGAAGCCGCAUCAGCUAGAAGGCUUCAAUUUCUUGGUUAAGAACUUGGUUACAGAUAAACCAGGAGGAUGUAUUUUGGCUCAUGCGCCGGGGUCUGGGAAAACCUUCAUGCUUAUAAGCUUCAUCCAGAGUUUCUUGGCUAAGUAUCCAUUGAAGAAGCCUUUGGUUAUCCUUCCUAAGGGUAUUUUGCCUACAUGGAAGAAAGAGUUCCAACGGUGGCAGGUUGAGGAUUUACCCAUCUAUGAUUUCUACUCCUCUAAAGCUGAUAACAGAUCUCAGCAAUUGGAAGUGUUAAAGCUUUGGCAAGAGAAUAAAAGCAUUCUUUUUUUGGGUUAUAAACAAUUUACGAAUAUCAUUUAUGAUAAAGAAAACAGCAAGGUCUCUGCUGCAUGUCGGGAAAUGCUGCUGAAAAUCCCCAGCCUUCUGAUAUUGGAUGAAGGCCACACUCCAAGAAAUGAGGACACAUUCGUGCUUGAUUCACUUGCAAAGGUGCAGACUCCUCGAAAAGUAGUACUUUCAGGAACCCUAUUUCAGAAUCAUGUUAGGGAGGUCUUCAAUAUUUUGAAUCUUGUGCGCCCUAAGUUUUUGAGGAUGGAGACUUCCCGAGUCAUUGUCAAGCGAGUCCUAAGUAGAAUAUAUAUAUCAGGAGGUAGAAAACUCUCUAAGAGUAGUGUGGACAACGCUUUCUAUGAUUUGGUUGAGGAAACACUGCAGCAUGAUGAGAAUUUCAAAAGAAAAGUUACUGUUAUACGAGACCUUCGAGAAUUAACCAAGGACGUUCUUCAUUAUUAUAAGGGUGAUUUCUUGGAAGAGCUGCCUGGUCUCGUGGAUUUCACUGUCCUCUUGAACCUCAGUGCUAAGCAAAGAGUGUAUGUUCAAAAACUUGCCAAGUUUGAGAAGUUCAAAAGAACCUCUAUGGGUAGUGCUGUCUAUAUCCAUCCUCACUUGUAUGACACAGCAGAAAAGGCUUCUGGGGACAGGGUCGCAUUUUUCAACGAUGAUAAGAUCGAUAGCUUGUUAGAAUCUCUUAAUAUCAGAGAUGGGGUUAAAACAAAAUUUUUCCUCAACAUUUUGUCUCUGGCUGAAUCUGCUGGAGAGAAACUACUUGCUUUCAGUCAAUACAUUCUACCUCUAAAAUUUUUGGAAAGGCUAAUAGUUAAAACCAAGGGUUGGCAUUUAGGAAAAGAAAUUUUUAUGAUAUCUGGUGAUUCGACUUCUGAGCAAAGAGAGUGGUCGAUGGAGCAAUUUAACAACUCCCCUGAUGCUAAGGUUUUCUUUGGUUCAAUCAAGGCUUGUGGGGAAGGCAUCUCACUUGUAGGUGCAUCUAGAGUUGUGAUCUUGGAUGUUCACUUUAAUCCAUCUGUCACCCGCCAAGCUAUUGGGCGUGCAUUUCGGCCUGGCCAGCUGAAGAAAGUAUAUAUUUACAGGUUAGUUGCAGCUGAUUCUCCGGAGGAGGAAUUUCAUUAUACCUCCUUUAGCAAGGAGUUCAUCUCAAAGAUGUGGUUCGAGUGGAGUGAGUAUUGUGGCCAUCAGAACUUUGAGUUAGACGAGGUUGAUUUGGCUAGCUGUGAAGAUUUGUUCUUGGAAAGUCCUAUCAUAGGAGAAGAUAUCAAGGCGGUGUACAGAAGGUUAGUUCCCGUACUUGGUCUACGUCUGAGUUAUAUUUUUUACUGCAUUCAAAUGCAAUUUUUGCAUGUUGUUGAUUGACGUUGAUACGAUAAUACAGGUGAUUCUUUGGCUGAUGCGUGGGAGAGCAUACGACAGAUUGUAGGAUCUUCAGAUGGUCUGACAUUGUACAUCAUACCAACUCUAAUUUUCUGACCUUGCAGUCUUUUUCUAUAAUGCACAAUUUUCAUAUCUAGAAGUGAUAAAUCAUGUUCUUCCCAUGUUCAGGUCUUCAUGGUACUUGCUGGUCACAUUAUGAACUCUCCCUUUUCAAGAUACAUGUAAAAGUUUGACUUGUUGGCUGUUUGAAUCGACUGCAAAGCUACUAGAGAGAUGAUCGUUGCUGGCGUUCUACUUCUCUUGAUGAUGUGUAAAAAAGAUGUGUUCAUGGUUGCUGAUAUCUGUUUUGUUCUUGUUGGUGACUGUUUGUCAUCGAGAUGCAUUAAUACUAUCUACCAUUUUGUUGAGUGUGCUGUUGAGCUCGCACUGUAGAUGUUUUGGGAUCAAUAGCCCCUCUAAAUGCAAGACGUGUAUAUAAAAUGACUUGUCAAUGGCUAAUGCCAAAUAUUUUGAUACAAUAUCGCCAUCUACAAGUUAAUACUGUCUGAUGUUAAGUCGAAUAUAUAUAUCCUUUUGGUCUACAGCUGUUGCUUAUACCCUGCCGUGUUGCCAUCAUCUCCCCAUUUCUUGGUGUUCCGUCCUGUGAGUGUUGUAGCAGAGACUUGAAACUCGUUCAUCGAAAGAAUGCGUCUAUCCUCGUUUCAUGGCGAAGGUGAAACAUUUUUAUUUGGUUUAAUGUUAUUUAUUUAAGUUUAUAUUUUUCUUAUUUACACAAGCACUUCGUAAUCUAAGUUUGGGUAUAUCUUGAAUUAAUUUAUAAAUUAUCUCCUGUAGUUAAUUAUUUUUAAUAUUUCAGUUUCAUUGAUAUUUUUAUUAUUAUGAAAGUAAAACAUCUAGAUUUAUUUAUUUUAAUAUUAUUAAUUUUAUGAAUAAAAAAAUAUAAAAAUAAAGUUUAAAAAUAUAAUUUUAAUGUUUCAGUUAAUGAUGGUGGACGAUAGAUAGUAUUGGUGAGAGUCGUGGGUAAUUGUCGUGGAUGAGGAAAGCGACAACGAAAGAUGAAUAUCGUUUUGCAUUUACGUCAAUAUUGACAUAAUUAUCGAUUGACGAAAGGGUUGCUCAGUAACUAUGUCAACAUCGACGUAGAUAUAAAACGACUAUCAACUCUUCUCAUCCACAACAACCAUCGAUAUAAAGCGCCUAUCGAGUGAUGUCGUCAUUUGCUACCAUCGAUAUUGUCCGUUGCCACCAAUUAGAAUGUUAAAAUUAUUUUUUAUUUUAUAUUUUAUAUUUUUAAUAAUAAAAUCGAUAUUGUUAAAAUAAAUAAAUUUAAAUAUUUUAUUUUUAUAACUAUAGAGAUCUCAAUAUAAUUUUUUUAAAUAUAAGACUUGAAAUAUUAAAAACAAUCAACUACAUAUAAGACUUGAAAUAUUAAAAACAAUCAACUACAUAUAAGACUUGAAAUAUUAAAAACAAUCAACUACAUACCUCAUUAUAAGCCCUUUGACAUGACGACAGACAAAGCAUCUUUACUUGGUAAGUUUAUACAUUUUUGAUUAUCAACUGCGAGAUGGACAUAAUUUUUAAGAUCUUGGUAGGCUAAUCAUCUUCUUCUUUCUAAUUCCCGAAUCACCCCUGGUAGAAUCUCCAAGCCUACAGCUUGUGAGAUGUUAGAGAGAACCUGUGAUUAAGAAUUCCUAUAAUAAGCUAAAAAAUGACGUAUAUAUAAUAAUAAGAUAAAAUUUUUUAGUGUUUGUUAUUUAUUUUUUACAUGGCUUGAUGAGAGGUACUAAUACGAAAAUAGAAUGUUGCUAUAUAAAAUUGCCAACGUGCUCGAUAGCUUACAAUAAGUUCUCUUCCUGGAGGUUCAAACAUUUUCCUUCCUGGAAACAGAACUCUUGCAUGUCAUUUCACUUCUUGAAAAUAAGAAUAAGAACAGGGCCAGUUGGUCGAUUAAGCAUUUCCAAUUUAAAGCUUGCCCAGGAUUCAACGGGCAGACCAGAUGCAAAACCUUGGAUGCUCUCCAGUUCAUCCCUGCAUAAUGAAAUAUAAACAACAUCAUAAAGCAUCUGAAUUCAUUCGUUAAUGCAUGCUAUAGUUCAUCGUGUUGUUUGGUUGUAUACACUCAAGCUACUAAAGAGCUAAAGCAACAACAAAGUUCAAUAUGAGAGGGAGUAACUAGUGACUGAAACUAGGAAAAUAACUACGCCUUGGAAAGUAGGAACCUCCAUAAGGUUAUGCAUUAACAUUAAAAGAAAGGAGGACACACGAUAUUGUAAAUGAUGAAUCACACACUGUGCCUUCAUCACGAAGUUUGCAGGCUGUACUUGAAGGUAAUCAUAUAUACCUAAAAGAUGAGACUCUGCUCUUUGAAUUGUGAAUUACGACAAAAUUCAGAAUGUUAGGUUGCUCAGGCUGCAGAAAAAUCAAAAGUAAAACAUUUACCUUCCGCCUGGAUGUCCAACAUAGACCAUGACGCUGAUAAGUCCUCCAGACCCCAGUACCCUACCAGCAGCCUGCAAUGCUGCCAGCGUUGUUCCUGGCGUUGUAAGAAUUGCUUUGUCUCCCCCUGGCAGAUAGCCCAAAUUGAAUACCACAAGUCUGAAUUGUAACAAGCAGAAAUUCUUGUGAACAAUAAACGGAUGUAAAACCAGGAGGUUACUUCAGCAAAAAAGAAAGUUUAAGCAAAAUUAAAACAAAAAAAUAAUAUUUCCUAAAACACAAAACAAGAGUGAUCUAAAAUAAAAUGUCUUAGUGAUGCUGCCUGGCUUAAGCAUAUACCAAUUCUUUUUCAUGUACCCCAAAUUAUAUCCUUGGUAGCUCACUUUAUGUUCUUAUAGAAAAAUUAAACUUUUUCGGAAUGGCAGGGUCCAGAUUCCAGAAUUCAACAUUAAGAUUUUACUUGCUCGAAACUAACAUACAAUAAAUACUCUGGAACCUGUUCCCGAUAUAGUUAGAAAUAAAUUAAUCUGAUAACAUGGAUUAAGAUCAGCAACUUAAUGUGUGAGAAUAAUAAGCUCAGUUUGAAAAUGUAAUCACACUUUUAGUAGCACUCUUAGUCAUUUGAGACAAGAUCCCUUAAUAAAAGCUCUUGCUCUAAAUUGUAGCUAAAUUGAUCAUGGACCAAAGGGAGUCUUCCAUAAUUCCAACUUGCAGCAAAGUCAGGCAGUUUCAGCCUUUCUUGAGUAGCUGGCCCGAAAUGGGUUCUACCAAAAUCCCUUCACACAUUGGGAACAUCAAACAACUUGAACCAAUCAAAAUCUAUUCUUGAAGGUGUGCAUGUCAUGACAAAAGUACAAUCAAAACCAACACCUUAAAGUCACCUCAAGUAUGUAUAUGUAAAUAUGCACACAUAUACAGACGGAUACAUGUAUAUACAUGUAGUGAUUCUCUAAAUAACAAUGUCAAAAAGACAUAUCAUGUUUAUGGUAACUUGAAGAGAGUGCUCGAGCUCAUACUACAACAAUUGAGUUAUUUUUCUUCACAAAAAAUACAUGACAAAUUCAUGCUCUACAUAGGUCAAUGCUGUUAUGGGAUUGACAAGGUCACUACUGAAAAUAAUGGUAUGUAUGACAGCACAUAUGGGUUUCCAAUAAUAGUAACUGAGUUCAAAUAGCUGGGUUACCUGACAGAGUUGUCAUUUUGAACAAUAUCUUCCAUUUUGCUAUGACAAAGCUUCAAGAGCUUCACUAGUUUCCUCUACCAUAAAACAAGUCAACUGUUACUUGUAGCUCAGUGGUAUCUAAAAAUGGAAAAGCAGUUCAAAAGUACAACAAAAUCUAAUUUCAAGAUCUUGGUCCAAGAACUAUCAAAUAAGAUUUUUUUCUUCAAGACUAAAUUUCUCAGCAAGAGAUAUCAUUAUUCGCUUGAAAAAUGGAAUAAAACAAGUGAGAAAUAUAGUUGUAAAAAUUUUAGCACCUUGUUUUCCUCAACUGAUAUUUCCAGUAAAGCAGAAGUGUUGUCCAAUGCUUCUUGCUGAAUGUCCAUUCCAUAAACACAACCCCUGCCAGAUUCACCGGCUACCAUUGCGAGCAAUGCCAGCGUGUCAUAACCAUUGCCGCAUGUUGCAUCAAUUACAGUGUCUCCUUUCUGAAUGAUAUUCUUCCACACCCUAAUAAACCACAAGAAUGAAAGCAGAACGCAAUUAUCAGCAUAUUUGUUAUUCAUAUAACAAACUGAAUAUUAAGGUAUUAGCAGUUUGUUCAAUACUCCCUUGUGCCUUUGUUUGCAACUCCACUAUGCUCACAGGAAAUGGGAGACGAUGCAGCAAUUUAUUUAACAAGAUAAAAUACAGUUAUUCCAAAAAGAAAUUAGGAGACCCACAUAAUUAUAAACAAGAAAUUAAUUUCAGAAUUAAUUGAAGCUAUUAACAUAGGAACUAUAUAUCUUUGAUGCUCAUGAUUGUGAUAAAAGAUAUUUUUGUACCAAAAAUAAUUUAGAAAAGGACUGUAAGCCCAGAAAGUACUUAAGCAUGAUCACCAGCUUCAAGAGAGACAAGACUGACUACAGGAUUGGCACAAGAUUAAUCUGUAUAUGAAAGGAAGCCAAGCAACCCAAUUAAAUCUCAUUUUUAAGGCCUUACAUAUACAUUAGCUGAUAGAAAGUCUAAGGUUUAUCAGUAUGUUCUUUUCUAUGCCUAUACACAGAGAACACUUGAUAAUUGGUGACUUGUGUUGCUAUUUCCUAGACCCAUUUUGCAGAAUAAUAGUUACUUGCAUAUAUCCUAAACCUUCCAGUCCUAUCAAUGGAUAAAUAGGAAAAGGCAAAUAACAGGGUAACAUUAUGAUACAUCACGUCCCUUUGACUUAGAACUCAUCAUUGAGAAGUGAACAAUAGGUAACAGUAGUGCCACCACCAUGGGUUUUAAGAUGGCCCAAAUAACAUACAUACUGAUACUGAAGACAUGGAACCAAUCAUCCCCCCCGCAUUAAACACACAGGAAAAAUAUCAAAAGAACUAUGUUAUUGGAUUGAAAAAUCAAGAAAAAAAUCUGCUUCAAUAAAAUUCAAAAGGUUAAUUGUGCAUUCAUGUCACUGUAUCGUAAUUCUCGGUAAGAUGCUACAGGCUCCAUAUAUUUUUCAAAAGGGUUUUGGUAAACUAUGUCAGGGAUAAGUAGCUGGUGAGAAGCAGGUACCAGACUUUUAAACUUCGGUGCAAGAAAAUCCUCCAAAAACCAACUUUACCCCAAAACCACAAAUUUGCAUCCUGAUGACAAGCAGAAAACCUAAUUUCUAAAAUACUCCUUUAUCACUAACGUCUGGACAUAUCAUCCUGACAACUGGGAAUGUUAGAAAAUCUGCAUCAAGUUUAUGAAUUGGGAUAUCUAGUUAUACUCAAUAAGCAUGUAAAUCAGAAAUCCUUCAAGAAUUUUUCCAUUGACAACAUAUCGAAAACCAUCAAAAGGAAAAAUAAGAAAGGAUCGUUGUACCUACGAGUGAGCUACCUCCGUUGCUUUCUUCCUUCCGGUGAUAAAACCCAUAAAAGCUUCCUCCAUUCCUAAAUUCGAAACAGAUUGAUACAUAGUGAUAUUUUAUCAUCAAAAGGAGAGAACAGUGGCCACAAUUGCUCAUAUAUUAGUUUGCGGGUUGCAAUAGAAGAAACAUGCACUACAUCAUAAAGUACCGGCGAUAGGGAACUCUUUGGCGCCGGAUUUUCGUGAGGAACCCGUCGAGAGCUGAGCCUUCAACGAUAUGCUUCGACGAAAUAAAGAUCGGAGAGGAGAUGGGGCGGUAAACCUUCGGAAAUGCGGCGAGAUUAAGGUUAGGGCUUCCAUUUUGGGAGGUUGUGAAAGAGGUGAUUGCGUGGACGAAAUGGCAGAACUCGAUGUAAUACCGCGAUGGAGUGUUCAGAAUAAUCCACGUGGUCUAAACUGACGGCUAUGAUUGCAUCGACUCAUUGCUCACCUCUUACAUUCGGACAGCACAGUUUUUAAGAUUAUGUGUAUAUAUAAAAUAAAAACUAAAAUAAUAUAAAGUAUGAUAGAAUAAUCUAAAAUUCGAGGGAAAAAUAACCGAUAUUCAUGAAAAAAAAUCUCAUAAUUAUUAGUACAAAAUAAAAUGUUAUUUAUUAUUAUCUUUUAAAGCAUUAGUGCAAACGAAAUAAAAAGAAUACACUGCCGUAUGUCCAGAAAUAAACUACAAAAUCUUGAAUGCAGUGAAGUAAACCGGAGAAAAGGGUCCAAUUUUUUCUUGCAAAGCAAUUUUACUUUAAUCUUAUUGGUUCUUAGUUCACUUUAUUUUAAUCGUCAAAUUAUUUGCCCCAUUAUCAAUCGCUACACUUUUCUCUUUACCUUCGUAUAUUCUUGGAUUUCUUCAUCAUCGGGUAUUCGCUUGUGGUACGUGAAUCAGAAGGCUGUGUGCGGCGGCGCAGCAUGAGAUGCAUCCAAGAUUCAGUGUGCCAGAGAGAUGAAGUUGCUAUUUAUAGUGCAAAUUUAUUCUCUAGUAAAUGGUGCCGAACAUACGAUAAGAACGGUGGGCAUCACGUAUACUGAAACAGACUCUGGACGUCCGCUCCUGCACGUAUAUAUAGUAGCGAGCAUGCAAGAUAACUACUGCAGUGUUCCUGAUGGCCAUCACGGGGCUUCUGCAGGUGCCGGAGCGAGGAAGGGAACGGCGGGCACAGUUGGGAUGGAAGGCAUGACCGGGAUGGAGGGCAUCGUGACCUCAGGGAUGCUUGGUAUGGCAAACAAAGUCGGCAACGUAGCAGUCGGCAUGACCGGCAUUGGCGGCACUGCAAGCUUCGGAACAGUCGGUACCACCGGCAUAGGCGACGACGUGGGAAGUGAGGGUGGAAGUGCUGCAGGGGCUUCGGCGGUGUCGAGCAAAUGGCGUGCUGCACCGCAUGUCAAAUGGGUAGCCAAGAGAAGGGAUGUGAGAAAGCUCAUUCCGUAGAGGGCAGCCAUGGAAGUCAUGGAUGUGCUUGCCCAAGUUUCAGCAGGGUCUGGGAUAUGAUGAAGAAGGAAGAGCUAGGGCUGUGCUUGUGAUGGUGGUGAUGCAG